UCCCAAAUCAUUGUCCAAUUCAACUUUAUUAGGCAACUUUCUUAACAAUCAACUAGAUCUCCUACCACAAACGAUUAUUAAAAACGAUACUCAAAUUUCAAUUCAUCAUGAUCAAACCAUGGUGCUUAACGCAUCAAUAACAAUAUUAAAUACCACGAAGCAAAUAACUCUAACACGAUACCAAAACGAAUGACAUCGUCUCUACUCUCUCUAACCAAAGCAAUCCGAUUACCUAAUUAUAGAUUAGUUGAGGUCUAAUUACCCCGCAAGACAUCAUCAAUGGUUUGACAACACUGAGACAAACUUGCAUUGAAGGGACCUAAAAGAAGCCUGCUAAAUCAGCUGAAUCCUGCUGACUGUCGGAUAAAGAGCACACCAGCGCCACUGCUGGGGAGCCAGUGGAACGAAAGCGACGAAACACGCAAGAACUAGUAAAAGAUAUCCGCUAAACUGCCACGAUUACAUUUCAAAAAUUGAAUAAACAUCUCAUUCCACACUUCUCGAGAAACUGCGUUGAGAGAAAAAAGCAGAGUAAAAACAUCCCUAUGAAGGACUGCAAACAAAUCCUGCAUCAUCCAUCUCUAAGCUCAUUAGUCGUCGCAUUUGCACAAGUUCCCUACACUUCCAAGCUAAACCUCCGCCUGUUGAAAUUGAUUCUUUCAAAUACAGCACCCACGGCGUCAACGGCUGCCAUCACUAUCAUGCCUUCGCGUUUACGCUACACUACGCAGCACCACGUCAUUGUUCAGAAUGUCCCUAAACCACUCCACCGUUCACUGCGUCAUACCCAGCGUCCUGAGUCCAGCCUGCCAAGGGGUCGAAAUAACUGGACAACGAACUCACGGGACUCCACCCCCGACGCCAAUUGCGUACCUCCAGCAAGUGACACCCCCUUCUAACAUGUCGAGCGCUCACGAUGGUUCCUCCGCUCCAAUGCUGUAACCUUACCACCACUCAACUACCUUCACACCGCCGGCCCUUCACUUUACAAACUUUGUGCUGCCACCUACCAGAACUCCUCCCAUAUCACCAACUGCUCCACCUCCGCCACCUCCACAAACCACACCUCCACUCCACUGUCCUUUCCCGCACCAUUCAAGGCCGAGAUCUAAACAUCUCACCCACGCCGUCAAGCCUCCCGUGUUUGCAUUGCUUCCAACACCCCCCCCUCCAAGUAGCACUGCUCCUCACUAUCCGCCCUCCUCCAACCCCACCAUCCCGCAAACUCCUCCUCUCCACUGCACUCGCGUCCAGUCCCACCCCAAAAGCCCUGGCAUUGUCAUCCCGCCACGCUCAUGCUCCACUUCACGCAUUCAUCACGACUCCGACGCUCCCGUUCGCACCACCCUCCUCCCUGCACCGCCGCCCACCGCAACUGCCACUGCAAACGGCCCUGCGAAUUUCUGCCCCGUUCCGCCGCCCUACCUCCCUCAACUCAACAAUCUGCCGCUCAUGUCCGGGCUCUCUCCCGCUCCCCUCACUGUGGGCUCCUCUUCCGUGUGUGCCCCCGUCCUAAACUAUCGCGCCAACGUGGGCCUAAAAAAUUCCACGUUGCCCCCCCCCCCCCCCCCUACUGCAGAGUGGGCGCGCUCGUCACCCUCUGCAAGCUGCUCGGCGCUUGCAGCGCCUCCAGCACAUCCACCUUCUGGUUCGCGGCCUCGUUCGCUAUCUCCCUCCGCGAUACGUUCCACAGCUGCUCCUCUACCCCCAGCUUCUGAAGCUCCAUCAAGCCGCGCUCCACGUCCACCAGGUCGCGCACCGUCGGCUGCAUCAUCGCCCGGCUGAUCCACAGCUGUAUGCACUCGUCCGCGUAGUCCGCCUCCACGCCGUUCGUCUUCGCGCGCCUCCAGAAGUACACCAACCACGCCUGCUUGAACUGCACCUCCUCCACCUCCGCCGGGCUCAGCUCGAAUGCGUCCGGCCCCUUCAGCCCGUCCAUCGACUGCCGCGCGUCCGCCUUCUGCCGGUGACGGGCCAGCGCCAGCAUCACCGCGUCCUCCACCUUCAGAGCCGCCAGCUCCCUCAGCCCUUUCUCCACCGCCAGCAUGCUCUCGAUGUUGCCCUCCCCGGUGAUGUCGUUCACGUCCCGCGUCCUCCCCUUCGUCGCAUUCGCUGCCGCGCUCUGUCGGCUCCCGCCUCUCGGCUCCUCCUUCGCGCGCUGCCCCGCCGACAGCACCACCUCCAGCGGCAGCGGCGCCAGCGACGACCAGAAGUCCGACUUCCCCGACGCGAUCUCUGGGUGUAUCCCCUGCUUCGCCGCCAAAUCCCAGUACCGCGCCAGCCAGCAUCGCUUCAGCACCACCUCCUCCAUCUCCUCCUGCGUCAAAAUCAUCCGAUGCGUCAUCGUCCGCAGCGCCUUCACUUCGAUUUCCACCUCCCGAGCCGCUUCCGAUGCCGCCACCGCCUCCUCCCUCGCCAUCUCCGCCUCUUCCCGCAGCGCCGCGAUCUCAUCGUCCUUCACAUCCUUGCUCUGCUCCUUCGCGGCCUUCAGGGCGGCCUCGCGCUGCUUCAGAAACUGCUCCUUCCUGUUCAGAAUGCGCGAGUCCAGCGAGAUCCCCUCUCCCAGCGCGGUCACCUGCUUCUCCAGCUCCCGCGACCGCAGCUCCCUCUCCGCCAACCUCUCCUCCACCAUCCGCAGCUUGUCCUGCAGCGUCUCGUUCUCCUCCUGCAGCAUGUCAAUCUCGUCGCGCAGAGCGGCCGUUUCUCUCCUCGAAUUCGGUCCCGACGAAUCGCGCCCGCUCCCAGACGACGAAGGCAGCGAAUCGGACGAGAACCUCCGCGCGCGAUCCACCAGCGGCUCGGGCGUCGGAGACGUCGACCUCGCCGCAGCCGGGGGCAGCACCGGCCGCGGUCGCUGCACUGCAGCCUGCUGUGCAGCGACCAGAGUCGUCGGCCGCAGCGCACCCCGGGGGUUCGCAGACGGCCGCAACGUGCUCCCCAGAGUCGCAGGACUGCUGUCAUACCGCCCCCUGGGAGCCAAGUGAGGAGACUGAUCCCUCGAAGAAUCCCUCGCGCUCGGGAUGUAAGGACUGUAACGGGGAAUGUCCAUGUCCUCCUCCUCGUCGUCUAUGGAAUCGCGAUUCGCCUGCAUCACCUGCGCCAGCCGCGCUGCCGCGGCCUUGGCCGCGUAAUUCUGGCUCUUCUUCACGGAGUUGAUCGAACCCGACCCCGACCCCGCCCCCUGCCCGGAUCGCGGAGGAGGCAUGCCCACGCUUCUCUGCCGCCCCAGCAGAGGGCUGCCGUUCCUCUCCGCCAUCACUCACACUCGCGAUCCACCUGCGCUCCGUUCUCUCCCCUUCCAACGCCGCCCACGCCCGUCUCGCCGAACCAAUGCCAACAACCCACCCUCGCGCACCCCAGCCCAGACAAAUCCGUCACACCCGUGGAUCGGCUGGGCGCUUAGGUCUCCCACUGACCCUUGCACCUCCACACGCCGUCCCUCACCAUGUCAAGCGUGCCUCCGCAGCUCCACCAGCUCGGCCAGUGGAAGUACCAAGCGCCGACAACCACCGGCCCGGUCGCCGCCACCACCGAACUCUACCCCCUGCAAAUGCCACACGCAUACCCCGUCAGUGUCGCACAUCGCUCCCAACCUCCUGCCCCACUCGCUGCUGCUGUCGCCUAUCUGCAACCUCGCAACCCGGACGCAACUGGGAAAUUCUACCAAUCUCAACCUCCUCAUCGACGCAAAGCCACCGCAUACGCAUUACCGCUACGACCUCACCAACAUUGCAUUCCUCGUGGCCCGUCAAUUGAGAGUGCCAAACCGGGACUCCACCACUCUCCUGCCCACCGCCGACACUCCACCUGAAACAGAGCCGUGCCUGUAUCGACCAUCGCACAAUCUCCGCUUCCCAACCCACCGUGCACAGAUCCGCGACCUAAGCCUCACCACGCUAUUGCCAUAACGGCGCGUCCCGCACACAAUCGAGCAAAACGACGAAUCGUGCCAGAUCCGCACCGCAAUCCGGCAGUGCACCUUUCGCUCCACUUCUACCGCUUAACCUAACAGCUAUCCCCAUCUGUGCGCUCAACGUCACUCGUACCACCUCAAAAUUGGUUAGGGAUCAGACAAUCCCCCCCGAAUCUCCACAAUCCGAACCACACAACCACCCAGACCCUGCAAACCUCCCACCCCCAAUUUCUACGCCCGCUCUACGGAAACCUGGAGCUACGGACAGAUAGGCAAAGGAAUCCAGUCCACCGACUUCCGACGCCAUCACCCAACUUCUCGACAAACCCAUCUCCGAUCCAGCGCGCAAUCACCCUCACCGCGGGCUCUCUCCAAUCCAAUCACGACAAGAACGGGUUGCUUUUCCAACGAACCUGCUGCCACGACCACAGCCGAAGGUGGCGACUCCACAGGCUGAAAGCAGCUUCAAAGCUGGGGAGGCGUCCAAAGAAGCUCCAAAACCCACGACCCCUGCGACGGUGAGAAGCAAGCUCGUGCACAGACACGUCCUCCAAGGAGCACACCACUCUCGCGUAUGCUGGAGGCGCUGCGUAAGGGGGAGGGAGAAAGAGCAUCCAUGUUCAGGCAUGGAGUCUGCAAUGGGAUAAGUGAAGCCUAUACUUGCUGCACCACUCUCCUUUGGUCAAUACCCGCCGGAACCAGCCCCUGGCUUUGGCGCAACCUUUUUCGCAAUUCACAGCAUUGGGUCGUUCUUACCCCUCGGGUUCCGUGUUUGUUAAUAUUAGAGUGAGAGGUUAUGCAGUGGAUGUUAGGUAUUUUAUUGUCGUAAAUAAUUUUGAAGUAUGGGUGGUUUGAAAUUACCGCGCUAUAGUUACUGUUGGAAGCUCCAUGAUGACCUGGGCUUGCAUAUUAUCUGUUCUUUAAUGUAAUUCUGAAACGGAUAUAUUUGUCGCCUUGAAUUUCGUGUAUUUGUAUUAUUUUUUAUUUUAAUACUGGCUUCAAUAUCAGUUUUUGGCGCCUGUUUUUAGAUUCUACGAUUUGGUCUUCUUGACAAGUUGAAUGAUACAAAAGCAGUUCAUCAGGAUUGGUCAAGCCGCAGCUGUGCUACAGCAUUACUUGAAGUGAAGUUAUUAGUUCAUAUUAUGCAGGCGAAUGUUAUUAUCAGAGACACGGAAAGAUAGACAUAUUGCGCAAAUUGCCUGGACCGGAUUUUGCCCUUCUAUAUCUUCCAUCCCAUUGUGUAACUAUCUUCGGCAUGUUCCAGCAGAAUCUUUCAACUUGGCGACCAACUCUUCUACAAGACGACCAGUCGAAGAAUCAGACAACGGAGGCCACUUAGCAGGACAUCCAGCAAAACUGUGACAUGCUCUAGAGUUGAGAGGAUGUUGAACUCGGCUAGCUUUUAAUCUUUGCAAUACACUGUCCAUUUAUCCAAUGAAAUGUAACGCUCCUCUUUCUUCUAGCUCUCACUUUGAACCUGAAACAUACACAAAGAAGGUAUGUCACGGGAAAACACAAUACAAACAACGCAAACCACCCGCAGCAGCUCCAAGGAUCCAUAACCGGACCCAGGAAUCGUCCUAUCCGGAGAUUGUCCCUAGAUCCGUCGGUCGGCGAUCAACGAUCCCGCUACGACCGAUAGUCGCAGCGCGACCCUGUAAACCCCGUCGCGACUCUGGAAGUCUUGCAGCUACUCUGGAUUUCGCCACGGCCUUGGGAGUCCUGCCACGACUCUGUGAGCCACUCAGCGAGCUUGACCUAAGGUUUAAUUAGGAUUUUAAUUAAGAUUAUAAUAAAAAAUUAUUUCUAAUAUUUAUUUAAUUUUUUAUUAUUUCUUUUAAAUUUUCUAUUUUUAGUAUUUAAAAAGAUUAUUGUUAUUUUUUAAAAUAUUUAUUUUUAUAUUUCUUUAAAAUUUCUUAUUAUUUUUCUUUCGAAUUAGUUUGGAACUUCUUUGUAUUUCUUUUAUAACUUUUUUUUAAUUUUAUUUUCAAUUGGUCAAAGUUCAAUCAAAAUUAUUAAGGUCUACUUAAGGUUAUUUAAGAUUCUAUUAGACUUGGUAGGAUUGUUGUUGCAUUUCUUCUUACCUUCUACAGCCAAGCGCUUGGUGCAUUGUCGUACUGUAAAAAUUUACAGUAUAUAAAAAUUAGUUAGAACAUAUAAUAUGUUCAUAAGACUUGGUGUAUGUUAGAAUGGUUAAAUAGAUUAAUUUAAAGAGAGUGGAUUUAAGAAACUUUAUUUUGAGUUUAUUUUUUUACUUAUAGCAUUUAAAAAAAAAAAAAAAAAAAAAAAAAAAAAACAUUAUUGAACCUAAAUGUUUAGUAUGGAACCUUGAGAGGAGAUUAGAACCUAAAGAAGAAAAUCUUAACUAAUAGGAGGCUUAUUGGAAGGGAUGAAAGCAAGGCAUGGUUGGAUGAAGGCAAAGAAUGGGAAACUUCAUUCCUAUUGGUCAAAGCUCAUAUACAAUGGGCUUCAAGGAGGCUGCCUGAGGCCCUAUUAGGGAUUAGGGUUUCUCUUUCGAGAUCAUUCGAGUUUUGGAGGCUAGGGUCAGAAAUUUUAGGAUUUUGGGUAUAAUUUGGAUAAAGAGUUUGUGUGAUUUCGAGUUUUUGUGAAGGAGAUAUAGGUGUUCAAAGUUAAGGUGUCAAAUUUGUACCUAUUGUCACUCUUUGAAGCAUAACAUAUGCGUACAGAGAGCAAUGAAAGAUCGGCGACUAGAGUUGGAGAGGACACUUUUUUUACUUCACUUUACAUAUACUGUUUGAUGAAUUUCAAUUCUGGAUGAAGGAGUUAUAGACAUUUGAAGACAGCACAUGUAAUUCAAAGGCAGUAAGUGAGUCAAAUUAUUGAUAGUAAUGGUUGGAGCCAUAUCUUGAGUUUUUGGACGAAUUUUUGGCUCAAAAUUUCCAUAGGUGUGAGGUAUUAAGUUAAGAAGCUAUAGAUCAAAGCUUCAUGGUAUUUGAAUACUUAUUUUGUGAGAUAUGAAGAAAUUAGCAUGCAGGUGUAAAUAAGCUAUUGUUAGGGUUUUGGCGAUAUCUCAAGAUCCGUAAUGAAUUUGCAGUUGAUUUUUUUGUGAAAGUUUUUGAAAGUAUAUCAAUACUUUAUGUAAAAUUUAGAAUUGUUUGGAUAGUCUGAUCAUGAGAUAUGAAUUGUUGAAGUUCAAGAAACAUCUUUCAUGAGGAUAUAUAAGGUUUUAAGAUCUUUAUCAUACAUUUAGAUGUUUUCUUGGUACUUGUGCUUGUGUUUUGAUAUAAUAUCCUAAAAAAAGAAUAUAUUAUAUGUAUAAACUUGGUUUUUUAUAUCUUAGACUUGAUUGAGUAUUUAGUGGCAGCUAAAAGCCCAAUGCUUUCUUGAGGCAAACUCUCUCUACCUCGACAUCGUUUUCAAGCAAGAAUACACAUAAUACAAUAUUGUGUCUUUUCUUUGCAAAAGCCUCUUUUGGCUUCUACAAAUUUUUUAAAGAUAAUUAUAUGGAACAUUCGAUAUCACUUCAUUCUUUUUGAUAUGUCUAACAUAUAGACAUUUUUGUGUAAUACUCUUUUGAUCACAUAAGGACCUACCUAUUUUUGGAUCCAUUUAAAAGUGAGGUGUGUUGGAUAAGUGACGUUACUACUAUUCAACUACAUUUUAACUCCUUUUUCAUAAUGUACAUCUUUCCUAUGUUUAUGAGUUUAUUUCUUAUAUGUACUUUGAGUUAACUCCAAUCUAACUUUCAUAAUUUUCAAUAAGGCCUCUCUUUUGGCCAUCCACCUUGUUCUUUCAAUUGAAUAAAAUCCGAAGUGAUUUCAUCACUCUGCCUAAUUCCUAUUAAGUCAAUUGGCUUGAGUGCAUGAAAGCCAUAAACCACUUAGAAAGGUGUAUUUGCUAAAAAUUUACUUUGAGUAGUAUUAAAACUAAAAUCAACUAUGUGGAACUAUUUAAUCUAAUUCUUAUGGUUACUUGCCACAUAGUGCUUUAGAUAUAUUCAAGAACUCCAUUGAUUCUUUUAUUUUGGCCAUCUCCUUAUAGGUGCUAAGUAGUAGUGAGUAUCAUCUUCGAACCUAAUUUUCUCAUGAUAUAUUGCUAGAAUUGAGUUGUGAAUUUCACAUCUCUAUGACUCAUAAUUGAAGUUGGUACUCCAUACAAAGAGAUCCAUCCAUCAAAGAAGAGAUUUGAUGUCAUUUUUAGAGCAAUUUCCAAUUCUUCUUUGAAGUCUUUUGAAAAUAUUGUCAUUAGUAUAAAUCAAGCGAUCUUACUAAAUCUAUCUACAACAAUCAAUGUGGAGAUAGCUUCAUCAUGCUUUCAUAAGUUAAUUAUGAAGUUGAUUGAAAUACAUCUAUAUAGUAGAAAUGAAAUAGGCAAUGGUUCCAAAAAUCCUACCUUUGUUUGUGUAGAUUUUUUUUUUUUUUUUUUUUUUUUUUUUAAUACACUAAGCAACUUCUUACAUAUUGCUUGACAUCUUUUCUUAUCAAAGGCCAAUAGUAAGACUUUGCCACAUCCUUCAAUGUAGUCUUUAUACCUCUAUGUCUCCCACAUAGAGAAUCAUGCACUUCAUACAUUACUUUCUUUUUCUAUUUGCCUUGUGAUAUAUAGAAUCUAGUUUUCUUAAAUCAAAUAAGUCCAUUUAUUUUAGAAAAAACUCUCAUAAGUCUUCUUUGCUCUCUUAUAGUUUUGGUUUGAAUAAAUGCUUUUCUUAUUUCAAGUAUAUCUUCAUCUUAUUUAUAGUCUUUCUUAAUACUUUUGAAAAGUGGGAAAUCAUCACAAUAUACUAUGGUCUUUAGUGACAUUAAAUCAUAGAGUUUUUCUCUCAUAAAUUCUUCCCUUCUACUUAGUGCAUCUUACAUUAACUUAUCUUUGUAUGGUUUGUGGAUGAGUUCAAUAUCCAUUGAAACUAUCAAAUCAUAUCAUCUCAAUUCUUUAGGAGAUGUUUGUGUCUUUAAACUAAAAUACUUAAGAGAAAUAUUGUCAAUAUAUAUCUUGAUUUUUCUACUUUCCAAAUAGUGUUUCAAGUCCUUAAACAAUACACUUCUACAAAUAACUCUUUCUUAUGUGUUGGCAAUCUUAACUUGCUUCUAUUUAGCUUCUUAUUCUCAAAAUUAAUGGAUCUUUUCUCUUGUAUUAAGACUCCACUUAUUACAAAAUCAUUUACACUAAUAUGGAUUUCAAAUUCCUUCUCAAAUUGAAGAUAGAACAAGACUAUACUUGAAACCAAAGCAUCUUUGAUCUUUUAGAAAGACUCUUUAUAAUCCAUAUCAUAUUUUAUGGCCUUAUUUUAUUUUUUCAAGAGACUUUUCAUGAGACUGGAAAUCUUUGAAAAGUUUCUUAUGAACUUUCUAUAGUAGUUUACUAGAUCGAAAAAAAGACCUAAUUCCUUUCUAAGUUUUUGGUACUUCUCAAGUUUUUAUUGCCUCAAUUUUCUUAGGCUCUAGCAUAAGUCCUCCAUUGAUAUUGUAUCCUAAAAUUCCAAUUCUUUUAAAAAUGAGACACUCUUUUCCUUAUUAGUAUAGAAUUGGUUUUUUUAUAAGUUUUUUUAAGAUAAUCUCUAAGUAUAAUUUGUGAUCUUUUUAACUUUUGAAAAAAACUAGAAUUUCAUUAAUAUAGACUACCACAAAUUCAUUACUUUCCUUGUAAAAGAUAGAAUUCAUCAAAGUAUUGAAGAUAGCUGGAGCAUUAUACAUUCCAAAGGACAUAACUACAAACUCAUAUAAAUCAUAUCUAAUUCAACAAGUAGACUUUUCUAUAUCUUCUUGAAUAAUUCUUAUUUAAUAGUAACCACUCUUCAAAUCAAUUCUACUAAAAUACUUACUAUUAUUCAACUAUCCAAUAAGUCAUCAACUCUUGGAAGUGGAUAGUUUUUUUUUAUAGUGAUCUUAUUUAAGGCUCUAUAGUCAAUGUAUAUCCUCAACUUACCAUCUUUUUUGCUCACAAAAAGAACUGCGGCUCCAAAUGGAGAUUUACAUUGUCUAAUGUAGUCUUUUUCCAACAAUUCAUUGAAUUAUUUCUUGAGUUCUUUCAACUCUACUUGAUUCAAUCUAUAAGGUGCUUUACUUGGAGAUUGUGUUUUUAGAAUAAGAUCAAUCUUAUAAUCCAUCAACUUAUUUGGUAGUUGUUCCUUUGGAAAUUUAUUUAUCAAAACAUCUCAAAAUUCCAACAUGAGAUUUUUCACAGGUUUUCAUAAUGUGGACUCGCCUUCAACAACACUUUUUUAUUAAGAAAAUUAUCUAUAUAAAUCACUACUUCUCAAAUUUAAGAGGAAUUAUUCUCCUUCUAACUUACUUUGAAAAACUAUAAGAUUCUAGAUUGACAUAACAUAGGGAGAUUUGUAAAUGGUAAGUAUACUAAUUUUUUAUUCUCUCCAACCAUGACUAUUCUUAACUUAGACUUCCAUCAAAGUUCCAUUAUAUUUAAGUCUAAGAAAGUAUUUCCUAAUACUACAUCUAUUCUAUUAGCAUUAUAUACUAUGAAGUCUUUUUAGAAUCUUUUAUUUCCACAUUUGAAUUUCAUAUCUUUUACAAUCAAGUUAGUUUUCUUUCUACCAUAGGCAAAAGACACCUUCACUUUUUUAGUCGGUUCUUGACCUAAUUCCAAUUUUUUGGCAUAAAUUGGACUCAUAAACAAGUUGGUUGCCUAUGUGUCAAUUAAUAUUGAAACCUCAAUAUUUUUAACUUUAGAAUUUAAAUAAAUGAGUUUCUUAUGUAAACUUAUUAAGGUGGAUUUUCCUUCAAAACCACCUUUUCUUACUAUGAUUUGAAGUUUUUCAACUUCAUGAGUUUCAAACAAUAAAGAAGUAAUAAAAAUUUCACUUACCUUUUUAGGUACUUCUUUAUCUUUACAAUCAUUGGCACAGUGUCUCUUUUGUUGACACUCAAAAUAAGUUGUAUUAGAAGGACUUGCUUUAAUCUUCUUAGAAGUACUUUCUUGGCUCUCGUUAGUCUUGAGCUUAGAGAAUUAGAGACUUGUUUCUUCAAAUCUUUUCUUUCGAAAAGUGAAUUUUAUUGUUACUAUGGAAGGACUUAGCUUUCCUUUAGUAGUUAUACUUCUCUUCCUAAGUUUAAGUCAUAGUAAUUAGCUCACUAUGAUCCACCUCUUAUUCUUCCAUUUCCAAUUACAAAGCCAAAGCAAAGGCAUUAAUUAUGUUGGAAGAAAUAGUUUUCCUCUUCUAGUAUUUUUUUUUUGUUGCCACAUUCAAUCCAUUAUAAAAAAAAGUGUAACAAACACUUUUCAUAAUCCAAUUGAAUAUGAACAAGCUGGUUCUAGAAUUUUGCAAUAUAUUUGAGGAAUAAGAUCUUUCCAACUUCCUACUUUAGUUUGAAAAGUUACAAUCAUUUAAUAAAGUUUUUCCAUUUGCUCUCAAACCUCUCAAUGAGUCCAUUAUAUAUUUCUAUCUAAAUAAUUUCUUUAGCAUAACUAAAAUUAAAUUUUAUUUCACCAUCAAAAAAAUUCAAAGCACUUAUUUUUAAUAGAUCUAAUAAGAUUUUAAUUUUAUCUACAUCACUUUCAAUGUCAUUGGCCAAAUAUCAAUAUUCUACCUCCUUGAAAAACCUCGUAGUUUUUCUAUACUGCAUGUUUCUCUACUUUUUUGGUUGAUUUAUUUUGGCUCUAUGGAAACUUGACUUAUUUUUUUGGCUUUCAAAUAAGGCUUUUUUCUUUACAUUCUUCUUCAUUAUGGAUUUUAUAAAAAAUUAGAUCACUUCUAAUUUCUUUUCAAAUUCUUUAUCAUUUUCUUCUAUCUACCCUUUAGCUUUUUAUUGAGCUUUUGGAAGAUUUGGAAGUACUUUGACUUUAGAAUCUUAGAUUUCUUCCCUCUUAGUCAUUUUCUUCUUCCUCACUUUGAGAAAUUUGAAUUUCUUUCAAACUCUCAAGAGGUUCUUCUUAGACUUUUUUAUGCUCUUCUUGGAUCUCUCUACGUCUUUCUUUUAAAGGCAUUGGAAUCUCUACCUCAAAGAAGAUUUGAUUUUUAAUCAAUUUUCUUCUUGGUUUAGCUUGUUCACUUAUUUGAAUUUUUUGCAAAUUCAUUUCAAGGACCUCUUCAUCUUCCAAUUGUUGAAUAGAAGAUUUUAUAAUUUUCUUCACCAUUUUGAUCAAGCUUUUUUUGACUUAAUCAAAAUUUUAUCAAGAAAUUUUUCUUUAAAGUCUUCAUUCCAAUUUUGAUACAGCAAGCUUUGAUACUACCUGUAAUACUCUUCUUUCUUCUAGCUCUCACUUAAAACCUAAAACAUCCAUAUAGAGAGUAUUACUUCACAAAAAACAUAAAAUAAAUAACACAAAUAACACAAAUAAAUAACACUAAAGAUCCAUAUUUAGCUAAAUCUAGGAAUUGUCUUAUCUUAGGAUAAACUCUAAAAUCAUGGAUUGGCAAUCGAUAAUCUCGCUACGAUUGAAAGUUGCAAUACGAACUUGUAAAUUUUAUUGCAACUUUAAAAGUCACUUGUAUUGCUAUAUUAUAAUUGUUUAUAGUAUAUAAAUAAUUAAAUAAAAUAUAUAAUAUAUUUAUAAGUAUUGAUAUAUAUUAUAGUGGUUAAUAGAUUAAUUUAAAAAGAUUUGAUAUAAGAAAAUUUAUUUUAAGAUUUAUCUAUUUUAAUUAUAGUAUUUAAAUUAUAUAAGAUUUAGAUAUUUAAUAUAAAAUUUUAAGAUAAGAUUGGGACUCAAAGAUGAAGAUCUAAACCUCCAAAGAACUUAUUUGGAGGGAUGAAAGCAAGGUAUAGAUGGUUGAAGGCAAGCGAUAAAGAUCUUCAUCCCUAUUGGUCAAAAGUCAUACCCAAUAGGUGUCACGGCUAUAAUCAUGUAAGUUAAUAAUUACAUAUAGAAAUAGGUAGAAGUAAGUAAAAGUAGGUAAAAGUAAGUUAAUUCUAUAAUAUUUAAUAUAAAAGCUUCCUAGAAACUUCCUAGACGCUGCUUUGACUUCAUAGGUGUCUUUAAUUGACUUUUUGGAUUAGAAACGUGGUCAACAAGUUGGCCAUGUGCCACACAUGUUGUUAGCUUGAAGAUCAAGCUAACUAUGUGGCCCACACGUAGAAAAACUUGUCUUGUAAGUCAAGGCAUGUGCCUUACAAAGUCAACACAUAUUGGAGGUCCUAUAGAACGUCGCCAUGUAGCCCCUAGUUAGAGAGUAUAUAUAGAGACAAGAGUGAAGGCUUCUUCACUCUUGUCAACUCCUUUCUUGCUUCUAGUCUGUUUCAAGGGUCUCUAGUUUUCUUGUCUUUUGGCAAUAGCCAUUCCAGUUUUUCUUUCAAUAUAUAUACUUGUUUAUAUAUAUUUUGUUACCUCUCUUUGAGUGAAUGCUCACUUGUUUGAAUUGUUUUUUUCAUCAAGUUCUUGUCCUUGACAGAUUGACAAGAAUCCACUUACAAUAUCAGAGCUUUGUUUUUCUUUAGUAAGAGUGGAUUACCCCUUUCUCUUGACAAGACAUAAGCAUAUUAGAAGUUUGCGGAGUACCCACUUCUAAACUGAUAUUGUUCUUAGUAUCUUCUUUGUUAUCAAGUCUUUUCUUUUUCUUUUGUCUUGAGCAAUAUCAGACAAAUUUUUCUUCUUAGUAUCAUUAUGGCAGAGCUUGUUGAAAUGAAGAGUGCAAUGGCACAAAUGCAAGAACAAUUGAGGGAGUUAAUGCUUGCGAUGCAUCAACUCAAUUCACCAACACAGGAAAGAACAAGAAUAGCAGAAAGUGGAGAUAUAGAGAUGAUCGAAGCUGCUUCAACAUCUGUACCAAAUCACAUUCCUUCUCCAAUUGUACAACACCCUGUAAGCACUAGAGAACCAAGAAUUGCUAUACUCGAGAAAUUUGAUGGUACAAGAUCAAAGUUUCGAGGGUUCAUCAAUCAAGUACAAUUGGCAAUUGAACUUCAACCGCAAAGCUAUCCAACUCUAGGAUCACAAGUCAGGUUUAUUGACACUCUACUUUCUGGUUCUGCAUUAUCGUGGUUUUCGUCUUUUCUUGAACAACGAAAUCCAAUAUUGGACAAUUUGAAAGCUUUUUUGGUGGAGUUUUGAUCUAUGUAUGGUGAAUACGAUGCAACUCAUGUCGCAACAAACAAGAUCCGAAUUCUGCGACAAGGAAACCGCUCAAUAACAAUGUAUGCUUCACAAUUUUGACAACUUAUAAUUGACAUCAAGUGGGAUGAUGCUGCACUCAUCAGUCAAUUUCUUUAUGGAUUGCAAUACGAAGUAAAGAAAUUGAUACUCAACUUUAUCUGAUCUUCAAACUUUGAGUCAAGCAAUCGAUUUUGCGGUAAAAUGUGAUAAUCGACUUUUUGAAUUUCAAUUCGAGAGUCGUACACGAGAACCUCAACGUUAUUACUCAAUGGCAACAUCAGCAUCUUCGCCAAACGUACAUUCGAAAGUAGAAGACAUGCAAAUUGACGCGAUACGUUUUAAACCCCUAACUGAGCAAGAAAAGAUUUGUCGUCGUCAAGAAGGAUUAUGUUUAUACUGCGGAGAACCUAAGCACACUGCUCAACAUUGUCCAAAGAAACAACGUAACUGUAAAAUGAGGGGUACGGCAGUCAAAGAAGACAACAUGUCGAAAAACGGAUUCGUCUAGCUACAAUAGGGACCGUGCAGCUGGAACCUUAUACCAUUCCUAAUGAAGGCCCUAUCCUCUCCUCAAAACCCUCUUCUUGUUUUAUAAUAGAAUUAUAUUUAGGACCUAAGAAUUACAAAGCCUUUGCUUUAUUAGAUUCGGGAGCCUCAGCAUGUUUUUUAGAUGAAAAAUUUGUUAAAAGUCAUAAAAUACCUUUUGUACAGAAAACUAAACCUGUAAAGGUAGAAGUCAUUGAUGGCCGUCCUUUGUCUUCUGGAGAUGUCACUCAUGAAACUCGCCCUAUAAAAGUAACAAUAAACGGUCAUGUUAGCUACAUAGCUUUAACAUAAUUAAAUCCCCGUCCAAUCCAGUUAUUUUAGGUUUAUCCUAGCUAGAAAAAUAUAACCCUCGAAUAGAUUGGAAUUCUCGUAAACUUGACUUUUACCAAAGCAUUAUUAAUAGUUCUACCAAGCAAGUAAAAAGUUAUAAAUCUAGUAUAGUAAAACUCGUACUUAUAGGUGCAAAAGCAUUUAUAUACGCAGCAAAAGAAGGAUCAACUUUUGCUAUUUAUGCUGCACCUAUUUCUGAAAGCGUAAAGACUUCAAGUGGCAUUCCAAGUCAAUAUCAGGAGUAUCAAGACGUUUUUGAGAAAAAGAAUGCAGAUAUUCUUCCUGAGCAUCGCCCAUAUGAUUGUUCAAUCGACCUCAAGGAAGGAACUCAGCCACCAUUUGGACCAAUUUACAGUUUAUCGCAAGAUGAGUUGGCUGAACUCAAGACAUAUAUUGACGAGAAUUUAGCGAAGAAUUUCAUACGCCAUUCAAAAUCUCCAGCAGAAGCUCCAAUUUUAUUCGUAAAGAAAAAAGAUGGAUCUUUGCGAAUGUGUGUUGACUAUCGAGGACUCAACAAGAUCACAAUCAAGAACAGGUAUCCAUUACCUUUGAUAUCAGGACUCCUUGACCAGUUGAAUCAAGCUAAGAUUUAUACAAAAAUAGAUCUAAGAGGAGCAUAUAAUCUAGUACGAAUCAAAGAAGGAGAUGAAUGAAAGACUACGUUUCGAACCAGGUACGGACAUUUUGAAUAUAAUGUCAUGCCUUUUGGACUCACGAAUGCACUAGCUGCUUUUCAACAUCUCAUGAAUGAUGUAUUUCAUGAAUUCUUAGACAAUUUUGUCGUCUGCUACUUAGACGAUAUCCUGAUCUAUUCUAACAACGUCGAAGAGCAUAAAAUACAUGUUUGUCAAGUAUUACAAAAACUUAGAGAUGCAGGAUUGUAUGCCAAGAUGGAAAAGUGUGUAUUUCACACUACUCAAGUUGACUUUUUAGGAUACAUCAUUUCAAAUGAUGGUCUCAUGAUGGAUUCUAAGAAAGUCCAGAUAAUCAUGGAUUGGAAGAUUCCAAGGACAGUAAGAGAUGUUCAAUGUUUCUUGGGAUUUGUCAAUUACUAUCGAAUCUUCAUCAAAGAUUUUUCACGAGUUGCAGCUCCACUUACACGCUUGACCAAUAAAGACAAAUUCCAAUGGAAUCAAGAAGCGGAAGCAGCAUUUGAAGCCUUGAAGACAUCGUUUGUAUGUGCACCAGUCUUAUAUCGUGUUGACUUUUCCAAGGCAUUUUUUAUGGAAACAAACACAUCGGAUUUUGCCUUGGGUGCAGUUUUGUCACAAAUGGGAACAGAUGACAAACUUCAUCCGAUAGCUUUUCAUUCAAAAAAAUUCUCAACAGCCGAGAUCAAUUAUGAGAUCCACGAUAAAGAACUGCUUGCAAUCGUGGAUUCCUUUCAAGAAUGGCAUCAUUAUCUAGAAGGUGCUUCUAGUCAAGUCACUGUGUAUACAGAUCACAAGAACCUCGAGUAUUUCAUGUUAGCACGCGUGUUGAAUCGUCGUCAAGCUCGUUGGAGUAUGUCUUUGUCAAGAUUCAAGUUCAUUAUCACUUAUCGGCCAGGAAAAUAACAAGGUUUGUCCAAUGCAUUGUCUAGACGUUCUUAUUUUGCACCAAAAGAAGGAGAUGCAGCUUUUGAGCAACAAAGAACAGUCCUCUUGACACCGGAGCAUUUUCAUCUCCGAGCAAUGAAAUCAACAUUGACUGUUGAUUCAACUUCUCUCAAGCAAAUCCUGUUCAGUAUGUCCUUAGACCCUCUUGUUCAUGAUAUUGAGAAUAAUUCUUCGAAGUUUCAUGAUUCUUCUAAGUUCGAGUUCAAGAAUAAUCUAUUAUAUUUUGAAAGACGCCUAUAUGUUCCAGAAGGAGAAGCACGUUUACGUGUUCUUCAAGCACGUCAUGAUUUUCUAGCAGCAGGACACUUUGGAUAUAAUAAGACUUUGAAACUCAUAUCAAGAGAUUUUUGGUGGCCACAAAUGUGGAAGUCAGUCAAAGACUUUGUACAAUCAUGUAAUAUUUGUUCAAGAUCAAAAACUCCUCGUCAUCGACCUUACGGACUUCUUCAGCCAUUACCUAUACCAGAACAACCAUGGUCUUCUGUUUCUAUGGAUUUCAUCACAGAUCUUCCAAGCUCAAGAUCUUAUGAUUCUAUAUUUGUGAUAGUAGAUCGUUUCACCAAGAUGGCACAUUUUGUGCCAUGUACAAAAUCUAUCACAGGUAAAGAAACAGCUAAGUUUUUCAUUGAUAAUAUCUAUCGCUAUCAUGGAUUACCUAAAGAUAUCAUAUCUGAUAGGGGAACUCAAUUUGUGUUGAGAUUUUGGAGGAUCCUUUUCAAGAUUUUAAAAGUGGACAUAAAGCUAUCUUCGGCUUUCCAUCCUUAAACUGAUGGACAAACAGAGCGCGUAAACCAAGUCUUGGAGCAGUAUUUAAGGUGUACCAUCAACUACCAACAAGAUGAUUGGACAACCUUUCUGCCAUUGGCAGAGUUUGCUUAUAAUAAUACGGUACAUUCCUCCACACAACAAACACCUUUCUUUGCCAAUUAUGGCUAUCAUCCACGACUUGAUGCUUUUGAUUUUUCAAAAGUUGAUAAUCCUGCAGCAGAAGAUAUGGCAAAUCGAUUGUCAAAGUUACAUGCAAUAACGAAGGCGCAAUUGAAGGAAGCUCAAGAACGACAAAAGAUAAACGCAGAUGUAUAUCGUAAAGAGCAACUACAACUCAACGUGGGUGAUAAGGUAUGGCUACUUCAUCGUAAUAUCAAGACCACUCGUCCUUGCGACAAGUUGGACUAUCGAAGGCUGAGACCAUUUUCUAUUUCUGCACAAAUCAAUCCAGUUGCAUAUCGUUUACAUCUACCGAAGACAAUGAAAAUCCAUCCAGUAUUCCACGUGUCUCUUCUUGAACCAUACAAGACAGUGGACAUACCAAGAAGACGACAAGCUCCACAUCCUCCUAUAGAAGUGGACAAUAAUGAAGAGUUUGAAGUAGAAGAAGUCUUAGAUUCAAGGCAGCCUCGAAAUAAAAUAGAACAUCUUGUCCAUUGGCGCGGAUAUGAUUUUAGUGAACGCACAUGAGAGCCAAUGAAGAAUCUUGCAAAUGCAAUAAAGGCGGUGGAGGCUUUUCAUCGACAACAUCCAUCAAAAUCAAGAUGAAAACCUUCUUUAUAAAAGAAACAACAUCUAGGCAAGAUAACAUUCUACUUUUCAAUUCUUGUUCGUAGCUUCGUUGUAGUAGUGGCGCUCAGGAGAUGGAGAACCAACAACCAGUGGAUUCAACUCAAGAGCCUUUAUUUGCUGACCUGUCGGACGAGACAUUACAAUUGUCACAACCUUCAAGACCACGCAAUCGAGAUGAAGAUCUUCAAGAACGACAUGUUCUUCCUCAAAUAGAUGGUGAGAUACAACGCGUUUGAUAUCACGAUUUCGGAAGGAACUCUCGAUGUUUGGUGAUUUUGUUAGAGGUGGGAACAACUCCUGAUGGUGUUCCAAAUAUUCUAUUCGAAGGAAGUUACGAAGGCCUCAACAAUGAUCAAAUAACUGGGUGGUCUUCCCGCCCUAGUAUGGGACACUACCGAUGCUUGAGAGGCCCUAUCAAUCAUCUUCGAAGAGAACAGAGAUCAGAGUAUGUGGCGAAUACAAUUCGUCGCAUCAUAGAUUUUCUCAACAUAUGAUGACCGCUCCUCGUGGAACUCGUCCCUAGAAGGGGGGGUAAUGUCACGGCCAUAAUCAUGUAAGCUAAUAAUUACAUAUAGAAAUAGGUAGAAGUAAGUAAAAGUAGGUAAAAGUAAGUUAAUUCUAUAAUAUUUAAUAUAAAAGCUUCCUAGAAACUUCCUAGACACUGCUUUGACUUCAUAUGUGUCUUUAAUUGACUUUUUGGAUUAGAAACGUGGUCAACAAGUUGGCCAUGUACCACACAUGUUGUUAGCUUGAAGAUCAAGCUAACUAUGUGGCCCACACGUAGAAAAACUUGCCUUGUAAGUCAAGGCAUGUGCCCUACAAAGUCAACACAUAUUGGAGGUCCUAUAGAAUGUCGCCACGUAGCCCCUAGUUAGAGAGUGUAUAUAGAGACAAGAGUGAAGGCUUCUUCACUCUUGUCAACUCCUUUCUUGCUUCUAGUCUGUUUCAAGGGUCUCUAGUUUUCUUGUCUUUUGGCAAUAGCCAUUCCAGUUUUUCUUUCAAUAUAUAUACUUGUUUAUAUAUAUUUUGUUACCUCUCUUUGAGUGAAUGCUCACUUGUUUGAAUUGUUUUUUCAUCGAGUUCUUGUCCUUGACAAUAGGCUCUCAAGAGACUAUCUAUGACCAUAACAAGGAUUUCAAUUACUUCAAAAUGAGCAUUCAAGAAUUAUAAGGAAGGAUUAUAAGGUUUAAGAUUUGGACUACAAUUUUAUUUACAAAUUUUAGACAAUUUGGAAUUAGGGUGAUGAAGUUAUAGCUAUUGAAGUUAAGGUUUUUUUUUUAGACAUAUUGUUGCUCUUUCAAGGAUAUGAGGAGUUUUACAACAGCUUUUGGAGAUUGAAAGAUAUGAUCGCAAAGGUGAUUUUAAGACCUACAUCUUUUAUAAAAGUAUUUUUGUAUUUGGAAUUUGUAUAAAGGAGUUAUAGAAUGUUGAAGAUAGCACAUGUAAUUUGAAGGCAAUAAGUGAGUCGUUUUGUUGAUAGUAAUGGAUUGGAGCCAUAUUUUGAAUUUUUGGACAAAUUUUUGGCUCAAAAUUUUUAAAAGUGUAUGUUAUUAGGUUGUAAAGUUAUAUAUCAAAAUUUUAUGGUAUUUGAAUAUUUAGUCUAUGAAAUAUGAAGAAAAUUGUAUACAUAUAUAUGUAAGCAAGGGUUUCAAGCUAUUGUUAGGAUUUUAGCGAUAUGUCAAGAUCUAUAAUGAAUUUAUAGUUAAAAUUUGUUGUAAUAAUUUUUGAAAGUAUAUUGGUACUUCAUGUAAAAUUUUAAUUUUUUUGGAUGGUCCAAUCGUGAAAUAUGAGUUGUUGAAGUUUGGAAAGAUUUCAUCUUCAGGAUAUAUAAGGUUUUAAAAUAUUUUUAUCACAUUUUGGAUGAUCUUUGAUGCUAAGGGCUUAUAUAUUGAUAUAAUUGCCAUUAUAGGGAUAAUUUCAUAUAUAAACUUGGUGCUUUUCUAUCUUAUGACUUGAUUGAGCAAUUAGUGAUAGCCAGAAGCCCAACACUUUCUUAAGGCAAAUUCUCUCUACUCUGACAGCGUUUCAUAAGUUUUGAUGCUACUUUGUAGGUUCUACCAGGCCUUGAGAGUCUUGCUACGAGCUUGGCCUUAGCACAACACGAUUCAUAAGUAGUGUCUCAGUCUCUUGUUGCAAUGCCUCUUCUAAUCGCAACUUAAUGGGAAGUCAUCUUGAGAACAAUCUCUAGUUUCUAAGGAGACUUCUCUCUAUGACAAAACCAAACCAAAGUCUUGGUUUCUCUAAAGAAAGUGAGUCUUGGAUCUUUUCUAAAAGUACUCAAGGCUCACACCUAAUACUAACUUAUUUUGCACCCCACUUUGAAUUCUCGCACAAGAUUUACCUCAGGGUAAAGAAGGUGGUCCCCUCAACCUCUCAUAAUGCCACCACACUUUAGGAUCAUCCUAAGCAUCGAGGACCCUUUGGCUUGGAACUUGUCUUUUAACAAACAAGUGAGGGAUCGAUUCUUUUUGACCUUUACAUGCAAUAGGACAAGUGCUUUAAGGCAUGAAUGAAGGUGUCUAACCAAAUUAUAUAUACAUGGUUGUAAUCUAGAGGUGACUUUGGCAACAAGAACCAAAAUGUUUUUAGGUAGAUUAAAGUUGAUAAAUUUAAUGAGUAGUUAGUUUGAGGUCCUCAAAUUGCAGAUCAUUGAGUUUUGUAAGUACAACAUUCAUGAUUGCUGACAUGAGGGAUCAUACUAAAGAAUUAUGCUGCACGUGAAAAAGAACUUGCUGGAGAAAGAUCAACGGUCUCUUGAGCUGGUUUAGAGGCACCCCAUCUAAGCCUGAUUUUACCUCCAUAAGACAAGUCGUGUCUUAAUUAAAGAUCCGUGUCCGGUGAUCAUAUUCGUUGACUAGAUGGUCGACCACAAAAAGUGCCAUACUUGGGACUUGUUAGAAAGCAUCUGUUGUUGUACUUCCCUGGCCUCUUAAAUCCGUAAUUUACAGGGUCAUCCUAAUAGAAAUUUUAUGUCAUCAAGGGGCAUUUCAUUGAGUGUACCGGUGCUUCACAGGAGAAUAGUGGCCAUCGCCAGAGUCAUAAUCCUUAUCAGGAAUUGGCAGCGUUAGAGACGCAUCCACUGCCAAGCUCGUCUUCGUAGCUGCCAAGCUCAGCUGCAGAGAGAACAUCUGCUUCUGCCACAUCUUCUCCACGGAGAACUUUGAUUCAGACACCAUGCACAGUACAUCGUAAUGCAGGAGCCUCUGCCGCAUUGUCUUCGUGGCAUUGUCUUCCUCCUUGCUUAUUGCAUUCUCCGCCAUGAUUGCACGCCGCUGCAACUCCAGAAGGCAUGAUGGGUUGUGCCUUGACAGCAGCCACUUUCACUGCCUGCAAGACACAGCAAUUGUAGAAUAAAUUUAAUAACUACAUGAAGAGGUCUGAAUUGUGGGGAGGGGGUGAAGAUUUCAGGGGAUCAAACUUGAAUAAGGCUCUAUCCGAGCCUAAUGAACUGGAAGUGCUUCCGUGAUGUACACCAGGAAAGCCUGUCAUGAGAGGCACUUAUGAUGGUAAGUUUGGAUAUAGAUGGAACUCAAAGCUCUACUGUCCAGCACGGAAGAAUUACUGUGCAAUGCCAACUUGGCACUUACCUCGAAGUAUGCAACUUCCUCCAUAGCUCAUUUUUUCCAGGAAUCCUUGUUUUUCGAGGAGUUUUCCUCUUCCUGAAAUAAACUAAAUCAACUUGGCAAAGUCUUGUCUUCAUAACAUCAGGUAGAAAUUGGAAUGAGGGAAACAAAUCAACGACUUGUGGAAGAUAUCGCUUGAACGUUAGAAUGAUGUUUUGUACCGUUUUAUACUGUACUACAUUGUGCAGGAUUCUUGAAGUAUUAUAAGAAACAUGCAAGUAUGAAUAAAUGUAAUGUUUUCAGACGUUGGAUCUCUCCUUCAUACUGACAAGCUCAGAAUGCCUAAUCGCGUUCACCUUUGAAGCAGACAUUGCAAUUCAGAGACGAUAAAUGCGAUUCAGCACUACCAUGGAACAGAAUCAUUCAUAAUCUGUCGUGCUGCAUCUCCUCGUAAGCACCACAACACAUCCUACUAAUUACUAGUUUUUUUUUUAUGUGUGGAGAUUUAUUUUUUAUUUAUUUUUGUUCCUGUAAUAAUAAUAAAAUUUCCUCAGACCGACAAGCACUGUCUACAUUAAUAUGUGAUUUACAUACAUGCUUGAGUUAUGACAAAUUCCUCUCACAUAUAAAUGUAAAUCAUGCUACAAAGUCCUGUUAAUUUUCUAGUUCACCUGGUCACAGCUAUGGAACAGCUAGAGAACGAUCUCUGCGAAAAUGAUUAUCUCCCCUAUCUUCCUAAUAAUCAGAGCUUUUCAGUGCAGCAUCAAAAUGAAGCCUUAACGAGUAAAAAUGAGCAGAACCUUAGAAUUUCAGCCCACUUCACCUUAUUCAGACGCAACGAGUCAUCCUCCUUUCAUUUCUUGGCAGAAGCUGGAGAUGUUGUAAAAGGAAGGGAAUGAAAAUGCAAACCAAGUGUGUGAGUUGAAGGGAUAUGAAGUGCAGGCGAUUUUUGAGCAGUUGGAUAACUGAAACUUGGCUGUUCGUGAAGAAAUUCCUGGUUGGAGUCAGAAGAUUUAACCUUUCAUCAAAGGUAAUGGACAAUCUUGCAAUGCUUCGCUUUGGCAGCAUGGAAAGAGCAGAUAUAACUGAAGGGGACGUUGCGAAUUGGGGACACGGGAAGGGUCCAUAGCUCGCAACCAUCAUACUCCCCAUAAGAGAUCUUUUACCAUUUUCAGAUGCAAGAUCAGAAGGAAUUGACAGUUACUUCGAGGGCAAGGUAAUAAAUUCGGCUGCCUAAACCAAUUUGAAUACGGAGACUUGAUAGCAGUAUUUUCCUUCAAAAUCAUAGAGGAGACUUUCACAGGAAGAGAGAGAUCAUCCAAGCACGUGUCCAGGGUCUUCUUGGAUCAGAUAGAUGUUGAUGUUUGCGCCCUCCACUCUCAUAGAUCACUUUCUGUGUUUUUGUUUGAAUAAGAUUUUAGGUUGCAGCAAUAGCAUUGUUUUCUUUACUAGGUGAUUAUAACCCUCCUCUAUUGUCCAAUUUAUUUGUUGUAGCUAUUGUGUCAAGUAAAAUAAAAUAUAAGACAAAGCUUGAUAGAUAGUCAAUGGGGUUACAAACUGUUUUUUAGAGUUCUUCCGGAGGAUUGUAGGAACCACCAUUGCCAAGAAGUUAUUGUGUUGGGGUUGAUAUUUCCAUCUCAAGGCUGUCUAGAAGGUAGAGUGGAUAUGUGUUGUCAUACAUCCUACUGCUCUUUUGUGGAGCUGGUCCAUAAUUUCAUUCCACGUAUUUUGCUUGAUGGAUUUUCAAACUUACUCUAGUAUUUCUCACUAGAUUAAGGGCUACCAUUUUUUGUAGUGACUUCCAGACCCAAUUUCUGGAGAUGUACUGUUGAGACUGGAUUUGGAGCUAUUAAAUGGAAUGGAAUCUAGGAUAUGUAUCAUUUGGUUUGGUUGUUUUCUGGAUUUAGUAUGGUCAUUGGUGGGCUUUCUAGUGUGGCUGCAAUUUGUGGUAUUGUUAUCAUAUAAUUGACACCUAUUGCAACAAGUGGUGAAUCCACUAUACAGAAGCAUAUGUUCUUAUUCAUUCUUGUCAUAGGUGUCCAUUCUUGUGAUAAUAAUUGAUUUUGAUAAUAUAGCUAUAUUUUCCAUUAUGAUUCUAAAUCUGCCACUUCAUACCUUAGAGAAAUGUAGCUCAUUAUUGUUGAUCAUAAGGACUUCAAAGACUUGUGUGAAAAGUAGUUGUAGAAAUGUUUUUGUUUGGAGGGCUUGCAAGAGUCCUAUGACUUACAUCCAUAGAGUAUUCUUGAGUUGUUUGUGCAUAGCAAAUUUUUUUCAAUUUGUAGUAUGGCAUCCAUAUAUAGAAAUAUUUUUUUUAUUAUCUAUUUUAAAACUAUAUGUUACCAAAGUAUGUUUCAUUCCUUUUAUUUGGUUGAAUUGAAUUUCCACAUAAUUAUUUUUUCUCAUGAUUAAGCAUUAGAACAAAUGAAGCAAUCUUGCCUUAGCAUAGAUGAUCAAUUGCUUAAUUUUUAGGCUGUAUUUUUUCAUAAGGCCCAGCAUUAUGUAUUUUCUUAAUUGAGUCAUCUAUUGUUGAUAUUUGAGUUAUAUGUCUAUAGAUGUUGUGAGGUUAAUAGGUAUUGUGUUGGUUUUUGCAAUUAGUUUUGUAAUGGUACUAUCUACAAGUUAUACAAAUUUGGUGGUGGAUUCAUUGGUAUCAUUGUGCUAGAUGUUAUAGUUCUAAUAUAGUAUGUAAAAAAGAAGUGAGAAGGUUUAGAAAGACUGGCUUUGGUACUAUGGAAAUGUCUUUUUUCUUUAUUAAUUUGUAUGUAAAACUUUUGACUUGCAAUUUCAUACAUGUUUUUGUAAUAAUUAGAAUAUAUCCUAUUGAAUUUUAUACUAUUAAGAAAUAAUUCUAUAACUAUGCUAUUUAUUAAAGUAAGUAAAUAAAAAUAAAAGUAAAAUAAUUUAUAUUAUAGAAAAUAUUAUCUUAAAUAAUUUGCUAAUAGUUAAAAGAUUGAUUCUUAGUAUGUAAGAAAGUCAAGAGAUAAGAUAGAUGAAUGGACAAAAGAUCUUAAAAAUAUAUAGAAUAUGCUAAAGAUAUAUUCUCAUAGUAGAUAAGAUACCAUCAAUAGUCUUAGUAGAAUAUUGGAUAGAUAUAUUCAUCAAAGGAUGGAAAUUAUCUAUGAAAGCAACAACCACCACCUAUAAGUAACAGAUAAUGGAAGUGAGAGUAAUCUUAUUUCAUACUCUCUUUGUAUACAAUCUUAUUGAUGCUAUGUAUUAUGACUUCAAAAUUUUAAUUUUGCAAUAGGUUAUAGACUCGCUUACCUUUAAUUCUAAGUUUUGAAGUUCUUUAAAGUUUUUUUUUUUUGUGAAGAAUAGAUCUUAUGAUUAUUAUUGAUAUUAAGAUUUGAUAAUAUCUAAUCUCACUUUUCUAUCUAAUUAUUAAUUUAUUUUUUUCUUACUUGUUAUUUAAUGCAUUCAUGGUCUUGAAAGUUAUAAGAUACCUUAAAAUAAUAUUUUAAAAUACUAAUAUUAUGUUUCUUUAUUGAAUUACAUCAUUGAUACAGUAACAUUAUGUUUUUAUGUGUUAAAUUUCUUAAGAGGUCUUCUUAUAGUAAUAAAAAUUUCUUUAUGAAAUUACAAGUAUUAUGUGAGAUUAGACGUGAUUAAAUAGUAAAAUCACUAAUUUACUCAUAAAGAAGGUAUUUUAAAUUUUUAACAUAACAACAUCUAUAUCUUGAUUUUGAGAGUUCUAUUUUUUCUUUUUUUUAUUUUUUUUAUACACUUUUUUUUUAGAUAUGACUUCAAAAGAAAGUAAGAACUUAAAAGUGAUUGAGAAAUUUAGAGGUGACAAUUUCUACCAUUGGAAGAAAAAAAUAAAGCUUUUGUUAGCUUCAUUGGACCUUUGGAAUAUUGUUGAUGAAAGAAAAGAUCUUCCAAGUGAUAAUGUUAAUGUCAAGAUGAAGAAAGAAUACAAAUGUCAUGAAAAGAAGGCUUUUGGGUUGAUUACAACAAAUCUUGAUGAUGCUAAUUUUUUACAUGUAAUUGCUUAGAAUGGACUAGCAUAAGUAUAGAAGACUCGUUACAACAUCUAUAAGAAUAAAAACCUUACCAAUAUUCUAUAGACAAGGAAGAAGUUCUUAAUUGUAAAGAUGGAAGAAUGAGAUGACCUCAUGGUUUAUAUCAGUAAGAUAAAGUACUUGCAAACUAAUUAGAAAUUGAUGAUAAAAAUAUUGUAUUGACAUUACUUAUGAGUCUUUUGGAAUCCUAUAACUACCUUAUUGUAGUAUUUGAGUCUAUUAAUAUGAAAGAACUUAUCAUGAAUUAUGUCACGUUAAGACUUAUUCAUAAAGUGAUCAAGGAGAAGAAAAAAAGGUCCUUCAAAGUGAAGAUUUGGCUCUAUUCAUAAGACAAGGAAUAGAUAGCUAUUUUUACCAACAUUAUAAUUUUAAAAAUAAUAUAAAAAAUUACUAUAUUUAUCAAAAAUUAUGUCAUUUUAUAAAAAAUUACUAAAAAAUUAAGAAAGGAUAUAGGAAAAAUACAAAUAAUACUCAUGAUAUUUUUUGUGGAAAUAAUUAUACUUUCAUGUUAAGUGAAGGAGCCUCUAUGGGUGCCAUAUUCAAGUAGAUUAUAAAUUCAAAUACUACUAAGUAUAUGACAUUAUACAAGUAUUUAUUUAUACUUAUGAAAUAAUUUCAACAAUAAAAGUUUGGUUGGGACACAAUAGCAUGGUUCAAGCCAUCAGAUCUAGCUCUAUUGUAGUGGACAUUGAUAUGAAGGACCAAAUCAAGAAGAUCAAAUUGAGAAAAAUCUUACAUGUAACAAAAAUAAAAGAGAACCUCUUUUCAAUGAAUAAACUUAUAUGAUCUAGUUGUAAGAUUCAAUUUAACAUGAAUGGAUGUUUUAUGAAGAUAUUGGAUAGAUAAGAUGAUGCUAAAGGCUUUAGAGAUAGCAACUUCUACUUCUUUAAUUAUAAGAAGGUCAAUGGAAUUGAAAUACCAAAAUUUAUUGAAUUUCUACAAGAUCAAGAUAAGUUUGGAAUAUAACAUCAAUAACUUCAUCAUUUGAAUGCCAAAAGCAUGAAGAAGCUCCAAUCUAUGGUAAGUAGCUUAGAUCUUGGUGAAUUUAGCCACAAUGCCAUGACACUUAUUUAUAAAGGUAAUAGCCAAGACAAACAACAAAAGGCUUCAUUUCUCAAAUGGAGUUGCAACAAGUACUAGCAAAUUAUUAGAAAUUAUCUAUUUUGAUGUUUGUGGACCAAUGAAGAUACCAUGAAUUAGACGAAUAAGAUUUUUUUUCAUAUUUAUUAAUAAUUUUUCAAAAAACUUAUGGAUUUACAUCAUUAAAGCCAAAAAUGAGUAUUUUUUAAGGUUUAAGGAGUUUAAUGUAUUAAUAAAGAAGAAAUAUAAAUAUAAGAUCAAAGUAUUUUAUUCAAGAAAUGGAGAUAAGUAUAUGUCAAAGUAUUUUGAUAGAUUCUUAAAAAAAUCAAGGCAUUGCAAGACAAACUCUAUUCCUUAUACCCUACAACAAAAUGGAGUGUUGAAAGAACAAAUCACACUAUUGUGGAAAUUGCAAGGAGUAUUCUUCAUGUAUAAAAUCUUGGACAUGAGUAUUGAAUAUGAAUAUUGGAUAAAAGCCAUGAUAAAUACAAUGUAUACUACUCAUUAUUAUCAUCUUUAACAUUUUGAAUGUGAAGAGACAAGCUUUAAAAAAAAAUCAUGCAAGAGAUCUUAUAAAACAUGAAGGUGAAUCUCUAUUAAGUGACAUGAGAUAUUCUAUGAGAGAAUCACAUUUUUUUUCAAAUAAAUAGAUGACUUUUUCUUCUAAUCUCAUAUUACUUAUAUUUAGUCUUAGUUGUAUCCAACUUAUUAUUUUUAAUUUGAUUAAAAGAAUGUAUAUAUGAGUUUUUAUAAUUAAUUAUUUUUUAAUUGAUUAAUAUGAAAAAUUCUCAUUGACAAGGUCUUUAUAGUUAGUAGUCCACUUUUAAAGGCUAUCCUUCAAAAGCUUUAAAUUAAUCUUUUACUUAGUAAAGAAAUUUUAUUUUAAAGCUUUUAUAAUUCGAUAUAAUAUAAAAUAAAUUAAAUACCAUAAAAAAAUUAAAUUAUUAUUCUAUUAGGAGUCUAAAUAUAUCACCUUAUAAUUUGAUUCUAACAGUUAUUAGAAGUAUAAAAUAAUUUAUUAUUAUUUUGUAUAAAAUAAUUAAGGCUUUUUUAACAUAAUUUUUUAAAUUACAUAAUAUCUCCUUAAGAUGAAUUCAAUAUCUCCUUAAGAUGAAUUCAGUAGAUAAUAUCUCCUUAAGAUGAAUUCAAUAUAAAUUCUAGAAAAUAAUAUUAUUUAUAUUAUAUAAAAAAAAAAUUAUUCCACCUUUGAAAUGAUUUUCUUAAAUACAAUUUUAACUUAAUAUGCAUUCUUUAUUUCAACAAAUUGUAAGAUUUUAAAAAAUUAUGGCUUCUCAUCUUAAUUCGUAUAUAUAAAGAAUCUUUCAAUUAGCUUUAUAUUUUUAAAGAAGUUCUAAAAGAAAAAAAAAAUGAAGUAAAAUAUAAUCUUUAAGAUGAAUUAAAUAUUAUUAUAUUUUAAAAAUUAUUAUAGGUUCAACUUAAUAUAUAAUGUAUAAAUUUUUUUAUUUAUUAUUAUUAUUAUUAAUAUAUCUAGGAUAUAGAUCAUAAAGAACCAAAAAAUCAAUAUACUCUUGUGUCAUUAGAAAAGAGUAGAUAAUCACUUAAAGAUAAUACGACUAAAAUGGCUAUUGCAAAAGACAAGAAGACUAGAGACUCUUGAAAUUAAACUAAAAACAAGAAAGUUGUUGACAAGAGUGAAGAAAGUGUCACUUUUACUUCAAUAUGUACUACCUAACUUGGAGCUAUGUAGCAAUGUUCUAUUAGACCUCUAACAUGUAUUCAACUUACAAAACACAUGUCUAACUUAUUAGACAUAUAUCUUAUAUGUAUGCUUUAUGGCUAACUUGUACAAUAAGUCAUCAAUGUGUGCAACAUGUGGCCAACUUAUUGGCUGAGUUUUCAAUCUACUAAUCACCUAUAAACACUUAUAAAGUUACAUCAUUUUUUAUAAAAAUUCUAAGAAGAUUUUCUAUAAGAUAUUAUCAAAUUUACUUAUUUCUACUUACUUCUAUUUAACUCUUUUAAUUUAAGUAUAUUUGUAUAUUCGUGAAAAAUUGGAAUUAAGAUACUAAUUGAUAUUAUAUAUAUAUAUAUAUAUAGAUAGAUAAUUUCAUGGCUUGUUAUAUUUUAUACAAUCUCUAACUGCAAGACUUUUAAACAAGUCUUAUUUUGACCAGAAAAGAGAUAUUUGUAAGUCUUUUAUUCUAAAGGCUUUUAAAAUUAACUUGUAGAUAUAAAGAUCAAUUAAGAUAUGCAUUAAAUACAAAGUAAAAAUAUAAAUAUAAAAAUUAAUUAAAUUUAAGAAUUUGGAAUUUUUUAUAUAAAAAUCUAAAAAGUAAAAUUUUUAAAAAAAUGAUUAAAACUUAUAUUGUAGAAUCAAAUCAGCUAUCCAUACUAUCUAUUAAAUUUUUUAUGUUUAAAAAUCAAAUCUUAAAAUUAUAUAUUUACAUACUUUUGAUACAAGUCAAAUAAAAAUUUAUUUAUUUUAAUAAAAAAAUUAUUUAAAUGGUAAAUGAAAAAAUAGUAAAAUAUUUUUAAUAUAUGAUAUAAUUUUGAUUUUUUAUUUUUUAAAAAUAAAUAAUUAAAUAAUUAAAUAGAUAAUAUUUUUUAAUUAUUUUAAUUUUUAAUUGAAGAAGUUAUUUAAAUUAGAUAAAAAUAAAAUAUCUUUAAAUUGAAAUUUUAUUGGUGUAAUUAGAUUAAGAAUCUAAUUAAUUUAAGAGAAUUAGAUAUAAGCCUUGGAUUAUCUUAACAUUAAUAAUUUUUUAUAAUUAAAACAUCUAAUUAUAAUAAUUUGUUAUAUUAUAAGAAUAUUUUUUUGUUAUUUUAGUUGAUAGAAGCAAGUAGAAGUUGUAAAAUUUAUUUUACAUAGAUUAUAUCUUCUUCAAGAAAUAUCAAAGAAGCUUCCUAGAUGCAAAUUAAAUACUAAAAUUCUUUUAAACAAACCGCAUAGAUGUUAGAACUUGUUUUGUUAGCUUCCUCAUUAUAAAACAUUGGAAUGGAAGCCACCUCCAAUUUAAACACUUGGACCACAAGCCUCAUGGAUUUUAGAAAGUUUCUACAAUGCAUUCUUGGUAGCUAGAAUAUAUGGAGGCAAGAUUGAAGCUAUCCUCAAUCUUAUCAUUAUAUCUCUUGUAGUUCAGCUCAAUUGAUAGACAUUAUUAUUUUCGUUUUUUUCUAUUUGAAAUAAGAUUGUUCAUUGGUAGAUGGAAUAUUAUUCUAAAUAAUGGUGUGGCACCUUUUAAAAAGUAUUAUUUGUACUUGCAUUUGCAUAGUAACACUUUCUUUUUGUUUCUUUAUUAAUUUAUUUAGCACAGAAAACCUAGUAGGCAUGAAAAUUUUCAACAAGAUUCAGAAGUGAUCAUUUCAAAAUGGAUAACCUACAACCUAAAAUCAACCACCUUAUUAUUAAGGAUCUUUUUGCUACUUAUUCAAUCAAUAAAUUUAAUGUUUAGUAGAUUUAAUGAUUCAUAGGUCGAACAUGGAAGUACAAAUACAUUUUUCGUAGAGUAAUGUUGUGUUCAAUAUUUCAAAUUCUGCAAAGGAGACGAACGUAGAAGUUCAAGUUGUUUGGUGCAGUUACAAAUGUGCAAUUCUACAAUUGCACGGAGAUCUUUGAACGAACACAUAAAAUCUAUUGCUUGCUUGAAAUCAAUAAAUUUAUGUAACGAAAAUUAAAAAAUUAUAAACAGUGGUUUUAACAAAAAAAAAAAUAAUUCAACUUGGGUGGACUUGAAUAAAGAAGUACAAAUCUCGUACCAAUCAAACUAUUAUCUUCAAAAAAAGGUUUCUGGUUUCUGAUAAUAAGCGGAAGGAAAGUUAAGUAAAUAGGUGUUCAAUAACAAAGAAAAAAAAACUUUUGUUUUCAAGAUUUUGUUGAGGAGUUUCAAGUCAAAAACUUUUGUUUUCAAACUUUUGUGUUCAAGCUUUUGUUGAGGAGUUUCAAGUCAAAAGAAUAUUUCAGUUUCAAUGUUGACAUUUUAGUAGCAGAAUAGGAAGACAUAGCAUCUGCUAAUUCAAAAACCAAUUCUGCCAGCAUCUGCUCGUCCUUAACUAACAAACCUUAUUUGGUUUGUAUAUAUAUAUAUAUAUAUAGAGCGAGAGAGAGAGAGAUAAAAUACACUAGCCAACCCAGCAGGAAAAACUGUUCAAAACCAGUAAAAAGAAAAGCAACUAUGUCAAAUGAAGGAUCUGAGAGAAGACCUGCAAUUGUAAUAACCCUAGAUUGUUCUAACUGAGCACCUGUACAUCAUGCAUUAACUGUGCUGAUUAAUUUUAAUUGGUGAAUUAUACCAUGCUUCAAGCGUGUAAAUUAUGCUCCACUUUACCAACCAGAGCAUAUCUUGGUGCUCUACGCCAUCAUAUUCACAGGCUUGGUUAGAACACUUCAAGUUAGUCUCGCCAGGUCUACUGAUGCGAAAAACUACUGAAUGGCUCGAAGAUUAAGGGCACAAAUAUGGACACAGUCCUAAUGAAUGUGGUGGAAACGGAUUACGACGCAGGUAAUAUUAUCUGCGCUUCCUUUCUUAUAGGCUUCCUCUGUCAAGGUCUUGGCGGCUUCUGCAGGAUCUGGAAUAUUCUGUACCAUUGUAACAGCAUCCUGUCAACAGCCCCACAGAAGCUCGUAAGUGUAGAGGAAAACCUACUUUUUGAUUGCUCAACAGGCAGCAGUUCAGAAUCGGACUUCCACAGAUACAAUCAUUUUAUCCAAUCAUUCCAUAUAAAACACAAAUGGUGGCAAAACGAUUAAAGAUCUUGAAAUAAACCUGGUUUGAUACAACAUCCCAUAGACCGUCACUUGCGAUCACCAAAAACUCAACAUCACUGGUUAUGGGCUCUUCCUGCACAGGAAACAAAAAAAUCAGAAGCAAAGAUAUCUUCAGCAUACAUCCACUAAUAACUCUGAAAUUCAAGUUAAUUAUUGUGCUAAGAGGGCAGAAACGAUGAGCUAACCUGAAUUUCUGGUUCGGCAACAACAUAUUUUUUCAGCAGCCGAUCACCAAAUGCCCGAGACACAGCAAGAACGCCACCUACACGCCAAGUACCUGCAUAAUCGAACUUAUCACUAAGACAGUGCUCCUCAAACAGAUAGAUGAAAUAAAUAAAUAAAAUAAAAUAAAAUAAAACGAUAGAGAAUGAUACUUUAGAAAAGGAUUGAGCAGCUCACCAAACAGUAUAAAAGAGGCGCGGAAUCACUCAUUAUAAUAAUUGGAAAAAGAACCUUAUAGUUUGACACAUCAAACAUUUGGAAACCAUUCGUAAUAAAUUGAUCACAUGACGUUGCGACCUCACGAAUAGAACACUUGGUGAGAAAGAAUACAACAUGAGAUGCUCACCAGACCACAUGACUACUCCUCCAGCCUUUUCAAUGCGUUGUCGUUCAUCAGAUCGAUUUGGUUUGUGGUCAAUGGAGAGAGCAAUCGCUGAAACCCACGCAAUCAGAACUAAUAGCGUCAUUGCAUGAGGGAAGCUACUUCAUGUUCAGAGAAUACCAUAUACCAUUUAUUCAUUGACGAACUUCGGAAAUUGCAGACUGUAACGAGAAAUUCACAAUUGAAGACGCCUUUGAUCUCGAAAAAAAUUCAAGAGCACACACAAAAGAAGUCAAUAUAAUCCAAGAUUCAAAAUGGCUAACUCCUGGAUGGUUUGGUGUUAAAGAAUAAUAGUUCAAGCUACAGAGACACCAUCUUAUCACCUCGUCCUGCGAUGCAAAUAACAGCCCUUGAAUCGCCUACAUUAGCAACGAGCAAACGAUCUCCCACCAAAAUAGCCGUGGAGGCAGUUGAUCCUGCAUCCCGGUGUUGGUUGUUGUCAGCCUUGAGAUAUUCCUGAUCGGUUUUCUUAAACGUCUCAGCUGUCAAAACACUUUCGAAUGUGAGCAAUUCUUAUUCCAGUCUAGCACAUAAAGAACGACCAAGUUCCUACAAAAUAAGACAACCAGUAGUGACACACAAUAUAGACCAAGCUUCCAGACAGUCAUUUGGUAAUAAUGCACUAAAACUUCUGUACAAAAAUACUGUCAAAAAUAAUAGCAGUGGCUCUCAAGGUGCUAACCAUUACAUACCAAUUGCGAGGUUGGUGUCAGUUACAAAUUGAGGAUGCCCUAGCAAAUUCUUGAAGAGGUUUUGCUUCACGUAUACUGCUGCUCGGGAGCCACCAUGUCCUACCAAAAUACAUUAAAGGAAUAGCUAUAAACAUCAGGGACAUCAUGUAAAUAGAAUAGCAGGACAAUCGAAGUUCAAACUAUAGAACAUAGGCUAUCGACGGAAGUCCAUUAUCCAUGCAAUGAAGUCGCAGAAGCCACACGUACAAGCUCGAUAUUGUAAUCAGUGCACAGUAGCGAAAUAGCUCAAGCGUUACACGAUGAAAUCUAGCUGCUCGACAGCUAAGGGCAACUUACCAUCAAAAACGCCGAAUAAUCCAACCAUUACACCUUCAACCUUAGAUAUUAGAGUAUCAUGGAAAUCUUCCAUCGAGGCCCUCUUCCCACGUGAGCUUGAAUAGCCAUAGCUGAACCUGUUGUUUUCACUGCACAGAAUGCAUACAUUCUACUAAAUCCAUGUGCCAUACAGCACAGUUGUACAUUACAAUCCUGAUACUCUCAACUCAUACACACGUUGACACCCAGGUUUAAAUUGCAGUUCGUAAAAGUUUGGUACAAUUUUGAAGCAAAUAAAAUCCUGCUGAUGAUCACUAACGGGUUGUUCAAAAUCUCUCCUCGAAUACUUGCCUGACGUAAUGCAAAACUAAUUUCCAACGGAUAGUACGGCAUCCCUCAGAUAAUGAGAUUUGAACUUCAGUGCAUAGUAUGCACUUAAAAUGUGGUGCAACUAGCAUGUCCAAAAGGAUAACAAGACACAGUUACAAUAGAAACGUUUACAAAAGUUGAACCUCGUGAAUAAGUCCACUCAUAAAUGAGAAUGAUCAGGCAGAAAACUGAGGUAGAAAGUGGUUGGACACAGUAAACUUGUCACUUCUAAGUCAAUAGAUAAGCCACAAGUGCAGACUGCAGCUGUAUAUUAUAUCAAACGUUCUGUGAAGAACUCGAGUUUCGGCACUGUUAGGUAAAUCCUCGAUAGCGAUAACAGCAAUGGCGGCACCGACACCAGUAAUCAGCACAGAAUCGUGAAAUAGCUCAAGCGUUACACGUGGAUAAACACUACCUUCUUUCACACCAUGACAAAGACACAUAACUUUUGCAAAAAACUACGCAGCGUGUAAAGCUAGCAAAGUCCUAGCUCAGUCCGGUGCGACGAGGCAACAUUGGCAAGUCCAUAUACAAAUAGAUCCCAUACCUACCGCAAUUUAAUCAGAGCACCAUCGAGAGUAAACCUGCUGCGGAUCAACUUUUCAAAACGGAUGCUCAUACUCUCAUUAUGUACUUAAAUCCUUAACGAAGUGAUUUCCUCAAUUUCUAUGCUAGACCGUGGUCAUUCUAACUGAACAUCCUUCGUAUUGUAAAGAAGCCAGACCGAAAGACACGGGCACAAACCCGAUCAAAAUCGCCAUCACAAAAAUAAUAAAAAUAUGCUGAUCUCCGCCAACCAACAGCAAACAAAGUCAAUAAAAAAAAUCAAAUAAAAAUACACACCUCACCCCACCUCCCCAGGCGGGCACACUCUCCUCCCGAUGCGAAGAGUUGAUCACACUCAUUGUCUCUCUCGACGAUCGCUAGCGCGAACUGCACCACUACUUCGCAACCUCCUGUUUCAUGCUAGUCACUAAGCCUUGUUUUUGUUUGCCCUUCCCUUCUCGCCCCUCUUAAUCCACUCCUCUUUCGUGCUUAACACUCCUCGCACACUCGCAUUCUUGUUCCAGCAACGAGCUCACGCGCGUUGUCAAACUAUCGCAGAAUCAGCCUGAGCGAGGGAAGGGGAUCUGCUAGUUGGAAAGCACAUCGAAGGCAGCAAAUGAACGCAGAAUCAACCCAAACCUGGUGCAAAUACGCAUAACGAGGAGCCUGGAAGUAGAGCAGGUGAGGGUUUCAUAUCUCAACCAAGGAGGAGGAGGAACCAGGGAAGAAGCAGCCACGACGAUGAAGCCAGGACGGGGACGGCCCGGGCGGGGGGGUGGCUCUCCCGAUGAAUGCGGACUAGGUCUGACUUCCCUCCUUUCCGCGCUGUUCACGAGGUUCCCAAGCUCCCAAUCUUCUAUGCAGAUUCGAAUUAAAUGAAAACCAUCUUUGAAGGGAUUAAUACUAGUACAUAUAAUUUGAAGUAUCAAAUAUACAAUAGGUUGUAUGUAAUAUUAGAAGUAAUACAGUGGAUUGUAUGAAUACAACUCAUAAUGUGUGAUUGUAUGUACCAGUUAUACUUGUGGUAUUUAGCAGAAAUUGAUGGCAUCAUUUAUGAGGGCACAAUGAGCAACUAUACCCACAACCACCUUAAUGCAAGAUUUUCUGUGAUAAUGUGUUUCAGCAUAAAAAAAUGAAUGCAUUAUAGUCAUCACUAUCAAUACUGAUUCAAUAAAAACCAAUAUCCUGUGAAACGCCAUGCAUAUUUGGUCCACUGCCUCACUUCUUCAAUAAUAACCAAUAAAUUCAACAACCGAGUAGAAAAUAUGAAACAAUAUAUUCUUUUUCAAUAGCAUAUCUUUUUAAUAUAAUAUUUACAGUAAUUGACAGAAAUUUUUCUCUUCGUAGACCUAAAAAAUUCAGGAGUCAAUAAACCAAUUUUUUGUUCUUUUGACUUUGUGUUUUGUCUCACAUUUAGCUUUGAAAUCUUCUGAAUACUUUAAUGAUGGGUCCACUCUCAUCUAGGUGCUUGGCAACAAUUCAAAUUGCUUUUCUUAUGUUGGAGUUUGAGCUUUUAAACUCAAUUUAUGUCAAGCAUGAAAAUUUUCUUCUUUAUUUAUUUAUAUAUGUAUAGAGAACUCUAUUGCAUUUUAAUGUUUGUGUUCUUUGUGAACUUUUUUGCAUAUCCAAAUUGAGAAAAUUCUCAAUAAACUUAGAUAUUGGCCCAAAGAGUAGCUAUUUUGGAAUAUAAUGUUUUCUUCUUACUAUUUUUAAAUAAAUAAAAAUGAUUAAAGAAUGCAUUGUAACAGAUGCUAUUUAUUUCAUAAUCAAGAGCAUGUUUCUUGUCAUUACUUAGAGAAAAAGCAUAUAUUAUAUUUCAUUAAUAAUUCAAUCAUUAGUUUAAAAAUAUCAUUUUACACUCUUUAAACCCAUCUUAUUGUUUGUAGCUAGUUGAUAUUAUAAAUGUCAUUGUGUCUUGUUUUUUAAUAUCAAUUGCAUAUUGUAACAAAAAGCUUUUAUAAUAUUCUUUUAAAUAUAAAAUGAUUCAUGCAUCCAUAGGUUGAAUUUUGGACAUACCAUUAAAUAAGAAGAGAACUUCAACAUUAGUAAGUUGAAGGUAUUUAAUAAUAUGAGAUAAAUUAUUUUCUAUAAUAACUAUAAAAUAUAAAAUUUAAAUAUAGAUUUUGAAUCUUGAUUCUUUUAGCAUUUUUAAAUGGAUAAAUGAAUAAAUGGAUAAAUUAAUCAAUCAACUAGAUUUUAUUAUAUAAUUUAUUUAUUAAAUUAUAUAUUUAUCUUUGAAUUUAUUAAAUAAAAUAUUAUAACUUUUUCCAUAUUAUAAAUAUCAAGGAUGGCAUAUUGAUUUAUUUUGUACAUAGUAUUGGAUAUUAUUAUAGAAAUUAUAGCCAUACCCAUUUACACAACUUCUUCAUAUAUAACAAAGCUUUACAAUCCAUUAUAGAGGUAUUAUAAAAUUAGCCUUAAAUUUCUUAUAAAUAUUUAAGCUAAUUUUAUUAAUUCUAAUUUUAUAUUUAAAAUUUACUAAAGUCUAUAUGUAACAAUGUAGAUAAUAAUAUUGUAUAAUUAGUCUUGAAUCCCUUUAAAAAAUUCAAGCUAGUUUUUAUAGUGCUAAAGACAUAUUUGUUUGAAAUAUUUAUUUAACUUCUAAAUUUUUUAGCUUUGCUUAAAAUAUGAUUCAUUAUUAUUUAUUUAUUUAUUUUAUAUUUUUAUUAUAAUAUCAAAUUGGUUUGAAUAAUACUAAGGUUUAUAUGCAUUACCAUACAUUAAUACUUAUCUUUUAAAUUAUUUUAUAAUAUUAUUUUAUAUUUAUUCUUUCAUAUAAAGAUCAUAGCUUUAGUUUUUAAAACUAAAGUCUUGGCUAAGUUAGACUUAGUUUUGUCUGUUUUGCAAUUUAUUUCAAACUAAUAUUUGGGAUAUUUUUGCAUUUAUUACACAUUCUUUCUUUUGCAUAAUAUAUAUACUGUUGAAAGAUAAUAUUUUAUUAUUUAUUUAUUUUCUAGAGAUUUUAUCCAUAUAUAAAUCCUUUACAAAUAAGUGUCAAAGACAUGAAUUUAAAUAAAGGUCAAAAGACAAUACACUCAUAUAUUAUUAAAGAAGGAAAAAAAUAAGAAAAAAAAUAUACAUAUACAAGAUAGAAAUUAUCUAAAAUACAAAGAAGCUAGAGAGUCUUGAAUUAAGAUUAGAAUUUAAUUUUUUUUAUAUAUAUAUAUAUAUAUAUAUAAGACUAAGAAUAUCCUAAAUCUUGUCUUUGUAUAUACUAGCUAUCUAAAAAGCCUUGUAGAAGCUUUCUAAAGACCACAAGCCUUAUGGUCUAAGUAUCAAGUUGUAGGUUGGUAACUUCCAAUGCGGCUUUCUAAAACUAAAAAACUUAUGGAAUUUUUUUCAAUAGUCACAUAAUAUAUUUAUAGGACUCUAAAAAGCCAAUUCACAUCUAAAAUCUUAUUUGAAGUUUCUUAAGAAAGAUAACAUAUGCUUAAAAUAUUCUAUCUAUUACUACUUACUUCUAUUUAGUUUUAUUCAAUUAAGUAUGCAUCCAUUACAAUAAGAUGGUUUGUAACAAAAAACUAGAUAUCUUUAUAAAUAAAAAAUAAGAUAUAUAUGACAAAGACAAAGAUGAAGACUAGCAAGAAAAUUUGAAAUAAAAAAAAUCUUUUUAUUAAAAACAAAUUGUAUAAGUUAUUACAAAAGUUUAUAUACAAUGAUAAAGAUACAAGCAAGCAUUAUGUUUGGUAUUAACACACUUCAAGACUACAUGUAGAAAUUCUUUACCAAAAAAAGAAACAAAAAAAUAUAAACACAAAAAAAUAAAAUAGAAACAAUUGUUUAUAAAGCAAUAAUUUAUGUUUGUUGGCUACUUAAAUAAUUUACUAUUUUAUUAUUAAAUGAUUUUUUUUAGUAGAUUGAUAAAAGUGUGAUCUUAUAAGAAUGAACAAAUAAUAGACUAAAUGAUAAAGAAUUUAUGAUUUUAUAAUUGAUCUUAUGAAAUCUAAUAUAAAACUAGUCUCCUAAGCAUAAUAAAAUUAACAAAAAUAAUCCCAUAUUUUUUGAAAGUUUUGUUUAGCACUCCACAUAAUAAUAAAAUUAGGAUAUUUUUUAAUUUUUUAAAAAAUUAUAUAAUAUAUUAGAAUUUAAUAUAUAUUAUAAUAACUUAGUAACUAUUAUAAUUAAUAUUAAAUUAUAAACAUAAGUAGUUAUUAUUUUUUUUUACUCUUAGCCACAAAUGCAAUGUAAAUUUAUAAAUAUAAAUAAAUAUAUUUAUAAUCCUAUUCAUUUUUUUAUUAAAACAAUUAUAUGCUUUUAAAUAAUCAAAAUAAUUUUCUAAUAUCAAAUACCACUCUUUACAUAACAAAUCACAAUAGUUCUUUAUAAUUAAAUAAAAUUAUUAAAUACAUUAUAAAAUUUGUAUUAAAAAUUAAAAAUUAUAUAUUUUGUAAUUUUGAUGAACAAUACUCACUAUUUAAAUAGGUUUAAAAUAAUUUUUUUACUCGUGCUAUUUAAAAUAUAUAAAAAUAUGAGUUAAAUUAUAUUUGAUUUAUUUUGUAUAUAAUUUAAACAUAAGAAAAUUUAAUUAAAAUUUUAAAAAUGAUUAAUCAUAGAAAGACGAUCUUUUAACGAAAUUCUGUAUUCGAUAUGUUUAACAAAAAAAAUCAAUCGUACUAUUAAGACAACAUGUAUAUAUUACUAUACAUUAUUAUGUUAUUUUAUCAUAUUAAAAUAUAUUUUAUAUUUCUUGAUAACUAUAAAUUUUAUAAAUCAUUUGAAAUUUUAUUAUUUCGAUAAUAGUUGUAGCAAGAAGGUCUAAGAAGAAGAACAUAUUCAUCUACACAUAUACACACUAACACAUAUUUAUACAUGAAUAUCUAAUCAUAUGUUUAAACAAUAAGCAUUUCAUAUAUUAUUAUUUCCUUGAUAAAUGAUGAAAAUUUUAGCCAUUAAAUAAUAGAUCAAAAAAUCAACUAAUAUUCUUCGAUAAACAUUUUAGAAAUUACAACACUUUUCAAAUAAUUUUUUUUAAAAAUUAAUUUAUCCUUAACUUAACUAACAUAACUUAAAAGAUCAUGUCUUAAGUUCAAAAAGACCAUGCCAUGGUUGUUGGGCCAUCGUUCAAGUACGAUUUUAUUUACCUAUUUUAAUGUUUUAGUGAAUUAAUUAAUAUGCUUUUCAUAAUCAAAAAUAUUUUUGUAAUCGUCAAAAUUCCGUCUUGUGAGGCGGGAUUUAUUAGUCUUGUGCCGUAACGGUGUUCGUGGCAAUGAGGCAAGGAGAUCAGCGGAGGCGGCGGCAGCAGCAGUGAUCUAUUAUUGGAGCGGCGUCGGAUGACGGGUAAUUGGCGUGGGAGUCUUUGUGUGAUCAUCUGCAACAGCCACAACGGGUGGUGCAGCAAGAGUGUCGUGCAUUGCAUCAUGCUCUGAACCAUGAAGCAGAACUUUCUUCUUGCCAUGCUGCAUGUUAUUCAAGUAUUUCGGAUCUUUCUGCGAGGAAUGUGAAUGGGUUGCGAUCCGAUUUUUGCCGCACCGAAUGAGUUUUCUUUUUUCUUUUUCUUUCAUGCCACGGUGGAGAGGAUGGUUUCAUGGACGUCAGAUUUGAAGGUGAAAUGUGUCGUCAUGUGUUGUCGAGCGUCCAAUCAAGCGAGGCGAACGUAACAAUUGUCGAAAUGUAGUUUACCAUCACAGGAAACAGACGGAGCGAAAGCUGUGCGAAAUCCGCGAGGUGCUCCCGGACGUAGGAGAUCCGGGGGGUGUAUGUACGUGAACUUUGAUGGACAGAGGGUGAAUUAGUUGUUCAUGAUUGUGUGAGCUGGCCCCCGGGACAAUCUGGACUCACCGCUCAUCCAACUAGGCGCAGCCGUUAAGCUGAUUUCAUAUGGCAUGGUUGUGCUCAAGCACGGCAAGUGACAAGACAUCAUUUAGAUUGACGAUGAAACGUUCUCCCUCAACAAAAUCCGAUUCCAUCCACAAAGGUUCAAAUGCAGGUUAGUUUCAGUUCUAAGUAGCGCUACAUUCCAUAAGUACAGAAACUGGGGUGAAAACACCGCCAAAUUUACUAAUCUUUUUAUUCUUGUGCAAAUGCUGACGUAUUGUGUGGCGUUGUAUACAGGAGACGUGCAGUGCAGGAAGAGCUGAAAUUCACAUACAAAUUUUGUAGAGAAGUCAUGCUCUGUUCGUGAAUAAGUGAACCCUUCUCUAAUUGCAGUGAGCAUUGAUGCUGGUGCCUUCCCAAGUUCCCCCAGAAGGAAGUUUUGCGUGUUAAGUGUUCUUGAGCCUUUUUUCCUGAAUGAGGUUGUCUGACCAGUAGUUCGUUGCGUUUGUUAAACUACUUCGAAGCAUCUAGAUUAUUAUUAUGUUCAGCGAAGUUGGUUGGUUGGGUCUAGCUCUGCCCUGACGCAAGGAUACUUCCUUUCGACGAAGUCUCUCCAAGCAUUCCUCCGCGUCUCAUACAAUGAGCACCCUUCAUUGAUGUUGCUGUUACAUGAGGCUCGUCUGACGCUGUCAGGCUCUCUGGUGACCUGGUCAUAUCCCGGGAAGGCCUGGUGUGACGACUGUUCCGUGGCCUUCCGUUCUGUUUGACAAGCUGCAAUAUGAUCAGUCUGCAGAAUUCUAUGUGAGUGGCAGGCUUCACGAGGACGACCUAGUUUACAUCCUAGUCCAACUGAUGACUGCAUCUUUUAAGUUAUGAGGAUGUGACUACGAGUACACAAGCCGACAACAGAAUAUGUCUACUGUUUAUUGUGACAUGCAGCUCAGGCACCUGCUUCACUCAGGCCUGGCACCUUCUCCAUCCCUCUUCACAUAAAUCCGGGGAAGGUGUCCGCAAAACACAAUGCCCAUAUCGCACUGCUCCCUUCUCAACAGGUUCUUGGCCAAAACUCAGCAACGUCAUUGCAGUUGAUGAGCCUCCCAUUAGCAAGUUGUCUGAAAUGUGCGGGGCAGGCGUUUUGCAUCGGGCGGGUAGCCUCGUGUUGGCAACUCGUUUCUGGUAUUAGUUUGAAUUCGCAGGUCCACCUAAUCAUGUCUCCUCAUAAUCCAAGUCUGUACACAUUUUGCAAGGGACAACAGUCGGCCUUACUGAAGCGCAUGGAAAGGUCUAACGCCCACCGUUACCCAAUCGGACCCACAUCCUGUCAACUAAAACAGGAACUCACAGCUGAUCAAGGCGAAAGCAGAUCCAGUAAUCCCAGAUCGUCGUUCGCAUCAAAGCUGUGACGAAGUGAGAUGCGCAACCCACUGAAAAGGUAACAUAGCAUCCAUGGACGCAUGUUCCAACACACUGCCCGCACAUGUAACUCAUGUGGAAAGAUUGACGACGUCGAAUUUCAGGUGUACACAUUUAUCGAAGAGGACUUUGGCAAGGUGAAUUCACCGACACCGUGAUUCUUGCCGACACAAUGAGAUGCAAUCUCACUCUUUGUCGUUGUUGUCGUGGGCUGAUGAUUUCAUCCAUUUAUGAAGCUAUUUCUCAUACAUAAGUGCUUGUUCACAUAAUUUCUGCGAUUUUGGUGUUUGUCUAUAAUUAAUCUAAAAUACCUUUGUAAUAUUUUCUGUAGGUCUUGAAGCUUACUUUGAAUACAAUAAUUUUUAAAACCAAGUUUAAUUUGAAUUGUAAUAAGAAAUAUAUUAAAGUUUUUUUAAUUUUAAUAUAAAAUCUUAUCAUAGUUGUUAGGAGUGAUCAGAAAAAACUAUUAAUAUAUUACUACGCUCAAAAUUUUCAUCAAUAACAACAUGUGCAAUUAUCACCUUCUUGAUUGUUUGGAGAUUGAUAUAUCUUACUUUCUAGAUGUAAAUUUUAUUUGAGAAAAUCAUCCACCUUUCCAGUAAAUAAUUCAAAUUGUAAUAAAUAAUAAGAUCAAGUUUCAAAGUACUUUGAAUCUUUGAUAAAUCAAAAUAAUAGAACUCUAAGAUUUUGAAUAAAUUUAUUUUAAGAAUGAGAUUAUCAAUUUCUUAUAAACAAGUAAAAAAUGAGAAGACAUUUUCUUUAACAUGUAACUUUUUUUUAACAAUCACACUUACAUAUUUGAAAUUGUGUAAAAAGUUUUAGAUCAUCUUCAUGUUUCAUAUAUGUAAAAUUAGAAAAUUAUUAUUGUUGUUGAAUAGUAAAUUAUCAACUAUAAUGUUAUAAAUUUAAAAACUUAUAUAGUUAUUAACGUUAUAAAAUUUAUUUAAAAUCUAAAAUUUAAAUAAUUAAUAAUAAUAAAUAGGAGUUAAUUUUUUAAUUAGGAUUUAGGGUUAUGUAUGUAGAAUAUAGAUUAGUAUUUGCAGCAAAUACUGUUUGAAUUUUUUUGUCUUUUAUUGAUCUAAAGUUAUUUUAAGUCUGUAUUAUUAUUUACAUAAUUAAUUAAUUAUAAUUAAUUAUUUGAAGGAUUAAUUUAACUAAUAACUAUAAAUAAAAUAGAAGUAUUUAGAACAAAUAGAUGUUAACAUGAAUAGAUCAUAUAAAUAAUAUCUAUUUUUUUAUUAUUAGAAGAAUAUAAAAAAUAUUUUAAGAAAUUAAAAAUUAACAAAAGAAUUUGAAAAAUAAUUUUAUUACAACUUCUUGUAAACCACCACUACUUCGAUCUUUGAUGUUUAAUUGCACCACUAUUUGCUUUAUUCACUCUUUUGUAGAACAAAAUAUGCAUUUUGCCUCCUCGUACCAACCAAAAAUUAAAUAAGUUUAAAAACUACUAACAUGCAAUACAACAAGUUAAAAAUUAAAAGCUUAGUGUAAUUUUUAAAUUAUGAAAUUAAUAAUAAAAAUAAAAAAUAAAAAAGAAGGAGUGCUUCAUGCCAUUACACACAAAUGUUUUAAUGUAAAUUUAUCCUAUUUUGUUUUAGUGUAAAUAAAAGUAUUGUUGUGUGUAUGUAGAGGUGUGUGACUUUGGGGGGUGUCUACAAGGUAAAAGAGGAAAGUCUUCCUAGCGACUCUCUUUAUUUAAUAGAUGAUAAAUUGAUAUUUGGUAUUCAUUGAUCAUAUUCUUUAGGAAGUAAAUAUUUUUGAAAUUAUUAAAUAAUCAAAUUUUAUAAGCAAAAAAAAAUAAAAAUGUAAUAAUUAAUACUUUAUUAAAUAAUCUAAUCAUAUAAUUCAAAUAAAUAUUUGAAUACUUAUUAGGUUUAGUUUAUGUUAAAUCGCCUGCUUUUAUGGAAAUUGAACUUGAUCUUAAAACUAAAUAAAUUGUUUAAUAAAAAAAAGAAGUUAAAAAUCACCAUGUGUAUGUUUUUAUCAUUAAAUUUAAAUUUUUAUUAUAUUAAAAUAAACAACAUUAAAAUUUUAAAUAUUAUAAAAUAGAAAUAUGGUGAAUAAUAUCUUGUAGUGAGUGAUUUACGAAUAAGUUGCAAAUAAGAAGAAGAGAAUUCUGAACAUAUCCAAAUAAAUAUGCAAUAUUAGUUAAUUUUUAAAAGAAAAAAAUUAUCAACCGUCUUGUAUAAUUUAUAAAUUUCUUGUUAAAAAUAUGUUUGGUUACUUUCAAAUACUUAUAAAGUCAAUUCAACUCAAUUGAGUCUUGUAUGUUAGAAAAUUACUUAUUUACAUACAAUGGAUAGUAGUUAGAUAUAUGAAAUAUAAUCUUCUAUCUUAGAUACUAUGAUUAAUAAUUUAGAAUUGAUGUUAUAAAAAUUAUGUUAGAAUAUAAAACUAGUUAUAAUAAGAGGUUCUGUAAAAGAUUAUAGUUCAAUAUUAAGAAUUGUAGUCUUUUGAAGAAGUGUAAUAAGUUUGGUUGGAACCUUAAAGUCCUAAAAAAAAAACUAAAAAUUCAAAGAUAAUAAAAAUAAGAUAAAAUAGCAAUAAAAAUAGAAAACAAGUUUUACUAAAUCUAUGCAUGUUUUCAAUCAAAAUUUAGUUGGUUUAUUUGAUACCAAAUUUAUUUUAAGUAAUUAAUAAAAAAAAAUUAUUAAAAUAUCAAAACCAACUUAAGAAAUUACAAUUCUGAAAAGAAAUAUAUUGUAACAAAAAAAACUUUCUGACCUAAUUCAAAGAAUAUUCCUUUAUUUUACCUUUCUUUAUUGCUUGUUAUAUGAUUGGCUCUUUCCAAAUCUAUUUUGUGUAACAAAUUGAUUUCAUUUAUUGGAUUCAUAAACCUAUUUUUUACAAAGAAAUAAAAAUCAAUUUUUAAAAUUAUUUUUUGAACCAAUACUGUUCCAUGUAAAUUAACAAAAUAUAUAUUUAUUUUUGUGAAAAAAAAAAUCAAACUUGUGGGAGAGAAUUUUUAAAAAUAUAUAUUUGCAAAGGUUUUAUUAAUACAUUCUGAGAAGUCGUUUUCCUAGUUUUUAUUUAAUUUUAUGAAAAUAUCAGAAAUUAGUCUGAAUGAAUGUUAAAUUCUUUUUCAAAGGUUUAAAUAUUGAUUCCUUUUUAUAUAGUAAAAAAAUUACUUGAUUAGAAUAAUGGUCAUUACUUAAUUUUAUCUUUGUACAAUGUUUUGAAUUUUUUUUUUUUAUAAAAUAAAUAUUUAGAUGCUUGAGUCGAAUAAAUGAAAAAUGUUGCUUAAAUGACCACCAAAUUUCUUUCUAUGAUAGGUCAAACAUAAGUUUUUGUUCCAAAUAAUGAAAAUAUGGUUUUAUAACAUUUUAAAAAACAAAUCUCAGUUUGGUUUUAUAUUUUAUUAAGAAGCAACUAAAAAUUAUACUUAUGUUUGACCUAUCAUACAAAGAAAUUUGGUCAUUGUGCCAUCAAAAACAUUUAAAAGAAAAACUCUUUGUUAUUUAACACAUACAAAUUAUAAUUCUCCAGUAUCUUUAGAAAUCGGUACAUGAGAUACUAAGAAUGUAUAAUGGUAGACUAGAGACAAAUUUGAUCAUUAUAAAAUUUUAAUAUUAGAUCUAAUUCUUCUCUAAUUUUACACUAAAAAAACAGAGUGAUGAGCUCACAUUUAUUAAGACUAUUACAAAUAGUAUAAUCAAUGCAUGGCCAAUUUGGAUAAAUGAUAUAAGGAUAAAUGAGGCUCAUCCAUCCAUCCUACACAGUCGUAUCAAAACCGCAGUGUUACAAAAAUACUUAAAAAAUUGUUUACAUAAUACAAAAAAUAUAUUCAUCAAAUUUUGAAUUCAGCCUACAACAUUGUUGCAAUCAUUUUUUUUAAAUACUUUGAUAUUUGAAUAAAAAUAUAUUAUUUUAGUACAUGAAAUACAUAUCAACUGUGCAAAAAUGAAAAACUAUCAAUUUUUUUUAUUGAUAAUAUAAAAAUUACUACUUUUGGGGAUUAAUACAUCUACAGAGAAAGAAAUCAUCCUUUUAAUUCAGUAAGUUGAAAGAAUUAGUUAAAUAUGUAUUUUUUCAAUUAUUAUUUUCUUUUGUAACAAGUUCUGUACCAUGUUUAAAAUCAUUUUGCAACGAAUUAUUCAAAUUUUCUUGUGUUUUUAGUUGUGCAAAAUCCUUACUCACAUGUUUUUUUUUGCUUUAACUGAUAAAACCUCAAGUCAACUUUUAAAUUUUGUUUCUCAUGAAAUAAAGUUGCAUUUCAACAUUCAUAAAUUCUAUUUUUAAAAAAACAUUAAAUGCCAACAAAGACACACCAAUCAAAAUGUUGAUUUUGAAAAGGAAUAGUACAAGUGACGUGCAGAAGAACCACAUUCAAAAUCCAACGGAGCAACUUUGAUGUCCUUUUUAAGAAAGAUUCAAAAACAACAAAACCCACAUUAAAUACCGCAACGCCUCAAAUAAUACCCACCCUAACAAUAGGUCAAUCCGCUUUUCAAGGUUCUCUUUAUUAUAUUUCUAUGUUAGUUUCUAAAAUCAAUUGAAAAGUUAAUAUUCCCUUAUUGCGAGCAACCAUCCAAAAUGGAUAGUGCCUUUUCUUUUUGUGUUUUGUGUUUUGUGUUUUUUUUUGGGGGGGGGGGGGAUUUUCCAUUGAAUUCAAAAGUCAGAGGUGGGUGGGGUGGGAGGGAGGGACGGAGGGACGGAGGAAGCAUAUGUCACAUUAUUAUUAUUAUUAUUAUUAUUAUCCUAACUUAGCAAUUCUAUUCUAUUUCAUUCUAUUCUAUUUCCAACCUCUAUUUGAAUUCAGUGUGCGCUGCCUGCACUCCUUAUUUCUCACGGUCUCGCGGAUAACACCAUUCAAUGCAAUGCAGUGUGCAACACUCACUCAAUCACUCACUCACUUACCGUGACAAUCCAACCAAAACUUAAGCCAAGCUGAGCUAAGCUAAGAAACAGACAGACAGACAAAGAGAGAGAGAGAGAGAGAGAGAGAGAGAUAGACAGACACGAUCGAGUCUACGAAGGUGCUUGCAGCUGAAGCAAUUGACGUCAAUCGCAGUGGAUGGGGCGGUCUGGGGCUGGGUCGUUGUCGAUGACGACGCAUGAAGCGGAAUGAGAGAGCAACGAGCCAAGCCCUCCUACAUUGACAUGGUAUCGCUAGACGCGGAAAGUUAUGCAAUCCAUCGAGCCCACAAACUGCGCUGACGGAGUCGCUGGACCACCUCCAGUCCGGUGACGACGGUGCCUUUUGAACAGUUCAAGCUGUUGCUGCCCACCCAGCCUGAGUGAGACCCGCCAAAUCUCAUGCCAAGUCCCCGUGACGGGGAUUCGUGUGAGAGCCACAGCCAUCGACCAUAGCCAUCGGCGCUGGGUACAUAUUGCAGCACCUCAUCCAGCGAACUGUGCGCACACCGCUCCUUCGUGUCCUUGAGCCUUCCAAUUCUCCCUCUCACAUUGCCAAAGCCAUUUCAUUUCCCCAUCUGAGGGCUCAUUGUGGGUGUGGGUUUGCUGGGAACCCAGAGGGUUGCUUCGAGUGGCGGAGCAUCUGGGCCUCGCAGUUUCUUCUCUGAUGGUUGACUAGGAUUCCUGGAGUGCAUUUGAUGAUGCAAGGUGCAGCUGACUUAUUGUAGUUUUCGGUUGUUUCGUUCCGUCGUAUUGGUUCUUGAUUUUCGGAGCGGUGGCUGGAGGUUUUGGAAUAUAAGCGCAACGAGAUGGUCUCGCAUUCGUGACUGCCUAUUUCUCCGAGGGGUUUGUCGCACGCCGGCCGGUAAUCUCAAUGCCCAAUCGCUCACAACCCAUCUAGUUGGAAUUCUUCUUCUGCAUUGCUGCUUUGUUACCAUUGCCCGGCGCGAGGCGAGAGAAAGAGGUAGUAGUAGUAGUCGUCGUAAGAGGAGGCAUUGGUGGAGAUGGGAUUGGGCAUCGGAUCUUGUGGUGGGUCAAGCCAUUGUAUGACGUUCUCUCAUUUUGUCGACUCCUGAAUGACUGGCCGGAGCUGAGACUUAGUCACACAAACGAGGGGCCACCACUUGCAGAUUCUCUUACCCCUGAGCAGAGCAAGUUCUAGAUUCUCUUACUUGGCAGAUGCGGGUAGCCUAUAUCUAAAUAGCAACUUCAGGCUUGUUUUGCAGAAGCACAUCAUCCUCGGGAAAAAAGAAAAAGAAGACAAAAACAGUCGCACUGAAUUGUACAGCAGUGACCUUGGAAGGACGUUCUCUGUUGCCGUGAAGCGAUCUGUGUGGAGGUAGCUGUAAGCUUUUGGAGAAGAAUUCAUCUUUUGUUUGAAAACGGGACAAGAUCAGGCGUAAUUGCAAUUCGAGGUUGUUAAGAGCAGUGUGCUUGGUGGUUAGGCGGGAACGAAACUUCCUAGGGCAAGGAGGAUUUUCCUCAGGGGGUUGCGCUCCCGAUUGGGUGAAGGAUCACUGGAAGGACAGAAAUUUUUGUUCUAGAUUUGUUUUUCCGUUUCUGAGGGACUAUCUAAUUACGGCUACCGUGGAUUGACAGCCAGCGUGGAGGACAGGCGCGACCAAUUUCGGCUUACAGAGGCAGAUUAGGGUGAUGCACCGACGAUGCAAGAUACUAGUAAAGACAGGUUUGAAUCACAGUUGCACGUAGGAAUGGAGAUGCCGUUGCUGGAGAAGUGCGUCGUGUUUCAUCGGGGGUGAUGUUCAUUUAGAUCACGAAAAGAAUCAUGGUUAUGGAAGGGCAGGUUUGAAAUUCCGAGUUGUGGGGCGAGGUGAAAAGGUGGUAGGCUAGGUCUCGAAAUAAUCCAAGCUACGAUGGAGCUUCAAAAAUUGGCCAGCAUCGCGGGAGUCACGGCGGAAGUGAGCUACGACCGGACUGACGAGGGGAAGGAAGGGCUCGCGGCAGCCAGGGAGAUGGUGGGCAAAGAAUCGUCGGACUUGUGGGGAAGGGUGAAGAGGAUGUCGGUGCGGGAUUUGGCGAGCAAGUUUGAGUCACGACAAGCCGCCGCACACGCAGCUGCUGCCAGGCUUGCCGAAGAGGUAAUUGCAGCAAGCAUUGGUGAUGCCGCCUUUCCUCAUCAAAGCUGUCGAAGGUCACUUGCAUUGUGUCUCGAGGUCAAAGAACCGUCGAUGUCUGAUGUUUCAUAAAGGUUUGGAAAAAGCGUCCCGUCAACGUAGGAUAUGCGUAUUUACGAGCCACCCGGCACUGGUAAUGUGCCAUGAAGUCUGCGCUGAUUGUAAAGAAAGUAUUUUAGGGAUUCCCUUCUUUCCAAGAUGCCACCAAUGGAUAGUACGUGGAGCUGCAAAGGUUCUCUCCUUGGAAUUAGUGGCCAUGGACGGCCUGGUGUUUGGUUGGAGAAACCUCAGAGCUGCAAGUUCUGAAUGGGUUUAAGAAAUUCUAGGGCCAUGGAGAAAAGGCUGGUCGGUUUUCCACAGCCUACAGUGUGACCAUUCCAACACGCAUCAUAGUACAGAAUUGGGAUGUGCAAAAGUGAGAACGAUUCAGAUACACUUUGCUUUGGAUGUUUUCAUCAUGUUUGGAUCUUCUUGGAAUAACUAGGUCGAAUACCGAGUGGGUUGUAUUAGCGACUUUGAAGCUCACUGAGGAUGACUUGUGUUCUGAGUAUAAAUGCGCACACAACGUUGUGACGAGUUGUGCACUAUAUUUGGCCGUGCGAGCUCUUUUCUGCGUCCUCUCCCGUGGUGAAUGUCUGAUCCUGGACGUGGUUGUGCCCAGCAAAAAGCAAAAGAAGUGGCUCUCCUUGACAAACCAGCGCUUCUGAAAAAGUUGCGUGGGUUGCUUGGAGACCUUUUGGGCCGUGUUGCGGGGCGGAGCAAAGAUGAUGUCACUGAAGCUCUCAUCACAGUAUGUUCCUUGCUUACUUAAUUAUGGCUGUCCUCUUUACGUAACUGGAAGAUGGUGCUCAAAGUAGACAUGCGAUGAUCAUAGCCGUUCCAAAUCAUGCUACGAAUUGGAUUUGAGGUGUGCUGACAAUAGCGUUGAGUUGUGGUACUGUUCAGAGAGACACAUGAGGGAAGUCAAGGUGUUCCCUCGUGUACAAAAUCGUUGAAUGAUUUUUGAGUUGAUAAUUUUGUCACAGGUAGACGCAGUGGAAGCUCAAUGGACACAACAGGAGACUGAGGCUGUGCAGGAAAGAGAAGAGUCGAGGAAGCUCGCUGCUCUUUUCCAGAAGGUUGCGGCAACCUAUCGUAAUUCUGUAGCUUCUAUGAGUAAUUUCCCUUGUAUUCAGUACAUGUAAAUCCUGUUUCACAACUUCUUCAGCAUGUGAGGAUCCCUCUAGAAUCCGGGCGCCAAUCUUUGAAGCGGACAAUCCAAUGGGCCGUGUGUCGGUGACCACACUAGUAAUAGAAGCAGCAUCCAUACUUACCUUUACCAGUUGCUUCAGUUGCGGGAGAUUGCAUGCUAACGAUGACAUGCACCAUUUUUCAGGCCUCGGAGGAUGCUAAGAGUAUCAUAGAGAAGGAACGGCAAGAAGCCCAAGCUGAGAUCGAGGCUGCACGGGUCACUGCGCUUCGUUGUCAACAAACGUUGGAAGAGCAGGCUCACACUUUGAGUCAAUCCGAGCAAGAGGUAAACGGCAAAGAGAUUUAGGUCACUCUGGUUUCAUGCUUGAAGUUCCGUGCAGCGUGUAAAAAAGAACAUACGCAGUACAAUCUGCGGGGACGCAGUCGUGAAACGCAUGAAAACAACAGUUGGGUUUCCUCUGUCCAUGGCUAGAGUCCGAGAAAACUUGCAGAAUGAACAUGUUCCAGCGCACAACGCUGCAAAAUGUCGAACAUCAGACAUUUGGAAAAUAGAACUGCUCGUCUUGCCUGCUCAAUGCACUGCUGAUUUUGAGGAUUGCAUCGCAUUUCCUGGAUUUAUCCUGAAGAAGGUGCUUGUGUGGAAAGUACGCGAGGGCAACGUUGCCAACAGUCAUCCUGGGCUGGUUACUAAUGCCAAGUCGUGGUGAGUGCAGGAGCUGGCGGAGCUACGACAGGAAAUUAAAGAAGCCCGCAGAAUAACGAUGCUGCACGCGCCUAGUAAGGUUAUGGACAUGGAGUAUGAGAUUGCAGGUCUACGACAGCAGCUCACUGAGAAGACUCUUGAGGUGGUUGCUAUUCGCAGAAAGAUGGAUGUUUUGGUAUCGAAUCCAGAAGUUCCAGCACACUUUGAACUUCAGGGCGAAGAGCGGCUUGGGUCCUCCCUGGUCACCGUCCCUGCUGAUUCACAUUCCCCAGAGCUGGGAAAAUGCAUAUUCCAGUGGCAUCGUAUGCAUGGAGCCAAGGCUGAAGCCAUCGUAGGUACAGUAAGCAACCGAUGCUGAUGUGGAGUUCUUGUGCUGUGUUGAGCAUGUUGCUGUGUCAUGGAAUGAUCCUCUGCUGUUGUCACUGAAGGUAAGUACUUUGUACGGUCAUGUUCCAGCUGUAGGGGUUACAGAGCCGGUAUUCAUUUCGUAGUUUACCAAGCAAAGGAUUAUGGUUUAGAAUCCAACGCUAUUGUGCUGUUUUUUGUAUGAGGAUUACCAUAUGUAUCGUUAACCUUGUUUGACUGCCAUCUCUUUUGUCUCGCUAAAGCUGAUUAUGCGUACGCGCAGGUGCUACGAGGCCUCAAUAUGCCCCCGAGCCUCUGGAUGUUGGUAAAGUGCUCAAAGUUGACAUUGACCUUCCGGAUGGUAGUCGAGAGUCGCUUGCAACUUUGGGCCCUAUAGAUGGAGGUGAGCGAUUCUCAGCACUCUAGUACCAAUUCACCUUGUCUAUCAGUACNNNNNNNNNNNNNNNNNNNNNNNNNNNNNNNNNNNNNNNNNNNNNNNNNNNNNNNNNNNNNNNNNNNNNNNNNNNNNNNNNNNNNNNNNNNNNNNNNNNNACCUCCACUCGUCCCACGGCGGAUUUUUUAUAUAUAUAUAUUUGUGCAUAUUUUGUUGACAUUCGUCGUGGGUUGUGGCAGCUGCUGGACUAAGUCAAUACGUGGAAGCAUUGAUCCGGAAAGGAGGAGCUGAGUUCAAUGUACGCCAUUCGUAUACACUUGACUGAAUUCGCUGGUAUUGUAGUGGACGAGCUGCGUUCUGGGGUCCUAUUUAGUACCACUGUAAAGAUGACCUGAACGUACCCAGGGACCUAUCUGAUGAAAGGACGUUGUACAUGCCAGGUUAGAAUCUUCCAAGAGAAUGGCGAACACGUUGUGAAGGCCACAUUUCAAAUGUUGGCUAUUGACAAGUUGCGUAUGAAGCUUUACAAAGGCCGCCAUAACCGAGCAAAAGAAGAAUACUCUUCAUCCAUGCAGGUGUGCAUCCGCUCGAUUGUGCAGUUUUGGUGGAGGGAGUGAUAGAAGUUUGUUCCAACGGUUGCUGUAGGGCUGAGUGUGCAUGGGGUUUUUGUGUGAUUUAGUGAAAGACUCGGAAGAAUGCAGUCAAGCGUGUCUUGUACAAUUGACGAGUGUAUUGUGUGAUUCCAUGGACAAGCAGUUGUGUGGUGCUCGAGGCGGGGGUGAUGCAGCUGCGCGGAGCUUGUAUUGGGUGGUGAAUAAGAGUCUUACCUUCAUGCUGGUGUUGGACUCGGAGCGGGAGCGCAACGCAGCGAUCAUGUUGGCGAGAAGAUACGCAUAUGACUGCAAUGUAUGUGAACUAGAAUUUGGCCCCUGCACCUGAGUUGUUUCUCCUACAUGGCAUCCUUGAUGUGAUGCUUGCUUGAAAAUAAUUGACCUGCGACGUUGUGUUCUUAACCAUGGUGAUAUCAGGGAGCAGAGAAUUCAGGCCUCGGGAAGUUCUAAUUGCAGUUCAAAGUUUCACGGUAUUCCUCAAAAAGAUCUGACGCUGUUCCUAUUUUGUCAGAUCAUACUUGGAGGCCCUGUUGACUAAUACCUCCACUGCAAGCUCGAUCUAGAGGCAAUAAAGCACGAUAGAUCUGUACAAAUCUGGAUUAGGGUAAGUUCGAACGACUUUUGCAACAUUCUUUCCGUGAACUGCUGUGGAGAUUCACAGCUAGUUUGUGAUGGUCAAUACCUUAGCACCCUAGAUACGCAACGUGGGUUCUGUGUCAAGUCAUCCCACCUUCGCGACCUCUGCAGUUGGGUUGGAGGACCUGAUUAGGGGACCUUGAAACCCGACAGAUCUUAUAAGAACCAGCGCUUGUAUCGUAGACCCUUUGGCUUUGCUCAAGGUUGGCUGGAGUGAAGCAUUAGAUAUUUCAUUUCAUUUCAUCAUAUCGCUGUUUGAUGAAGCUCACAAAUGCCACCACACUGAGGUCGGAUGGGAGGAGUUUGGAGGAAUGCAGGAGUGUGUUGGAGACGAUAAGAUUUUCUGGCGGCGUUGCCUCAAGCAGGGCAAGAUCAGCACUGUAUUGUAAUCCUCAUGGGACUUUGCUGUCCGUCAUGUUGCUCAGGCAGUGUCGGUCGAGGGAGUGUGUGCUUCAUUUAAUGAGGUUGUAGUCUUCCCAGAAACAGUAUUUAUAAAAACUAAUUGUAUAAGAAAAUUAUUACAUUAUUAAGUAAUUUAUUUUGAUUACCAAAAGAAUUUUUGAAAGACGGAGGUUGUUUGUGCACACUGACAAAGUUUAUUGACUUCUACAAAAUAAUUUGAUUAGCACAAGAGUCGAUUGUCUUACAUUUUCUAUGAGCAUGAUUUUAAUAUAUAAAUUUUAAUGAUGUUAAAAUGCAGAUUAUGAGAAACUGUCAUGUGUAUUAAAAUAAUUGAAGUAAUUUUUUUAUUAAAUAAAUACGACUAUUGAAGCUAAGAAUUGUAUGGUAAUUAAAUAUUUAUGUUAGAGUUGGUAGAACUUUUACAAUGAUAAAAUAAAUUAAUUAAAAGAUAAAUUUCAUGAACCUUCGUAUGUUUUACAGAUAUUAUGUCCAUGUUGUAAUUUUGACUUAGACAAUUUUGUCUACUGUGCUAAGUUCUAUAAUCUUAUUAUUUCAGUUAAUUGGAUAUGAAUAAUAAAUAUCACAUUGUUUGGUUGUAGCAAUAUCAAAAUUAAACUUUAGUAACAUCUUUGAUAACUAUCACUAUCUAAUAUAAUUCAAUGGUACAAGUUAGAGAACUUAUCACAUCAAUGUAAAUUGUACAAUUAUACAAAUUCUAAAGAAUUAUUUCUUUAAAAAAAUAUUUAUUUUGGGAUUUAAUUUAAUUUAUUUUAUAACCUCAAGUUAAGAUUCUUGUGAAAAAAAUUAGUAGUAAAUUAUUGGUUCAUAAAUAUCUUUAUUCUUAUACUUUAUUAUUUUAUUAUUUAAUCUUAACUGCACAAUUUAUUUAUUUUUAUAACAUUAUUGUUACAGCUUUGUUGUUAAAAGUUAUUUUAAAUAAAAAUAAUUACUAUUUUAAGCUAUAUAAGACAUAAAGAUCACCAUGGAAAUAAAAAUUAAUUAAAUAAUAUAUAUAUGUGUAUAUAUAUCUAUAUAUAUAUAUAUAUACACACACAUAUAUAUUUAUAUAUAUAUAGAUAGAUAGAGUUUAUAUUAUAAGUUUUUAUUAAUAAUACAAAUUAAAAUACAAAUAUAAUAAAUACUUGUAUUAAUUCUAUUAUUAGAUGUAGAUAGAAGUAAUUAGGAACAUAUUAGGUAGGUAACAUCUUUUUAAAGAAACAUUGUGGAAGUUUCUCUGAUAUGAAUUAGAUCUUUAAAUUCUUUUAGUUAUAUUACAUGUCUAAUGAAACUUAUUUCAAAAGCUUUUUCUUUUAAAAAGCCUUGGUAAAAGCUACCUACAAUUUAGAUGCUUAGACCACAAGCUUAACAUCGGGAAUGGGAGCAAUGGUUGGGAACAUAGGAAUGGUUGGCAACAAAGAUGGAGACUACAAGGAUGCAAUGAUGGUUAAGAUAGAGUAUGUUGCUUUAGUAAAAAUUUGUACUGCUUUAUUAUUUUUCUAAAUAUAAAUCAUUUUAUUUUUAUAUUUUUACAUAAAUAAAAGAUUGAUUUUAAAAUUAAAAUAGACUAACUUGAAUUUAUUGUAAUAGAUACUUUGAAUUUAAGAAUUUUUAGAUUAAAAAUUUAACUUUUAUUUUAAAUUUUUUUGACAACUAAUUAUUAAAUCCAGAUAUUUAUAUCAAAAAAUAUGUUAAAUAUGUUAAAUAUGGUCUUUAUAAUUUUUAAAAUAUUCUUAUAAUUAUAGUGAUAUAUUAUUUAUUUAUUUAUUUUAAAUAAUUUAUAAAUAUAAAUAUAAUAAAUACUAGUGUGAGAAUUUAUUUGUUAUGAAAUUUAUCAAGCAAUGCAAAGGUUUUUACAAUUGUCAUUAUAUAUGUAAUAAAUUUUCAUAUUAUAUAAGUAAAAAUAAAAAUAAAAAAGACAAAAAAAUGGAAGUACAUAAAAAUAUGCUUAGUAUGUAAUUUUGUUGUAAAAAGCUUCAAGAAAGUUUUUAACAUGCAAAUUCGAUAUUUAGACUUUUAUAGCUAUUUCAACUUGUGUUAUAAGUUUCUUCUUAUUUUUGAAGAGUUUUUUUUGGAAAUAAUCUAGAACUUGAUACUUAAGCUACAAGCUUUGUAAUUCAUAGGAAGCUUCCAUAAGACCUUCUUUGUCACUAGUAUACAUAGAAACAAGACUUAGGCCAUCUUUAGUCUUAUUAAUAUCUUUUUUGUGUUGUAGUCUUAGUUUAAGAUUCUUUAGAUUCUUUAUAAUUAGCAAUAGUCAUUCUAGUUUUUUUAUGUAUCAUAUCUAUAUCUUAUUUGUCCACACACUCUCUUUCAAUUAUAUAAGAGCAUUUUCUUUCAAAAAUUCUAUCAUGAUUCAUGAUUUUAAUUAUAUGACAAGACUACUUACUUAUUAUAGUUAUUUUAUUUAAGAUGUAAGAAUAUUAUUUUAUUUUUUAAAAAAUACUAAUAUAUUUUUAUAUCUUUUUUUAGAAAGUUUUAUUUGAUAUUACAAAUUGUAAAUUAUCAUCUUUUAAUUUGACUUAUAUGCUUAUUAAUAUAGUCUAUUGCUAAGAUAAAAGAAGAAAAACAAAAAAAGUAGAAACUUCAUAUGUUAGCAAUCUCAAUUAUAGAAGUAUUACUACUACUUAUAUAAAAGAAAUCAAUACUAAAGUCAAAUUUUUAUACUAAGAAAUUGUGCAAUUGAGAGAAGCAAAUACAAGUAUGCAUACUUUACAAGUGAGCCUUAAAGAUCUGACACCACAAGUAUGAAUAAACCAAAGAUCUAUAUGCUAAAGAAGUUUGAUAGAAUAAGAUCAAAAUUUUGGAAAUAUCUAUAAGAAGUUAAGCUCUUCUUACAUUUGCAUCCUUCUUGAUAUAUUAAUAGAACUAUGUAAGUAGAAUUUAUAGAAAUAUUUAUUUAAAAUGGUUCUAUUUUAAUUUGAACUUCUAAUAAAAAAAUAAAAUUGAUUCAAAAAAAAGUUUGAAAAUAGAUUUUUAAGAAAAUACAAAUUAUAAUAGAUUAGAAAAUCCCUAGAAUUGUACUUGGUAUCUUAGGCUUUUAAAAAUUUAUAGAUUAAAAUUAUAAAGAACUUUUCUCAAGUUAUUUCUUUAGUUAUACAAUUAACUUUCAAAAUUAAAUUAAAAUACAAUAAAGAUGCAAAAAAAAUUUAGUGCUUUAAAAGAAAUUUUGAAUUUCAUUCCUAGUUUAUAUCAUUUAAACUUUUUAUGGCUAUUUUCAUAUAAAUAGAUGGAUAAUUUUUUUUAUUAGAUAUAAUUAUACUACAAAAAGAUAUAAAAAAUAUAAUUUAUUGUAAUACUUUUUAUACAAAAAAAAAAUCUAAAAAAUUGUCAUUAAAUAUAAAACGUACAAAAAAGAUUUUUUAAAAUUUUUUAUUGUAGAUUUAUUAUGAUAAUGGUAUCACUACCUAAAAGACACUCCUGAUUAAAUCAUAAUUUAUAUUUGUGACAAGAAUCUUGAUUAUUUUAUAUCAAUAUGUAACUUAAAUUAAUGCAAAGCUCAUUAGAGUAUGUUUUUGUUACAGUUUGUAUUGAAUAGUGCAUAUUAUAUUAAAAAAUAAUAAGACUUAUUAAAUUGCUUAUCUAUACAUUCUUAUCUUAUAUCAAAAGAAAGAGAUGUUGCAUAUAAUUGAAAGAAAAGCUAUUCUUUUGAAUUUGGAGCAACUAUAUUUUACAGCCAUUUUUAUUGAUAAUUUAGUUGAUACUAAUUUUCUAUUAAAUUUUAUUUAAAUAUAUUAUCAAAGGAAAUAUUAGAUUAAUAUAAAAAAUUAUAAAUAAUUUAUAAAUUGAUUAGAAUUUACUUGCAAUUUGUUUAGGAUUUGAUUAGAUUUAUUUAGGAAUUUAUAGGAUUUUAUAGGAAAUAUCUAAGGUUUUUUAUUUUUAUUUAUUUUUUUAUUUUUAGGAUACAUUUAAUAUUUCUUAAAAUUUAUUUGAAAAUUUAUUUGGAUAUUAUGAAUAUUUUUUUUAAAUUAUUUAUAAUUCAUUAGAUUUGUGAUUUAGAAUUGAUAAAUUAAAAAUUGAUUCAAUUUAGUAUUUCUAAAAAAAUCAAAUCAUUAAAAUAUAUAUUUUUAAUUAUCUCAUUUUUUUGGAUUAUGAGAACUUUAAGAUUUAGAGAAAUUCCUUCUACAAUCAAAUAUCCAAUGUAUAUUUUAACUAGAAUUUAAAUAUAUCAACAUAUAAAUAAAAUAUUAGAGCAAUAUUUGUAGUGAACCAUCAAUUAUCACUAAGACAAUUAAAUAAUUUUCUUGCCAUUAGAAAAUAAUUUCAAACAAUAAUAUAGUAUAUUAUUUUAUUUUAAUUUUUAAUUUAAUUUUACUUUAUUUUAAUUUUAUUUUGGAUAUUUUCUGCAAUUAAUUUUUUUGGAUCUUUCAAAAUAUAUUAAAAAUAUAUCAAUAUAAGAUUUGGCAUAGAGAUUAAUAAUGCUUCAUGAAAUAAUCAAGAUACAAAUAAAAAUAUCCAAUAAUAUAAAAUAAUAAUAAUAAUAAUAAUAAUAAUAAUGGUAAUAUUUUUAUAAAAAGAAAUCUCUGUAUAAAAUUGAUAAUAAGAUAUAAUUAUUCUAUUGUAAUAUCAAGACCAAUUAAUUUUUUGAUAAAAUGAAUUAUCAAGAUCUUAAUAUUAUUUUUCUUUAAAAAAAAAUCUAUUAAAAAUUUAAAAUAAAAUCAAUGGAAUUGCUUAAUAAUUGCAACAAUUACAGUCAACAAAGAUCCAUCUUCUAUAUUAAGUUUGAUUUAUUGAGACUUAUACUAUAACUAAUCUAUAAUAUAGAAAAUAAUUUCUUCUAUCUUAUAUUAGAAUAUAUAUAUAUAUAUAUAUAUAUAUAUAUAUCAAUUAAUAAUUUAAAUUGAAAGAAGUCUUGAAUUUAAGGUGGCAUCAAAAUAAAUUAAAAUAACUUGCACAUUGGCAAAAAUAUAAUACUAAUAGACACAUGUAGGAGCCAUCUAAGAAUCUUGAAAAUACAUCAAAACUUAUUGUUUCUUCUUGUGAACAACCUUUAUCAAAAUUUAGAAUCAAUCAUUGAAAAAAAGUUAAUGUAAAUUAAAGAAAAAAAAUAAUAAUAAAAAAAAAAUUCAAAGAUCAAUUUGAAGACUUUCUUUGCAACAUAAAGAAGCAUCAACUACCAAAUUUAUCUCAAGAGUUGUUAUUUACAAAAUUAUUAGAUGAAGCACUUAGAUAGUCUUAACUUAAAUAAAAUUAGAAUUAUAACAAAGAUCCUUAAAAGGGACAUGUUCUUCUUUAAAUAGUUAAAAAUAUUUAUAUUUUGUAGUACUACAAUCAUAAAAAAAGACUAUUAAUGCAUAGUAAUACUAUUGAAGGUGGUUACUGCAUUUCAAGGUUUGUAAAAAUGAUUGUUUGAAGAUAGUUAUAAAGUUCUAAAAAUUUAUCAAAUAACAAAGACAUCUUCUUACUAUGGUAUGGAACAUUAUGGAUAGUUGAGAGAAUCUAUCAUUGUACAACACAUAAAUCUAAGUUUAUUGCUAAUAUCAUUUAAUGGAUUUUAGAUUUCAUCAAUUUAUAAAGCAACUUAUAGAAGUUGUUACUUACAAGAUGAAAUAAUCUAACAUAUAUUUAUUUUACUGAAGUAUAAAGAAAUAAAUAGAAUAAAAUAAAAGUAGAUAUGUUAGGUAGAUAAUAUCUUCUUUAUGAAGGUUUAAAAAAAUAAAUUAGACAUAGAUUAGAUAUUUAGACUUUUAUAGAUAUAUCUUAUGGUUAUUUAAACUUAUCAUACUAUUAUAGACAUGUAUAUUGACUCUAGUAAUUAGUAAGAUAAGAGGGAUUAGGUAAAAAUAAAUAAAACUUAGUAAAUUUAAUAAUAUCUUGUAGAGAAGCUUUUUAGAAGUUGUAUAGAUGUAAAUUUGACUUUACAAGUAUUUGUAGGUGAUUGAUUGGUUAGAAACUUGGCCAACAAGUUAGCUACAUAUUACAUAUGUUGAUUACUUAUUUCAAAAAUUGGCCACAUGUUGCAUAUAUUGUCUACUUAUAAUACAAUUUGGUCAUGUGGCAAACAUAGUGGAAACUUGCAUUGCAAGUUAGAUAUGUAUCUUAUAAAUUGAAUAUAUGUCAAAUGACCUAUAGAACAUUGCUAUGUAGCUCAUUAGUUAGAUAGUAUAUAUAGAGGGAAGAGUAAGCCUUUUUUCACUCUUAUCAAUAUUUUUCUUUUUGUUCUUUUUUGCUUUAAGAAUUUCUAAACUUUUUGUCUUUCGUAGUAGCUAUUCUAAUUUUUUUUUAAAUAUAACUCCUUUUUACUACUUUUUUGUCAUCUCUCUUUGAUAUACGCCUUAUUACAUUUAUUCAAAUUUUUAAAAUUUUUGUCCUUGAGACUUACAAUUUUUCUACUUUGAGAAAGUUAUGUUAAAGGUAAUAAAAAAACACUUCAGCCACGAGCCUUGUAGUCUUUAGAAAGCUUCUUCAAGAACUUCUUGAUAGCAAGUAUGUAUUAUGGCAAGAUUGAAGCCACGUUUACUCUCAUCAACACAUUUGUUAUGUUGCAAUUUUAAUUCAAGGCUCUCUAGAUUCUUUAUAACUAGUAAUAGCCAUAUUAACUUCUUUCUAUCUUCUAUGUGAUUUUUAUUUGCCUAUUUAACUUCUUUUUGUGACAUAAAAGUAUAUCAUCCUCUCAAAGUUUUAUUAUUAUUCAUGUUCUUUAUAGAAGAUCUAAUUUUUUAAUUUUAAAAGAACAUUUUUGUAUUAAUCAUAAGUUACAUUUUAUUUUUUUGGUGUAAGAUAAAAAUAAUUAAACAAAUUAUCAAAUAAAUUUUAAUAAAUACAAUUAUAUUCCUUAUAUUGUAGUUGUACUAUUUGUAUAGACAAUGUUAAAUAUAAUGAUUAAAAAAUGCACAAAUUAACAUAAUAUAUAUAUAUAUAUAUAUAUAUUAUAAGAUCCAAAUCUUGUAGAUUAUACAAAUUGCAUCAAGUUUAUCAUAUACACAUUAAAAUAACCUACUUAUAAACUAAAAAAUCUAUUAUCAAAUAGAAUUAACUAAUCUAAGAUUAGAAAAUAAGAUCUUUAAUUUUUAAUUUAAUAUAAAAAUUAUUUUAUAAAUAUUUUUUUAAUGUAGAAUUUAAUAAAUGUGUACUUUAAUUCUAUGAUAAAAAACCACAUAUUAAAAAUCUGUAUACCUUGUUAUUGAUAUUAUAAAUUAAUACUGUAAAUUAAUAUUUUUUUAUUUAAAUGUAAUUAUUUUAUUUCUAAGUAAUUAUCAUGACAAUAUUGUAUACAUGGUUUUAUUUCUAAAACAUGCUAUUUGAAAAAAAAAACGCAUCUAUUCAUAUGAUAUCAAAAUUUCAUUUUUAUCGAAGUUCUUACACUAAAUAGACUUAUGUUGAUUUUAAUCCCUAACCAUAUAUAAAUACUUAUGGUUACAACUUUAUAAAAUCCAAAAGUUUGUUAUAGCAAGUUCUCUUUCUCCCAUGUUGUUUAAUUCUCCAUGUAGACAACUUAUCAUGGAUUUGGACAUGCCUAGCAAUAAUAUCUUGAACUUAAAGAGAAGAUACUCACAAGUAAAGGACAAAGUGGAAACAUCCUUGACCACCAGUCACUAUAAUAAUUGACACGAAUUCAACAUAUGAAUGAAAUACGGAUUUCUCUCAAAAUAAACAAUGAUUAAGGUUUGACAAAACUGAUAGCUGAUAAAAUAGCUGUGACGACUCCGGUUCUUAUACCUCACUACUGGCUGCAAUUCCAUCAUGUUUUACAUGACCCAUCGCUUCUCCCGCACUGCAUUUAUUUCGAAAUCUGAACCGCCGUCCGUAGUGGGUGUCCGUAGCUGUGGUCUUUUGUUCAAGUAGAUAUUGUUGCAUAAAAAGAUUUGGAAGAGGUGAUUUGUCUCCGAGCUUCAUAAACCACCAUACGUUGUCGUCUGUAUGCUGAAAUAGCAGCGUGGCAGCAAAUUCUGGUGGCAGAAAUGGGUAGUCAGGGAAUUUCGAGGACUAAAUCCAAGUAAUUGGUUCGCCGACGCACAACAGAAUCUCCAGAGGUAACGAGUACCAUAGGUAUCCAUUUUUGCUACAAACAGAAGAAAGCGCAUUCGUUAAUUGCAUGUCAUUAUCACAUACAAUCAGAACGGUGGGGGCCAAAAUUGAAGGUAAGGUAUUCAUUCCUUGGUGCAGACUUAAGGAGGGAGACUGGACAACUCGGACGCUUCAAAUUCACGAAUUCAGAGCAAGUCCUCUUCAGAUCCUUGCCAGAUUUUGACGGCAGUGCAAACUAGGAGCCCUACGCAAAGCCCUCGGCAACUAACGCUGGCCUGAAAUGGCAAAUCCAGACACUUAUCUAGCCACGUUUUUAUUUGCAUGGUCGUCAUAUUCUUCGAGAAGCGAAAGAAAAUCUCCGUUCAUUUUGGAGGCUUUUCUCUCAGAAGUCCUCCAAGAUUAAGACCAAUUUAGUUAAAUCGUGACUUCAUUAAACAAGGGAGUUGUUACUGCAACAGUAGUCUGAGCAAGAGGCUGGAGAUGUGAAAUUUAAAUGUAAGCAGGGCUACAGCUGCAUGAGACCAUUGAUGGAGUCUGGUCACUACUCCCAAGUUGCAUGGCUAGGUUCAACAUCGUAAGGCAACUCUAUUUCUUGAAUUUAUCAAGAAAAAUUUACACCAACCUCAUGAUUUAACGAUACUAGUUUGUCAUUGCUGUUGAUGACAAUGAUUCGAUUCUCUACGUAACGAAGAAAUUUGAGCAGAGUAGGCACAGAUAGAAGAUUAAGGAGAAUUGUGCAAAGUUUACUUGGUACAAGAGGCCUCACAUCGAGACUUAUAUUACACAGGUGAGGCAUGUGACGUCGGGCCAGAUGACGAAGUUAUCGUUUCUGGACCAACACGACAGCCCUCUAGCAUAAAAAUCACCUCAGACAUCGAAGGUCUGUCAACUGGAUCCGGCGCGGUGCACAAGAGGGCAACUUUGACCGCCAAAAGAAAUUCUUCCCACUCAGAAGAUUCGGGGUCCAACUCCAACAGACUAGGAUCAAAUAGCUCCGUGAUUUGCCCUGUUUGCAGCAUCCGUUUCACCCACUUCACAAUAUCUUCGUCCUCGGUUGUAAACAUGGCUGGUCUCCGUCCAGUCAAAAGCUCAAGCAAAACUAUACCAAAGCUGUAGACAUCUGCUCCUCUUGUAAGCUGUCGAGAGACGCCAGUACUUUCUGGCGAUACAUAUCCAAAUGACCCUACAGGAGUCGAGGAAGAUGAGGGAUCCGUGGGCAUUGUAGCGAAUCGCUCUAAACCGAAGUCAGAAAGGUGAGCUUCGAAAUCGGCGUCAAAUUGAACGUUGUUUGGCUUGACAUCUCCGUGAAUGAUAGGGGGCUCACACUGUGUAUGAAGAAAGGACAGUCCGCGUGCAACUCCGAGAGCAAUUAGAUGUCUCAUUGGCCAAUUCAAAACGUGACCGUCUUGUUGCGAAGCUUCUUGAAGUAAAGAAGCAAGAUUUCCAUUCGGCAUGUAGUCAUAAAUCAAGAGGCGCACAUCCCCGUGAACGUAGUAACCUCUCAAAACUGUCAAGUUCUGAUGCCUUAUUCUUCCCAACAUCUCCGCUUCUGCUUUGAAGAGGUUUUCUUCCACCUGGCCAUCGGGUAGCCUUCGGACUGAUAGGACCGUCCCAUCCUGAUACUCAGAAAAAUAACAGUGUUUUAAAAAUGCAAUGAGAAACAUCAAAAUAAUUGGAUACCCUAAUUGGUAAAAUUAUGAGUGUCUACUUUUAUAAGUAGCUAAUCAUGAACCGGAUAUUUAUGCAACAUAGUAGAGUGUACAGUUGAGAGCUUGGGAAACUUUCAAAAUCUAAAUGAGAAAAUAACUCAAAAAUUGAAUUGGACAAAAAUUUCGAAGGUUACCUUCAAAAUCGCCUUGAAAACUAUGCCAUGUCGCGUCCUACUGAGGACGUGAUCCUCAUCAAACUGCCCAGUGGCUUCUUGAAUAUGUGCAAAUGUGAGUGGCUCACUGAACAUAACAACCUGUGCAUCUGCAGGCGGUGGUGCUAAAGACAAAGCUUUUCGAUUAUAUAAACGAAAGCACGCGAUACCAAGGCAACAUAUUAGAGACAUAAGGAUGAUGGUAAGGACACCUGCACCGACAGAAAGUCCAACAAUUUCUUUUCGGUUCCAACGUGUUCUCUCUCGAACUUUAUUUGGCCCGCUUUGCAGAGGUGCAGAUUGCUGAGGCGAGCUGGCUGGCGAUCCAUUGAAACAACUUGUCUCGUCGCAGAGGGAAGGAUUUCCACUGAAAGAUGUUGAGUUGAACUUCAAAAGAGCUUGUGGAACAGGUCCCUGAAGGUUAUUGUUGGAAAGAUCUAGAGCUACGAGGUCAAUUAGACUGCCCAGUGACACAGGAAUGUUCCCACUCAGAUUAUUUUUGGAGAGAUUCAAGUUCCGCAGUACUGUUAGAUUACCGAAAGAAGACGGGAUAGGACCUUGCAGACUGUUAUUCUGCAACCAUAGGAUGCGGAGCUGCUGCAGUUGAGCAAUCUCUGGCGGAAUGUCUCCGCUUAAUUUGUUUCCCUGAAGAUCCAAGACAUUUAAACUUUUGCACUUCCCAAGUUUUGAAGAGAUGCCGCCAGAUAGUUGGUUGAUCCCUAAGUAAAGUUCUUGAAGAUUCGAUAGCUCGUUUAGCUCUUUGGGAACUGAACCAGUCAGCUGGUUGUUGCUCAAUGCUAAUACCGUCAAACUGGGGUCUCUCCCGAGAGCCGGAGGUAUGUUUCCAUAUAUGUUGUUGUUUGAAAGAUCCAGAAUAGUUAACCGUGGAUGGGCACCGAGGUCGGGAGGAAUACUUCCAUUGAGCUUAUUUCCACUCACCGAGAAUACUUCCAAAUCUGAGGAGGCAGGGAAGCCGUCUGGAAUAGGACCAGUGAGAGAGUUGUUGUCAGCAGAGAAGAUCCGCAAUCUGGAGAGUGCAACGUAUGCGAACGGUAUGCGCCCCCAAAAAUUUUGUCCACUCACAUCCAGCUGCACAAGAUCCACGCAAUUUCCCAGCUUUGGAGGAAGUAACCCUGACAAAUUAUUCCCACUAACGUCAAGAACCUGUAAGUGCAUAAGGGAACCCAAUGAAGAUGGAAUGUUACCCGAGAGAGCAUUUUCCUCCAAAUUGAGAAUUCUCAGUGGGAAGCACAACGAUAAGGAAGAAGGAAUUGGCCCCGUCAGUUGGUUGAAGGAGAGAGACAGAUGGGUCAGCAUGUGCAGAAAACCUAGCUCCGCAGGAAUGGAGCCUGAAAGAUUGUUCGCGUCCAAGGAUAAGUAUUCCAACUUGAAUGCCUGACCUAGAGAUGGAGGUAGAGUACCUGAGAGGUUAUUAUUGUUGAAAGAAAGGGAUUGAAGUUCAGUAAGUUGGCCCAAAGAGAAUGGGAUUGAGGAGGUAAGACGGUUGUCAUUCAAUGACAAUACUCUCAGAUUGCUAAGUCGACCAAGCUCUAGAGGUAUACUACCGGUGAGAAGAUUCUGUGACAGGUUUAAGGUCCUCAACUGGACAAGGUUUCCCAAUAUCUCUGGUAUGGGCCCCGACAAAGCGUUGGCGCUCAACGACAACUCCCUCAGCCAUGUGACAUUCCCAAGCUGUUCCGGAAUUGAGCCGUUAAGAUUAUUUUCCUCCAACCAUAAUUCCUGCAGGUUGAAGAGAUUUCCGAAAAGCUCUGGAAUAACUCCACUAAAUCGGUUUCUUCCAAGAUUAAUAACUUGCAGCUUUGUGCAGUUGCUCAGUUGCCAAGGAAUUUCUCCCCAUAGAGAAUUUCCCCUCAAGUUCAAGCUCAAAAGAUCCGGCAAAGUCCCCAGUUGAACUGGAAGGUUUCCACUCAAGAGAUUACCUUGCAGGCUAAGAACUGUAAGCUUCUGGCAAUUUGCCAAGUCAACAGGAAUUGCACCUGAGAGAGUGUUAUCCGCCACAUCGAGAAAGCGCAGGUUUAUAAGCUUGCCGAUAUCAGGAGGUAUAGGCCCUGUUAGUUUGUUUUGUUCCAAAUUCAAAAUCUCGAGCGCCUGCAAACCUGCAAGGUCUGUAGGUAUAAUGCCAGAUAAUUCAUUCUGAAACAAUUGCAGAUCGCUGAGGAUCGAGCAAUUGCCGAGUGAAGCUGGAAUGGAUCCCGUCAACAAAUUGGAAUGAAGAUUUAGUUUGCGAAGCUGUCCCAGAUUGCCCACCGCAGCUGGCAGACAAUGUCAGUGUUAGCCAACCAGAGCACUAAACUAACACUUCUGAAAAAUUGUUCGUGAAUUGUUUGUCAAUUAUUGAAAAUUUAUGAUGAUAGAUUCAAAUGAUCUGCUCAGGAACAAACUUCCUCCAAAGUAGCCUCAUCUUACUUAAAAUUUACGCACACGCAUAUUUGGAGUGUGACCGAAGAGAUUAAUUUCAAAGUAACUAGCAAAUGCCCAGAAGGUAUGAUUGCAUGAAGUUCGAGCCCUUCCACAGUGCUUCAGUGUUACUCUAAAAACGUUUCUAAGCGCCCGGAUACACAGCAGACAAAGGAAAAUAUCAGAAGACUUAAAGUUCUCCAGUGUUGCUAAUCCUAACAUUCCAAAAGGCAUGACAGUCAAACACGAAGUUUCUGAAAGUUGAAAUUCAAUUAUUUGCUAGUGGGCUCUUGAUUUCAGAAAAUAGAUCCAGAGGUUUCCUAACCAGGACUAUAUCUAUGAUUUAUGAAGCAUUGUGCCCUCUCUGCACAGAUGAGAGACUAAUUGCCCUCAUUGCUUCUAAGUUGCUUCAUCAUUCAUUCUUGGAGUCUAAUGAGUGGAGUAAAAACGUCGAUAAUCACGAAUGGUGUGCUUGAUCUUUUUAAACUAGUGAAUUACAUUCUUCCUCGCGGUUUAACGAAGUCAGUUAAACUACGCACAUGACCUAACCGUAGGCAAGCAUUGGCGGUGCCAGAGGUCACAGGACAAAGAGUAAGAAUGAAGGAAGAGGUGCCUGCGCACCUGAUAUGUGGCCUUGUAGCCUGGCCCCAGGCAAACUUAACUCCGAAACACGCCCAUCCUUACAGAUCACUCCCCGCCAGGCACAAAUGAUGGCGCUUUUUUCAAAUGUCCACUCUCUUAGAAUACUUUGAGUGUCAAUAAAAGCCUCCCGAAUCUUUAGCAAAGCGUACAAGUCUGUUUCUAAGCUCUGCGACUGUCCAUCGGCGUGGAUAAUCAGGCUUCCAAGUAGAAAAAGUGCAAGGCCGAAGGCCGAGGACCAAGGUCUCCCCAUAACCGAUAUUUCAGCUCGUAAUUGAUCACGUAGGCAUCUUCUACUCCGUGAAGCUGUCAGCCGCUUCAGAGUCACUCCCGGCAACCGGACAUCAUUUUUUCCAUAAGGACCUGCACACAAAUAAACACCAAAGAUGACCAAAGUAAUAAUUUCAUCAAUGUCGAAUGGCAGCUAGCUGGCAGCCGAACAGUGUCCUUCUGACCACUCUACUACUAUCUUGCAUUCUGGUGAGUUAAAUUCUGAGGUUCUAACUUCAAAUCGCAUCAUCAUCUCCGUCCUCGAAAGUUGUGAGCUAUCAAGAGAAAUCAUUGCUCAGUAAAACAAGUUUCAGAGGCAGCAGUAAGCAAGAAAUCAACAUGACAACGUCUCUAACCUAAAUACGCCUUGACGAAGGAGGAACUCGAGGGGACCGACUCAUCAGAAAAUGUUCGGAAGGGAACCGCGACCAACAGCUCAAAGAGUAGACAAAUAACAAAUGAGAUAUACACGAUUUUCAAACCUUACUUGAUUCAGUCAGCUCUAACUACAGCUGUCUGCUGAGAACUGCUUCUGAGCAGAUCUGCACAACUCAUUUUCCAAAAACCCGUUCCAUACACACCGGCCUUGAAGUCCACUGCUUAGCAUCCAACGCGACAUUCCCUCUCACAAUGCCACUCCUUACAGCCUCCCUUCUGCCUGCAAAACAAUGAAAGCUUAAAAACUCACCAAAAUUGCCCGAAAGUUCAAAAUCCACGAGAGCUCCCUUGCGCAGUAUCCAACAGCUUCUCUCUGUUACCUACUCCACAGUACCUUACAAAUCAGCACCGCAUAAAAAAAAAUCGGAAAUGCCGAAAUGCAAGAGCACGUGCACCGGUUCGAGUCGAGGAGAACACACCCGCUAAAUGCCACCUCCCAUAAAUGCUUCUAGGUAGCACAACACACUAAAUCCAAGGCUCCGAAGCUUUCUGAGAUUUCAAACAGACGAAAUACUCUGCUUCAGUUGCACUCCUCCAACGCCAACGUCCGCAGCUGCACCAUGACCAAGAGCGUGUACGAAAGGAACGUAUACGCAGGACUGAAUCACUCAGUCACGCAAGCAAACGGUCGUGGCAAUCGAGCACGGUUGGGGGUCCAGUUACAAUGAGGGCGCCCGUGCUCGAUUACCGAUGGCGGGGCGACAGAAUGCGAAGUGCAAUAGCGGCACAGCAGCUGCCACCAUCAGAGUAAGGAAUACAGCAGCAGGCAGGUAGGCUGGUUCAUCUCAGGUGAGUCUUCCCCCGCCCUUCCAACACUCCGACUCUCAGUAUCGAGCACAAAUCAGCAUCGCUGGUCAGCAGUCAUUAUGCCCCCCCCUGACCCAGGGUCUCUCAGCCUUGGGGCGACUCUGCCGAUUUCACACUCACUUGUCGGUACUUGAUUUGUUCUCUCUUGGCCUGCGCUUGGAUGGAUAAAUGGAUGGAUGUCCUCAUCCUUCCUAACCAGCACAUGUAAUCUUAUCCAUCUAUCCAUCCAUCCAUCAAUCGUUGCACCCUUCAUUUAAAACAUGUUAGUUUUGGUAGUAUCAAUCCUUUUUUUAUUCUUUUAUGUAUUUCUGAUGAUUUGAAUUGAAGAAUGUUUCAAAAACAUAUUACUGAAAAAGUCGUUUUACUUAAAGACUAUGAAUAAGGUUGUGAAUGAUUCGAGAAUUCAAAACCUCAAAAAAUAUUUAAAGAUCCUGUUCUGAUCAACUCUUGGAUUUCGUCAUUUAUUUGAACUUCAAAAUGGCUUAAGACUCUGCAAUUGAAAGGUUUCUGCUUCAUGCAGGUUUUACAUUUCUGGUAUUUUAUAAAGAUUGGAUUGUAUUCAUUAUUGCUCUGAGAUGUAAACUUUAUCACUCCUAGUGGAAGGUCAUGAUAAUAAAAAAAUAAAAAAAAGAAAAAUAAAAAUGAAGACUGAGAAUAAAUGAUACUCAUUGCAGAGAUCAUCAGGCAUAAAGUUCAUAAACUUGUACAUAUGUACGUACGUACGUAUACAGAUCUAGCUUUUGAGAAAAAAUCACUUUCUGAAAACUCUUGUGUGUAAGUAUAAUACAUAUAUAUAUAUAUAUAUAUAUAUAAGUAAUAAGUACUGCGUUAAAUCCAUACAUGCAGCUUAAAAUAUUUGUUCCACAACCAGUCUUUUGCAUUUUUAAAAAUUAUUACAAUGGUGUAGAAUUUAUAAAUACCAUUCAGAAUGUCCUUUUCAUUUUCUUGUCAUUACUCUAUCUUUAUCUUUUAUUUUUUAAAUUAUGUAAUUAUUACAUAUGUAUAUAUAUAUAUAUAUAUAUAUAUGUGUGUGUGUGUGUGCAAACAAAAUUCAUUUGGUGAUACAAAUAUGUAAUGUAAUACUAACAAUAAUAAUAGCUGUUCUAUUGUGGAUUAAAUGAUGUUUUUUUAAUAGAACAGUUAUUAUUAUUGUUAGUAUUACAUUACAUAUUUUAAUAUUAAUAUUGUUAGUAUUACAUUACAUAUGUUGACAUUUACAAAAGGAAAUUGUAUGUAAUGUGGCGUAAUAUAUAUAAUCUAAAGUGAAGGUGGGACAGCAAUGAUACUAUAAGAAAACCAGGUGAAUUUUCAGACAUGAUAUUGUCUAAUAAAACUCAUUUUGUCUGAUGGGAUAAGUCAUUGUUUAUUCCAAUUUUUAUUUUAUUUUUUGAAGUAUAGUGGAAUAAUUACAGUAGAAAAGAAGCCACUACUAUGUUUAAAUUUCUGGUGCAAUUUAUAUCAAUUCACCUAAUUAUCAGAAUGAAAUUCAAUAAAAUGAAUUACAAAAUCUAGGAUAUAAUCUUGGAAUGAAUGGAGGUUUGUCAAUGUUGAGUCAAUAGUAUUAAGUGAAUGCUUGUAGUGUCAUGAUACGUAAAACAUAGUGAGUUUAAUUGCAUUAAAGUUACUGAGCCAUACACAUUCACUUGAUUUGUGCAUGGAUGGAUGAGGACAAGGAUGAAGGAGAAGGGAUGGAUGAGCUGCAGGGAGUGGGAGGAGUAACUGAGCUAAUGCUUGCUGCCCUCCCUCUCCCCUUCCUCACUCCUGCAGGGCACUUCUCACCUGAUAUCAACACUCUAUCUCUCGAGCAUUCACGAAGUUGGGUCAGAUUUCUCGCGCUCUGCUUCAGUUGCGGCAUUCUGCCAGCCGAAUGCGCUGCAUCAUUGUCCCUAGGAUUCCAUUAUUGCCCUGCAUUUGCACUACUUACUGCUACUUAUGAUGCACUUUGCUGCACCACCCACAGCAUUGGUUAGAAAAACUACAUGAGGGUUAUCCCCUCCCCUCUUUGAUGGUGGGUACUGAUCGCUGGGGAGCCAGUCGUUGUCGUCGUCCGUAGUCUGGUCAAACCAACCCUGAGCAUCUUCAGCGAUGCUACUGAUUCGGUCCUAACUCUACUUCACCCCAAUGCACAACCCUCAGAACCAGCCCAUUUUACCCUGCCCGGCAUGCUGAGAAUCGGUUGGAGCACACUGACCUUUUGCAAAGAGUAUCCACAGAGGCACAGACAUGCUCCGAAUGUGGGCCCAGCCCUACCAGCCUACCUGCGUGCUUUUUUUUUUCCAUCAGCGCUUAUGGAACGAAAUAUUUCCCCAUCUCCAGUAGCUGCAGCUGUCCAGCCUGGGAUCAGUAAGCGUGUAUGCCGGUGUCUCCAUGCUCUUGUACCCACCCAGCCAACGGGAGGAAACGCCUGCGAGCAGUGGAAGCGUCAAACCAUGGGGGGGAGGUGGCGCAGCUGCCCCUGAUAUGCCUUAGCUGGCAUGGACGUCAGUUUGUGCUUGUCAAGGCAGGGCAGGGCAGGGCAGGCCGCGUACUUGGGAGUAAAGGUCCCUCGCCCCCGUCCCCAUGGUGUCGCUGUGGGCUCUACGCAGGCGCCGCAGACCCAACUCCCACAGACCUGGUGCAGGCAGAAAGAGAGAGAGAGAGAGAGAGGUGCAAACAGUUGUCACACUUGCAAACUCAGCGUGUCCCGUUGCUGCUGCUGCUUCUUCUUCUUCUUCAUCAUCAUCCAUCCCCCCCUCCUCUUUAGAGUCGUUUCUCCCCCCCCCCCCACUUUUGUGCACUCUUCCAAUGCUCCACAGCUUGAUAAUUGUUUUCUUUCAUUCUGAAACUCGCCAAUUUUACCACCCCAAUCUUCAUCAUCUUUCUCUGUCUUCUUACUAUUUGCUGUUUGACCGUUUUGUCUAUUUAUUGAGUCAAUAGUUGUUGACAAAUAUACACAUGCAUAAAUAUAUAAAAUAUAAAUAAUUAUUUCCAAAAAAUUAUUAUUUAUUUAAAGAAUUUAUAUUAUUUAUAUAAUAAUAUUUUUUUAGUUAACUUAGAAUGAAUUUUUGUUCUAAAUAAAAAAUUAUAUAUAUAUAUAUAUAUAUAUAUAUUUACACUAUUUACAUGCAUAUAGAUAUAUCAAUAUUUUUUUACAUAAAUUUUUUAAUUUAUAUAAAGCAUCAUCAAUAUUUAUUUUUUAUUUGAUAAAAUAAUAUUAGAAUUCAAAUAUUUUAAUACAAAUUUUAAAUUUAAAGGCAUUAGAAUAUUUAUUUUUAAUUAUUUUUUUAAAAAAAGUUCUUAUAGAUUUUAAGUCAUAAAUAAUCAAUUUGCUAUAGAUAUACAUAUCAAUACUAAUAAUUGCUAAGAUAAGAGAAGUAAGGUAAAAGUAAGUAAAAGUAUGUAAAUUUGAUAAUAUCUUAUAAUAAAACUUCUUAGAAGCUUUGUAGAUGCAAAUUUUAUUUUGAAAAUGUGUGUAGAUAAUCAACUAGUUGAAAACUUAAGCAAUAAGUUCACCUCAUGUUGUACAUGUUGACUUCUUGUUUUACAAGUUGGCCACAUGCCAUACAUAUUUGCUACUUAUGAUUUUGAUUAAUCACAUGGCACAUAUGUAAAAAAAUUAUUUUGUAAAUUAGACACAUUGUAGUAGAGCAUGGAUAGGAUAUUUGUAUUAUUUAUACAUAGAAAUAUGUAGUUGGAGUCAUUUUUGGGAAGUUUUUAGAAUUAAGAUUAGGGUGGUGGUUCUUGUGGGAUCCACCAUAGAAUCUUUUAGAAAGGCUUAGGAAAGUUAUCAUCAUAGGACCUACCUCUAGAGUCUUCUAGAAAGGUAGUUAUUUUGGUGCGGCUGAUGAUUAGAGAUAUUCUAAAAAGUUCCAGGGAUAAUUAAAUAAAGAAUAAAUAGAAUUGGUUAGGGCCAUUUAGACAUUCGGUUAGAUGUGGCUUUAGAUUCUUUAUCUUAGUAAAGUUUGGUUGUUUUUUCUUCUUUUGUUUUGUUUAGUUUUGUUUGAUUCUAUUUUCUUUUAAUCAAUCUUGUCUUUUCGGUUCCAUUUCAUUUAGGUACUUUCAAUUUUGUUUUUGUGUGCUUAGUCUUACAUUGUGUUGAGAACUUUGUUGUUAUGGAUUUAGUAAGGUUUUAGACCUUAGAGGAUCCGGUCCUGUUUUAUUGGUAUCAAAGCGAGUGUUAGUCUAUUUUUUGAUAGUGUGUUGAUAUCCAUCAUUUGGUUGGAAGUUAAUUAUUGUAAUCACAUUGGAUACUAUUUUUGGGCUACAAUAAGCUACCUUAAGAAGUCAAUUGGAAGAGAAGAAGACAUUACAAUAAUAAACUUUAUUAAGAAAAUUGUAAUAUAGAAGAUAUGGCAGAGCAAUCCUAGAUUGAAACUCAGAUAUAAUACCUUUUAGGAUAGAUAAUUACUCUGCAAGGGCAAAUAGAAGCUUCUAAGAUAAGAGAGUUGACAUUUGUUAGGUUGAAAUUGAACAAGCCAGAUAUAUUUUCAGAGAUGUCAAGGCAAGAAGAUAUAUGCCAAUGGCUUUUUAAUAUACAAUAGUACUUCCAAUUAUCUAGAACAAAUAUCAGCAAAGGGAUUAUAUAUGUUUCUAGUUAUUUGAGAGAUGCAGCAGCCAUUGGGUGGCAACAUCAAGUUCAAAGGUAUGGAGCUCAAGGCGAAUUUUGUGACUAAGAGGAGUUUGAGACCAAGCUUAGGAGUCAAUUUUGGCCCAUCAAUGUAAGAAAGUUAGUUCACAAUCAAUUGACUAAUCUUAUACAAUUUAGAUUAGUGCAAGAUUAUACCUCUUAAUUUAAGUUCUUAUAUCUCUAAAUUGGCAUGAUCUCAAAAGCAGAGAUGAUGGAUCAAUUUGUACAAGGGUUGAAAUCUAUGGUCUAGGGAGAGAUGGAAUUAAGAGAUCUACAAAUAUUUGAAGAGGCAAUUAAGAUUACAAAAAAGGUUGGUGCUAUAGAUUUUAGAAAUUAUAGAGUACAACCCAUAGAGUAGAAUUCUAUGCCACUAGCCAACUCUAUGGAACAACAACCAACACUGAUGUAGAUUGAUGCUCUAUAAAGACUAUUGACACCACAGAGACAAUAAAUAUUGAUACAAAAGAAAUUAUACUUUUAUUAUUAGGAGCCAGAUUAUUAGAUUAAAGACUAUCUCAAAUAUCAAAGUUCAAGCACCAAUAAAUCAUAGUGGGCUUACAAUCUCAAGGGCCACCAAAUUGAUGAAGAAGUAGAGCAGAAAAAUGGAGCUCACCAAUAAAGGCACUAAGGGCUAGUGUUGGGAAUAGUUGUUGUUUCUCAGAGAUAUAUGACAUAGCCUUGAACAACUAUCAGAAGGAUUUACUAGUGCAUCAAAUCAGUUGACUAAGAAGAUAGACAUGUUGAGUGCUUGUGAAUUGAGACUUUACAAAAAAUUACAUCUUGAUUGUAAUUGCCAAUCAAUUUGUGAUUAAAACAAAGGUGAUUAAAGGAGAAAGUAUAUACCUAGCAGAUGACUAAGAGAACAUGUUGAGUGAGACAAGUGAAGAAGAAAUACUAAAGAUAAAUGACACCUAUGCCUUCAGUGAGAAGUUUAGAAUAACAAAGCUUAGAUAUGAUGUUUGGUAUGCCAUGGCUAGAAAUGAGGAAUAAAUAUGUAAAUUAAUUAGAAAAGAUAAUUUCUUUUAAGGAUGGAAGAUGCAUGAUGACUCUUUGUGCCCUUGUAUUGAGUGGGAUAGUAAAAUGAUGUGUGGCUAAGAGCUUACUCAUACAAAUAAUUUUUAUGAAGAAACAACUACAGUAUAAGCAAUUGUUAUAUGGCAUGGUUUCGAAUCUUAUUUCAGUACUAGGAAAGACAACCAAAAGAGUAGAUAGGAUAGAGCAACUCAUACAUGAAUAUUAAGAUGUCUUUCCAACCAACUUACUUAGUAGCAUGCCACCUGAUUGAGGUGUUCAUUUCUAAAUAGAAUUAGUACCAAAAACCAAAUUGUCAAGUUUGCCAAUUUAUUGCUUUGUACCAAAUGAACUUAAAGAAUUACAAAAGUCAUUAGACAAAUUCUUGGAGAAGGGCCUCAUUCAAAAAAAAUAAAUCACCACAGGAAACACUUAUAUUCAAAAAAGAUGGUGGAUUUUGAUUUUGCAUCAAUUAUUGGAGCUCAAAUAAGUAGACAAUCAAGAAUGCAUAUCUACUUCUACAUGUGGAUGACCUUCUUGAAUAACUUUAAGGUACAACUAUCUUUAGGAAAUUGGACCUUUAGAGUGGUUAUUGAUAGAUUCUUAUUGCCAAAAAAGAUAUAAAAAAGAUGACAUUCUAUAUGUACUAUGGACAUUUUGAGUGGCUUUUAUUACCUUUUGGUCUUAUCAAUGCUUUAGUCUCUUUUAAAGUUCACAUAAAGAGAUUAAUUUAGGACCUUUUGGAUAAGCAUAUGGUCAUUUUUAUUGAUGAUAUCUUGAUCUAUAAUAAAAUUCCUAAGGAGUAUGAACAACAUCUACGAGAAGUGCUACUCUAACUACGUGGUAGUUGCUUCUAUUACAAGCAAUCAAAUUGUGAACUUUGGAAGUCAAAGGUCAACUUCUUAGAGCAUGUAGUAUCCUCUAAAGGUAUGCACAUGGAGCAAGAGAAGGUAAAAGGAAUGGAAGAUUGGCCAACUCCCAAAAAUGUUUCUAAAAUCCAUUCAUUCUUGGAUCUUAUUAGAUAUUAUUGUUAUUUUCUUUGACGAUUUGUAUACAUUAUUGUUUUAUUGACAAGCUUAUUGGAAAAGGGUGCAUCAUUUGAAUGGUAAUUUGAACAAAAAAGGGCCUUUGAAGAGUUGAAGGAGGCAUCGAUUACUACUCUAAUAUUACAACUGUAUAAUUUUGACUUACUAUAUAUACUUAACAUUGAUACUUCUGACUUAGCAAUUCACAUGAUUUUUCAACAAGAAUUUUUAGUAGGGCCUUCAAUUUGUGGCAUAUGAAUUGCAUAAGCUCAAAAAGACAGAGCACAAUUAUUUUGCAUAAGAUCAAGAGUAACUAGUAAUUGUACAUGCCACAAAGAUGUGGCAACACUAUUUUUUAGAGAAGCCAAUGACUAUUCAAACUGACCAUAGAUCCUUGCUAUAUGAUUUGUAUCUGAAAAAUAAGAAAUCAAGACAUCAUUGUUGGAAAGAACAGCUGCAAUUCUUUGAUAUUUAGCUUGAGUACAAACAAGGGCAACAACAUACCAUGCUGGAUACCUUAUCAUGCAAACUUGAUUUAAAAUGUAAAUAAAAAAUAAGGCAAAAUUUUCUACCAUUAAUAGUGUUAUUUCAUACUUAGUACGAGGAGCAAAAUGGAAGGAAGCUAUCGUCAUGAUGCUUAUUUCAAGAUAGUUAUUGAUUAACUAAAGAUGGAUGAUGUAUGAUAUCAAGAUUAUCAUAUCAAUGAUGGCUUAUUUUAUUUCAAGAAGUGGAUUUAUAUACCUAAUGAUGCUAUACUUUGAACGUGCAUAGUUCAAGAGGGACACAACAUCCUAAUAUCUAGAUAUCUAUGGCACAAAAAGACUAUAGAACGGAUCUCAAGGACAUGAUUUUGGAUAGGUUUAGAUCAUAAUGUUUGAGCUUUUGUGUAUUCUUAUGAAUCAUGCCAGCAUAACAAAGCAUGCAAUACAACAUCUUCUAGGCUAUUAUACCUAAUUUUACUACCUAUAGUACAUUGAGAGUAAAUAACUAUGAAUUUCAUUACAUAUUUGUCAUAAAUGCCUCAUAAUUAUACUGUAAUUGCUAUCUGUGUGGAUCGACUUUCAAAACAACUUCACUUGGCUGAAUUACACUUUGAUAUUGAUGCCUCAACACUUGUACAAGUCUUCAUAGACACUGUCUUUUGUCACCAUGGAUUACCUUGUGUCAUCAUUUUAGAUUGAGAUUCAUGCUUUAUAGGAAAUUUUUAACAAACCUUGUUUAAACUUUUGGACAUAUGACUUGUCAUGUCUAUGGCCUUUUAUCUUUAGAUAAAUAUAUAAAUAAAGUAUGUAAAUUGGAUCUUAGAGAAUAUGCUACAAGUAUUCAUAGUGAUUUACCACAAUGACUAGGGUGAAUAUUUGACGCCCUUAGAAUUUGCAUACAAUGAUAGUAUUCAAGCAAGUACUAGUUAUUCACCAUUCUUCUUAAUACCGAUCAACAUCUAAUUGUACUAGCAACUCUUUAUUGUCCCAUUAAUAUCAACAAUCCGAUAAUAGAGGAGUUUAUAUAAUGGCUUAUAACAACCUUGUAAGAGAUACAACAUCAUCUCUUUAUUGCACAACAUUCAUAAAAGCAGUAUGCAGAUAACCAAAUGCAAUACAAGACCUUCUAGGAGGCUAACCAAGUAUUAUUCUCCAAUACUAAUCUUCCACUUGCUACAUCAAUCUAAAUUUGUGAGCUAGUACCUAGAUGGCUUAGAUCUUUUUGCAUUUUUGUAGUAAUUUUUGAUGUUGCAUAUUGCUUCAAACUUCCACCACAUAUUUGGAUCUAUUCGACCUUCCAUAUUUCAAAACUCAAGGAGUUUCAUAUUCAACCAAGGCACUUUUUGAGUUGACAUCAACCACCAUCACCACCAACGAUUGUGAUUGAUGAUUGAAAAGAGUAUAAAAUAGAUAGUAUUUUGGAGCAUCGAGACCUUUGCCAUGGCAAUGGACUUCCGCAACUUCAGUACAAAGUUCUCAAAAAAGAUUAUCCUAUCCAUGGUGCAAUGUAGGAGCAUGCAUAUAACUUCACUCAUUAUUAAGAAACCAUUUGGAAAUACCAUUAAAAGAAAAAUAAGGACAUUCUACAUUAGUAGAGGAGGAUUAGAUAUAACAAGAUAUAGGUAGGAUAUUUAUAUUAUUUGCACAUAGAAAUAUGUAAUUGAAGUUGUUUUUGGAUUUUUUUUAGAAUUAAGAUUAAGGUGGUCGUUCAUGUAGGAUCUACCAUAAAAUCUUCUAGAAAGACUUAGAAUAGUUAUUAUGGUAGGAUCCAUGUUUAGAGUCUUCUAAAAAGGUGGUUAUCUUGAUGGAAUCUAUCAUUAGAGAUAUUUUAGAAAGUUCCAAGGAUAGUUGAACAAAGUAUAAAUAGGAUUGGCUAGAGCGAUUUGUGCAUUCAAUUAAGUAUGGCUUUAAAUAUAUAUUUUUAAAAUAAAGUUUGGUUGAUUUUUUUUUAUUCUAUUUGAUUCUAUUAUCUUUUAUUCAAUCUUGCCUUUCAUGUUCUAUUCCAUUUAAUUACUUUUUGUUUUGUUUUGGUAUGUUUGAUCUUUUGUUGUAUUGAGAUCUUUAUUGGGACAAAAUUAAUAAGGUUUUAUACCUUAGAGAAUCUGCUCUUGUUUCACACAUAUUAUGUAAGUUUGACAUAUAUCAAAUGACAUAUAUAACAUUGUUACAUAGCUUCAUAAUUAAUAUACAUGGACAUAAGAAUAAAACCUUUGUCAUUCUUAUCAACACCUUUUUUGUUCUUGGCCCUGUUUUAAGAGUCUUUAAUCUUCUUAUCUUCAGCAAUAGCCAUUUUAGUUUUAGUUUUAGUUUUAAUUUUAUAAAUAUCUUUGAAUAUAUAUAUAUAUAUGUAUAUAUAUAUAUAUAUAUAUAUAUAUAUAUAUAUGUAUAUAUAUAUAUAUAUAUAUAUAUAUAUAUAUAUUUUAGUGAUACAAGAAUAUAUUAAUUCUUUGAUUAUUUUGUGAUUUAUGUCUUUAAUAGAUUGAUAAGAACAUAUUUUCAAUAUCAAAGAUUUAUCUUUUUUUGAUUAAAUAUGGAUUAUUAUUAUUUCUUAAUAAGACAAAAAUAUUAGAAAUUAUAGAUUAUUCACUUUUAAAUUGAUAUUAUUAAUAGAUUUUUUAAAUUUUUUUUAUUCUUGAAUUAUAUCUUUUAUAUAUUUUAAGUAAUACUAAAUAUUUUUUGUUAUAUUAUUCUAGCACCACUUUUUAAAAUGAAAGGUGCAAUAGUAAAAAAUGUAAGAACAAAUGACAAAGUUAAUGCUUGCAAUGAAUCAACUCAAUUCACCACCACAACAAACAAUAUAAUGGAUUAGAAGUAAAGAUAUAGAAAUGAUAAAGAUGCUUCAACAUCUACACUAAAUUAUAUUACUUUUUUUAUAGUAGAAUAUUGUUCAAGCAUUACUAAAAAUAUUAUAGAACUAAAAAUUAACUUAUUUAAAAAGUUUGAUAGUAUUAGAUCAAAGAUUUGAGGAUUUAUCAAUUAAGUAUAAUUAAUCAUUAUGCUUUAGUUUCAAAGUUUUCUAAUUCCAUAAUCUUAUAUUAAUUUUAUUAAAAAAUUAUUUCUAGGUUUAGAUUUAUUAUGAUUUUAUCUUUUCAAAAUGAUGUGAUUUAAAAUUAGAUAAUUCAAAGGUAUUUUUAACAAAUUUUGAUCUACGUAUAUAGAUAAUAUGGUACAAUUCACAUUGAAAUUAAUAUAAUUUUUAUUUUGAAUUAAUGUAAUCAUUUAGUAUAUGUUUUGUAAUUCUUAUAAUAUUUUAAUUAAUAUCAAUUGUGAUGAUGUAGCAUUCUUUUUUAGAUUUUAAUAUAAAAUUAAAAAAUUAAUGUUAAACUUACGUAAUCCUUAAAGAUUGAGUCAAAUAAUUAAUUUUGUUGUGAAGUGUAACAAUGGACUUUAAAAUUUUUAUUUUAAGUGCCUCAUAAGUGUGCCUCAACAUCUUUACAAUUCAAUGGCAACAUCAAUGUUAUUUCAAUACAUACAUUUGAAAGUGGAAUAUAUUCAGAUUGAUAGGAUAUUUUUAAAACUUUUCAUGGAGGAAUAAAAGUCUCUACAUUGUCAAGAAAGAUUAUGCUUAUAUUCUAAAGAACCUAAGUACACUAUUCAAUAUUUUUUUAGAAAUCAAUACAACCACAAUAUAACAAUAUAGAGAGAAUGGAUAUCAAAGAAGACAAUGUGUUAGAAAACAUGUUUGUCUAGUUACAAUAGGAAGUGUCAAAUUAGAUUCUUAUGCAAUAUCUAGUGAAGAUCCUAUUUUCUUCUCAAUUUUUUUAUCAUUUUUUUAAAAAUAGAUAUUUUUUUGGUACUUAAAAAGAUAAUUUUUUUAUUAGAUUUAUUAAUAUUAAUUAUUUUUUUAGAUAAAUACUUUAUUAAAAAUAUUAAAUAUCCAUAAUAAAGAAAAUUAAGUUUGUACAUAUAAAAAUCAUAAAUAGUUACCUUUGUUCUUUUGAAAAUAUUAUCUAUGGAACUAUUCUUAUAGAUGUAGGAACAAAUGGUCAUAAUAGUAUAUUAAUAUUUCAUAUUAUUAGAUCUUUUCAAUCAAAAUAUUUAAAAUUUAUUAUUGCUAAAAAAAUAAUAUCUUUAAAUAGAUUAGAUUUUUUAUUAUCUUAAAUUUAUUUUAUAGCAUAAUAAAAUCUUUUUUUAACCAAGUAAAAAGUCAUAAGUCUAAUAUAAUCAAAUCUUUAUUUAUAGGUGCAAGAAGUUUCAUGUAUGCUACAAAAAAAUGAUUACUUUUUGUUAUUUAUGCCACAUCCAUCUUUAAUGAUAGAAAAACUUCAAAGGAUAUUUCAAGCUAGUAUUAAGAUUAUCAAGAUAUUUUUUAGAAGAAAAAUGCAAAUAUUCUUCUAAAACAUUGUCUUUUUUAUUACUCAAUUGAUCUUCAAUAAGGAAUUUAAGUACUAUUUGGACCAAUAUUUAACUUAUUGCAAAACAAGUUGGACUCACUUAAAAAAUAUAUUGAUAAGAAUUUUGCCAAAAACUUCAUAUGCCAUUAAAAUCUCUAUCAUGAAAUCUAGUUUUAUUUGUAAAGAAAAAAGAUGGAUAAUUAUGGAUGUGUAUGGAUUAUUGAUGAUUCAAUAAGAUUACUAUCAAGAAAUAUACUCUCUAUCUUUAAUAAUUUGACUUUUUAAUUAAUUGAAUUAAAUAAAGAUCAAUACAAUGAAAGAUCUACAAAGAAGAGACAACUUUGUAUACAUUAAAAAAAAGAUGAAAGAUUUUUUUUUUUAUAAACUAAAUAUAAAUAUUUUGAAUAUAACAUUAAGUCUUUUGAGUUACAAAUAUACUAUUUUAUUGUAAUAUAAUUAUGUGAUAAAAGAAUAAAUCAUGAUUUCUAUUAUCCAAGAGUCUAAUUAAAAGAUAUAGUAGCAAAACAAAGGUAAUAGAUGGAGAGGUAAUAAGGCAUUUAAUAUUAAUGCAGCCUUUUGUAAAAAAAAAAAUUAAGUUACUUUGUAUAACUAUAAAUAAGAAAAAAAGUAGAUUAAUAGAAUAAAGGAUAUAAGCAUCUUUGAAAAAAAAUUAAAAAAAUAAAUAACAAAAAUAUAUUAAGAAACUUAAAAUUGAUACUUAAAAAAGACCAAUUAUAAAUCAACAUUGAAACCACAUUGAAAGGCACAAAACCUUAUAUGUGGAGCAAUUUUAAGCUCUUUUUGUUCAUUAAAGAAUAAUAUUCGAAAAGAAACUUUAGAAGAUUUGUUCAAAAGUUGAUUUGAAGUGAUUUAAAUUAAUUUUAAAUUAUUGAGAAUGUUUUAUAGUUAAAGAUUUUUUUAGUAAUUUUGUUUUUUUAGAAUUAAAAAUAAAUUUAUAUAUUUAAAAAAUUUAUAAGUAUUAUGGUGAUUAAAUAGAUAAAAUUAUGCAAGGUUAUAAAUUGACUUAUUUAAAAUAUAUUUUGAAAUUUUUUGAUUAAUCAAAAUGAUUAGAUUAAAGAACAUUAAAAUUUAGUUGGAUUAGGAUCUUAAAUAUUUUAUUUUUAUGGUUAGUGAGAAUUUUUGUAAUCUUGAAAAAUUUGUAAGAUGGAUUGAAACUAAUUUUUGUAUACAAGUACUAAACUAAAUUUAUAAGAGUUUUAUUAAUUUUGAGAAUAAAUAAAUGAUUCAAUAAAUAAUUUUAAAUUCUAGAAGAUUAAUAUUAAGAUUAAAAAAUGAAGAAAAUUGAUAUCUAAAAAAAAUAAGAAUAUUUUUUUUGCAAUCAAUAAAUUUAAUUUUUACCAAAAGUUUUGUAUCUUUUUUUAAUGUGAAUAUUGCAAUGUAUGUAAAGUUUUAAGUCAGAUCAAUAACUUAUUCAAUAAUUGUUGAGGUUUUAAGUCUUUCCUAGAAAUUGAUUAGAGUUGAUUAGAAUUUGAUAAAGAUUUAAGGAUUUUAUUAGAAUUUAAUUAAAAAUAUUUAAAAUUUAUUCAAGAUUUUUAAAAUUUUAUUUAGAAUUUAAUUAUUAUUUAUAGAAUUUAAUUAGAAUAUUUUAAAAGAAAAUUUUGAAAAUUCUUCAUUAUUUCUUAAAGAUUUUUUUUGAUACUUUUUAAAGCUAUUUAUAAUUUUUGAAGGAUUUUUGUAAAGUUCUUUAUGAUUUCUUUAAAUAUUCUUUAAGAUAUUUUUAUGAUUCUUUUAGAAUUUCUUUAAGAAUUUAUUUUGAUUAAAUUUAAUUUUAAUUAAGAUUUUAAAGAUUUAAUUAGAAUUUUUUUAGGAUUUUAUUAGGUUUUUUAAGGUCUUUAUUUGUUAUAAUUUUUAGUUUAUCUUUCACAAUUAAUUACUUGGUACAUUCUUAGAUAAGAAAAUACAUUAUACAAUAAUACUAACUACUUUUUAAUAUCUAAUGAAUGAUAUUAUUUUGAGAGUUUUUAAGUGGUUUUUGAUUGUAUGCAAAGAUGAAAAAGUAUGUAUUUUAUACAACUCAAAUUAUUUUUUUAGGACAUAUCAUCACAAAUUAUGGUCUUAUGAUAGAUCUUAAGAAAGUUAAAAAUAUCAUGCACAUGAAGAUUUUAAAAAUAAGAAAAGAUGUCUAAUACUUUUUAGAAUUUAUCCACUAAUAUUAAAUUUUUAUCAUUUUUUUUUUAAAGUUGUAGCUUUCUUUGCAGUUUGACUUAUAUAAACAAACUCGAGUGGAAUAAAGAAAUUGAAGCAAAAAUUAAAGCUUAAAAAAUGACUUUUACUAAAAUACUAAUUUUAUAUUGUAAUAAAUUUUUUAAGAUAUUUAUUUUUAGAAAUAGACAUAUUAAUUUUUUUCUUUAGGUAUAGUAUUGUCAUAAAUGAGAGAAAAUGACAAACUUUGCAUUGUAGCUUUUUUUUCAAGAAAAGUUUUAGCAAUAGAGAUUAUUUAUCAAAUCCACAAUUAAAAACUUCUUGCUAUUGUGGAUUCAUUUCAAGAAUACUUCUAUUAUUUGAAAGACACUUCUAUUUCAAUGAUUAUUUAUAUAAUUUACAAGAACUUCAAGUAUUUUAUGUCAACAUACAUUUUGAAUUAUUACUAAGCUCAUUAAACUAUGACCUCAUUAAGAUUUAUAAUUAAAACCACAUGUUGGCUAAGAAAAUAACAAAAUUUAUUAGAUGUAUUUUUUAAAUGUUCUUUUUUUAUAUCAAAAGAAAGAAAUAUAUGUCUUGAUUAACAACAAAUAAUUUUUUUUGAAGCUAAAGAAAUUUCAUCUUUAAGGAAUGAAAUCAAUAUUGAUUAUUUAUUCAAUACUUUUAAAUUAAUUUUAAUAAAAUCUAUUCACAAAUAUUCUUGAGCAUGAUUUUAAAAAAAAUUCUCAUAAAUCUUAUUAUUCUUUUAAGUAUAAAUUAAAGGACAAUCUCUUUUAUUUUGAAGGACACUUCUAUGUUCCAAAAAAUAAGCAUGGUUAGGUGGUCUUCAAACUUGUCACAAUUUUCUAACUACAAGAGAUUUUAGAUAAAAUCUUGGAGUUAAUUUCAAAUGAUUUUUGGUGACCUCAAAUAUGAAAAGUAAUUAAAGACUUUGUACAAUCCUAAGCUAUUUGUUCAAGAUCGAAAUCUCCUUGUCAUCAAUCUUGUAGACUUUUUCAAUUACUACUUAUAUGAGAAUAACCAUAAUUAUCUAUUUCUAUGAAUUUCAUCUCAGAUAUUUUAAUGCCAAGUUUUUAUAACAUUAUUUUAGUGGCAAUAGAUUAUUUUACAAAGAUGAUACAUUUUAUACUAUGUUUAUAAGGUAUUACAAGUAAAGAAUUAACUAGACUCUUUUUUGAUAAUAUUUAUUAUUAUUAUGAAUUUUUAAAGAAUAUUUUUUUAAUUAAAAUAAUUCAAUUUUUUUUUUUGGUUUUGAAUAAAUUAUUUUUAAGAUAUUAGAAGUGGACAUAAAAUUAUCUUUGGCCUUCCAUCUUUAAACUCAUAGAUAAACAAAAUGGAUGAAUGAAGUACUGAAGCAAUAUUUGAGAUAUAUUAUUAAUUAUUAUCAAAAUAAUUAAACAAAUUUUUUGCUAUCAAUACGAUUUUUUUUAUAACAACAUGGUACAUUUUUCUUCUUAAUAAUCAACUUCUUAUAAUAAAUAUCAUUCUCAUAUAUAAUUUGAUAAUUUUAUAUUCUCAAAAGUUAAUAAUUAUUCGAUAGGAAAUUUUAAAAAUUGUUUAUCAAAGAUAUAUGUAUUAAUAAAGGCACAACUAAAUAACGCUCAAGAUUGAAAAAUAUCAAUACAAAUUUUCAUUACAAGGAUCAACCUUACUUCCAUAUUGAUAAAAAUGUAUGAUUAUUCUGUCAUAAUAUCAAGACUUUUUGUUCUUGUGAUAAUUUGGAUUAUUAUAAAUUAAGACCAUUUUCUACUUGUGAAUAAAUCAAUCCAGUUGCUUAUGCAUAAUAGCUAUUAUAGUCUAUAAAGAUCCAUUUUGUAUUAUAUGUAUCUCUUCUUGAGUUAUGUAAAAUAGUAGGUAUAUUGAAGAAAAAAAAUGCUACUUCUUCUUUUAAAAGUAUAUAAGAAACAAGAAUUUGAGAUAAAAGAGAUUUUAGAUUCAAGUUGGUGUCAAAAUAGGUUAGAACAUUUUAUAUAUAGGUAUAAAUAUAAUAAUAGUCAAUGUGCACAAAAGCCAUUUAAAAAUCUUGUAAAUAAAAUAAAAAAGAUUGAUGCUUAUUAUUAGCAAUAUCCAUCAAAUUAAGACAAAAAAUCAAAAAAGUUUUUAGUUUAAAACAAAAAAAGUUUCAUAAAGAUUUUAUUUUAUAAUUUAUUCUUAUUUCGAUUUUUUAAUAUUUAUAAUGCUAAAUUUUUUUUAAAAAAAACAACAACCAACUAAAUUAAUUCAAGAACUAUUAUUUGCGAAGUUAUUAGAUAAGUUAUUAAAAUCGUCACAACCUUAAAAAUAGCAUAAUAGAGAUGAAGUUCCUCAAGAGCAACAUAUUCUUUAUUUUAUAGAUGGUUACUUAUAAUGCAUUUAAUAUUAUGAUCUUGGUAGAGUCUCUUAAAGUUUGGUGAUAUUAUUAGUGGUAGAAACUAUUCCUAAUGAUAUUUUACAUAUUUUAUUUGAAAAAAGUUAUAAUGGCCUCAGUACUAAUUAAAUAAGAAGAUUGUCUUUUUCUUUUAAUAUAAAAUAAUAUUAAUAUUUUGAGGACAAAUCAACUAUCUUUGAAGGAAAUAAAGAGUAGAAUAUGCAAUAGAUACAAUUUGCCACAUCUUUGGCUUUCUCAACAUAUAAUCAUUGUUCUUUAUAGAAUUCUUUUCUAAACAAGAAAUAAUAUUAGAAACAUAUGUAUUAAUAGUAAUAAUUAAUAAGAUAAGAUGAAUUAGAUCAAAGUAAAAGUAAUUAAAUUUGUUAAUAUUAUAUAGUAUAACUUUUUGAAAGCUUCAUAGAUAUGGAUUGGACUUUACAUGUAUUUAUAAGUGAAUGAUUGGUUGAAAACUUGGCCAAUAAAUUUACUAUGUGCCUUAUAAGUUAGUCAUAUAUUUUUUAAGUUGUACAUGUAUUGAAUGACCUAUAAAACACCAUUUCAUAGCUUCUUAGUUAGAUAGUGUAUAUGGAGGCAAAAGUGAGGCCUUUAUUCACUCUUAUCAAUGUUUUUUUUGUCUUUUCCUUGUUUCAAAAAUCUCUAGUCUUAUUCUCUUUGAAAAUAGUUAUUAUAGUUUUAAUAUUUUAACCAUUUUAGAAUAAAUAUCUAUUAUUUAUUAGUAAUACAAGAAUGUAUUGAUUCUUUGGUUGUUUUGUAAAUCAUAUCUUUGAUAAAACUUCAAACUAAAAAUUUACAAUUAUAAAUAUAUAAUAUUAUUGUUUAUCCAAAUUAUAAGUUUAGACAAAUCCAAAGAUUUUUAAAGUAUCUAUUAAAUAUAAUGAUUUAUAGUCUAAGGAUAUUAAAAUAUAGCUAUAAUAAAAUAACUUGGAAAAAACUUAAGUAUAGAAAUGAACUAUUUAGACAUUUUGGCCUAAAAUAAUAUAAUGUAUAAUUAUGAUAGAUAAUAUUUUUUAUAAAUUUAUAUAUAAAAUACUAAAUUUAAAUUUCUAAAAAAUAAAUCAUAAGGAAAAAAUUAUUUUUUAUAAUUUUUUGUAUUUUUUUUAUUAUAUAUAAUGAUUAAAAAACUAUUUUUUAUUUUAUUAAAAAUAAAUUAACCUCUAAAAAUAAACUUUAUUAUUAAAAUAUUAAAAAUAAAAAAUAAAUAUAUAUUUUAAAAUAUUUAUUUGCAUAAAAUUUAAUGAUUAUUUUUAUGAAUUUCUUCUAUUAUUUUUUUUAAUUGAAUUUUAAUCCUCCUCUCUUAUAAGAUUUUGAUCUUAUAUUUGUUGCAUAUUGCUCAUAUAUACCUCUAAGAUUAGCAUUAAUGAUUUAGAAAAAUCCUCUAUGGGACCUAUAUGUUGCGUCUUCUCAAGUUGAACAUAUCUAUAAUAAUAGGCAAUAUUAGAAAGCAACUUAUAGAUUUUGGAUUGAAGGAUGUGGAAUCUAAUCUACCUAGUUCUUUUGCCAACUCCAAAUUUGACACUUCCACAUUAAUAAAUAAAAAAUUAUUUAGUGAUGAAAUUCAUAGCCAAUUCCAAGUCCCUUGCAAUGUCGUGAAUGAAGAAGGUAUAUAAGACUUCACCAAUUAAGAUUAUCGUUUUACUUAUUCUACAAUUCCUUUCAGAAUAAACUUGUGUAGGAGAAUUCGAACACAGGGAAAGACUAAGUGCAUGAGUUUUAUUUGUUAGGGUCACACAAUUAACCGUAUUCCGAACCACUAAAACACCAAGAAAUAUUAUAAUGCUUUCUCCCAAUAAUAAUACUCCUUCAUCAAUUGAUAACAACAGUGUCCAACCCUGCACUCACAAAAAACCACUCAAAAUACAUAAUUUCCAUCCAACACAAGAAAUAACAAACUUUACUUCAAUCAAUCUCAAUUCACAUAAUUUUUUUAAUUACCAACUUCCUUUGUCCAAAAUACACAAAACUCUCAAUAAACAACAAUCAUAAUCUUCCAAUAACUCUUCAUAUAAUUUAAUCACUCAGUACUCCAAUUACAUAAUUGAUAACUCAUAAAUCAAUCCCUGAUUUAUUCCACAGACUCACUUCUCAGUAUUCAAAAACUAUCUAUUACUCUUCAACAAUAAAGAAAAACAAAGAGACAAAGAGGUAGCACCAAGCUUAACCCCGGUUCAUGACUAUCACAGUCUGGCACUCAAACUAACUUCUACAACUCCUAUAUACUUACUCCCUAUUUCCAGAUUCUAACCGUAAUCUUGUAAUUAACCACUUUUAAUAAUUAAGUUAACCAUCUGUCCUCCUGAACUGACUAUUCUAUGGACUAUUAGUCUAUUUUAUCAAUAUCUUAUAAAAACAAACUAAUAUCUAUUCUACACCAACUAAUUCCAUACUAUUGGCUUUAUUCUCUGCAAAAUUCUCAAUUACAUCAUUUUUACCUUAUACAACUUCUUUUAUAGAUUGCAUAUAAGUUUGGCUUAGAUCCAUAUGAUUGUCUAUUAUCAUUUUGUCAAGCAAAAGUAUACCAGUAGAAGUAAAAUCUUUAAUGAUGUUAUUUAUUAUCAAAGCACAUUUCAAGCUUAGAUACAUCUAAUGUCUAAGAGUUUGUUUUUAAACAAGCUUUUUGAAAUUUCUAAAAACUAAAUAAUUUUGAUAUUUUUUGAAAUAUGACUUGAAGGAUCUGAAUACAUAUGUAUCUAGAGGUUGCAUGGUAUGUAUUUGAAUACAUAUGUAUCUAUUUCACACAUGCAAUGUGUGAAAUAAUAGGAUUAGAAUGUCUAGUCCUUCGUUAUGUACUAGUCUUGCUUCUUCAAUAGUAACAUGGCUUGUAUGCCUAUGCAGAAAACAAAUAACUUAUCAUCUAAGCUUUGAAUUGCAUUGCCAUGGUUGUAUUUGGUUCAUAAUGCUCUAUAUAAUUUUAUUUAAAAUAUUUAUUUCUAAAAAUAUAUAAAGACAAUAUGCCAACCUUUACUAUAUUGAUAUAGAUCAAUAUUUAUAGUCAUACUUUUUAAUCUUAUAUAAUAAAAUGUACCCGAUAAGCACAUCUUCAAGCUAUGAUAAAUGCACCAUCAUUUCUCCUUGUUUAGACACUAAAUUCAUUACAAUUCCACAUCCUUUCUAGAGGAUAUCCAUGCAAUAUAUACAACCCACUUAAAUUACUAUAGAAGCUUUGCAGAUUUUCUUUGCAAAGUGCUUUUCUUCUAGAAGAUGCAAGAGCUUGUGCUACAUUCACCAUGAACUUUGGAUGACAUUUUUUAAACCACUUUAACUACUUGUUACUAGGAAUUUUAUUCUUGAAUGGAGUGCUUUGAGUCCUAUUUAUUUCAAAAACCUUUAUUUUUAAAACUAUAGGUAAGAAAUCUAGGUCCAUGUUAUAUAUAGCUAAAAUUUACUUUACAAGCUUGUUUUCUUCUUUUAUAGUUAGAACUUCUUUAACUCUCCUUUUUUUAAGAGAUUGCAUUUCAUAACACCACUCCUUGAAAGUUAUAUAUGAAAUAUAUGGUUUAUUAUUACUUUUAUGAUGCUUCCAUACUCUUUAUAGUCUACUAAUGUUACUUUCAUUUGCUAAUCACUCCAUAAAGAAUUUUUUCUUAUAUUGACAAUAUUGCUCAUCUAUUGUCUUGAUGACGAUGAUUGCAAAUAUUGAUUAUUGACAUGUUGCAAAGUUUUUCAAAUGCAUGUGAUAUCCUCUACAUCAAGGUUGUUGAAGAACAAUUCUAUGUUCUCCAUCUUUAUCCUUGUCCUAUUUACAACUCCACUUGAGUUGGUUGUCUCUUUGCCUUAAUAGCCUCUUCUUUGUCUCCCUCUAAUUACAUUGCUUUAGCCUCUUCUGCCAACUUCACUACCCCUUAAGACUCUUCUAGCUUGUGAAUGUAAAAUUUCAAGACCUUUAUAAUUAUCAACUUGAGUUCUAAUAGGAGAGUUUGGCUUACUUACACUAUUAUAUUGAUCAUAUGUGCAAGUAUUGGAGUUAAGUUCUAAUGGUUCACUUUGACUUGGCAAUUCAUUACUUGCUCAAGCCAUAUUGUUGAUUUCAACUUGUGAAAACUAUAUAGUUUGGAUUAGGAUCAUCUAAAAAUAAAAAAAAUUAUUCAUUGAAUAAGUAAAAUAAUUAUACAUUAAAAAAGUCAAUUACUAAUAUCAAUUAACUAUGGAUUAAAAAACUAAACUAAAAUAAAUAAAAUAAAAUGAUAUUGUUCAUUCUAAAAAUUUAUCAUUAAAAUCUAAUUUAAACUUUAAAUUACUAAUAAGUAAUAAUAAUAAUAAUAAUAAUAAUAACUGCAUUAAUGUUUUUAACAGCAGUCUAAAAAAAUUCAUUCAAAUAAGUAUUUAAAUUUUAAUUAAAAAUAAAAUUAAUAAAAAAUUAAAAUAUUCUUAAAAAUAUUCGAAAAUUUAAAAUUCAAAUUGAACAUUCACAUAACCAUAAAAAGUAUAUUUAAACUUAACAUCAAUAAUAAAAGAGAAAAAAAUAUAAAAUAAAAGUGAAGUAAUGUCUUUAACAAUUGUCCAAAAAAAUUGAUUCAUAUCAUUAUUUAAAUUAGAAUUAAGAAUUAAAUUAAUAAAAAAAAUGAAAUAAUAUUCUUAAAAAUAUUCAAAAAGUUUAAUACUCACAUUGAAUAUCAACAUUAUCAACAAAUUAUAUUUAAAUCAAAUUAUAUUAUAACAGUUAUAAUAAAUUUGAAAAUAAAAAAUAAAAAAUAAAACUGAAGAACUGUCUUUAACAAUUGUUCAAAAAAAAUUCAUUCAAAUCAAUAUAACAAUUUGGUAACCCAGAGAAUAUGCUCAAAGUUUUUUAGUUUUUGUUUGAAUCCCACUUUGAGCUUAACAUGGCAAGAAGCACCAAUCCAAGUUGAUUCACAUUAAGCAGAAGCGCAGCACACACACACACAUUGAAAGUCUUCCAAUCGAUUUGAGCAAUUUUGUGAAAGAAAAAACGUUAAAUAAAGAAAUGAAAUUCAUGGGCGUUUUGUACAUGAAUCAAAACUUCAUAGACAAUGUUUAUAAUCGAGUGGAAUAGUUCAAAAUGCUUUACAUUCGGCGAAAUUUCUAACUUUGGAUGUUUUCAAUGGGGGGAACUUCUAUAUUUUCACACUCAAAUUGUUGAGGAAUUUUUAACAUGAACAAAGUGCAGAUUUUGUCAAAGAUUGAUGCUUUGGACUGAAUGUGUAAACUUUCUGUUUAAGGUGCCCAGGUACCAAUCAGGGGGUUGUCUACACUUGACACACCGAGUGUCAAACUUAACAUUCAAAUAAAAUGUAAUGCGUGCCCCCAUAGUCCUGCGCCUUGUCUGUGAAUUACUAAUUCCCUCUAAAAUUAUAGGUUGUAAGCAUAUCGAUGCCGAAAUACCGUUGCAAUAUUUCCAACAUUCCUGUUUACAAACCAUCAUUAUUUUUGUUAUAGAUUUUUAGUAUUAAUUUCCAUUUCAGUGACAUGGUUAACUGAGUUGCGGCGACGAAUUCUGAGCACAUUGUUCAUCACCCCCCUCACAUCGCAUCGCACUCUCCCUCCCUCCUUCCGCUGUAUUCUACCUAGCGAGCAUUCAUGCGUUUAUUGCAAUCUUUUAAAAUAAAAAAAUGCACCCACAGUAUUCUCUUGUGUACCUCAACCAAAGCCAGGUGACUUGGUGCAAGCAUCUGCUCUUCCUGAUGAAAAGGCAUUCGGUUUUGUCAAUGUGGGCUUCCGUGACAGUGCUAAAUUCGCCCUCCAAAAUAAUGUGGCCUCUAAUGGAAAUAAAAGCAUUUGCAGCAACCAAGCUCCUCGGGUCGGAAACUGCUUGGUCAACUUUGAUCACACCAACGGUCCGCCAACCUGCACGAAGGUUAAUCCUGGUGAGAACAAUUACAGGUACCCCUGGCAAACCGCACUCCCUUCCAGUGUUAAACCUUAAAUUUUUACUUAAAAAAAGAAUCACAAACCUUGCACAACAAUACAGACUAAGACCCCACUUUCAACUCACCAUCCGAGUCUAAGUCUUGAGCCAGUUUUAAAUCACGAUUCACAGCCACAUCCCGACAUGAUGAAGCAGCUAUCACAACAAGAAGUAUGGUAUCAUUGUUGGCAGCCAGGUCGUGUGCCUACAAAAACGAGUCACGAGACAAAAAAUGACAAAACUCUCAAUCACAACAAUAUGUCCAAAACUUCACUGAUGGCACAAUGAUCGUAACAAAAAGGAUCAAAUGUAACUAUCAAAGAAACUAUUUUUUGCUAGUGGCCAAAAACCUAUUUAGAUCAAAGUUUAACCCAUUUCUACUAGGCCCCCAGCCUAUUGUCAACCACGAAAUGUCAAAUCUAGUGGACAACAGGUCACCUACCUAGCCGAAAUAGGACACCCUAUAUAUUGGAAAUGGGGGGUGAUUGACAAUGGAUCAGCUAACUUAUCUUUUGAAUUAGUUUUGUAAAAUGAUUUAAUAUAAUUUGAAUUAUUCAUACUCCAACAUAUUUGAUACAAAUAAUUAGAGAUAUUCAUAAAUUUUCCACCAACUACAUUCUCAAUAAUAUUUAUUGACAUAUAAUAAAAAUUGAAGCAAAUAUUUAUUGCACGUUUUACUUUUCAUAAAAACCAUCGAAACAAAAAUUGAAGACCAUGUAUCCGAUGCUUUCAAUGUCGUGAUACAUUAUCUAGUUAUCGAUACAAUUACACAAAUGCGGAAUUUACUAAUUGAACAUCUCAAUUGUUCAUGCCAAGCACAACUAAAUCACAAAAAAUCCUAAUUGUACUUGGAUACUCACUAAAUUCUGACUAGCUGAAUUAAAAAGAAACAUGUAAAUUUUGGUGCGUUUCUCUUUGCAGCAAAUGUUAAAUCUGCCGAUAGAAGCGCAUUUACAACAUACGAAAUACCGAUUCCGGCGAAAUUAGCCAAGCCUGUCCUUCAGCCAAUUGAUAGCACCUGAUGCGGCAGAUCUGCGUUUCGAACAAUUCAAACCACAUCACACAUGAAAAUCAGUGUCCUCAUUCAAUUUGCCACAUAAUACUCAGUUUCGGCAAGCCAAUUCUAUGGUGGAAGUUCAAUUCAAGUACCAGGAGAAAUCGCACUCUUCUUCAAGCUACUGGAUGACAAAUAUCAGAAUAGAAAACCACAAAUGUGAGGAAGGUCUGAGAAAAAUAAUCGACGGAGUACAAUUAUCUAAGAGAACUAAUAAAAAUUCAUGUGAAUUCAGUCUGUUCAGUAGGGAUUUUGAACAUAAUUUACCCCACAGCAUUCUUGAUUGUUUCAAUAACCCCUUCUGCUUCCUCCGAUUCGUCAACUUCAAUUUUCUCCUUCUCUAAAACUGCUGUCCUGCCGUCUUGACUCCCUGCUACAAUGAACAAAAAGUGAGAUUUCUGACAGAGUGGUCUCUCAAACAUUCGUACAGAAUCUCUGACAAAUUACUCCCAUAACAGCCAGUAAUUCAAAAGGGAAACUGUCCUUCAACUGAGUAGUGCUUAUUCACACGUCAUGAGCAAGUUUUCUACCAUGUUUGGGGGAAAAUAUAAUAAAGGAGAAAAAAAUUAUAAACAAGUAAGGUGCAUGACAGCAUCAAUAUUCGUGUAGCAUCAAUCUGACAAAGUAAUGAUCGUUCUCGUACUGGGCUAUUAAAAUGAUGAGGCUACCCAGGGUGACUGUAAUGUGAGUUCAAACAAAGACUUUCGUGAGGAAUUUCUUACGUUGUGGCCUGCUGCCAUUGCUAGAUCCCAUUUUCACUGAUCCUCCACGUCCCUUAGACUUCUGCAAUCUCGCUAGAUCCUCCACCAGCUGUCGCUCGAUCCCACUGCCAUAUGAAAUUUCAGGAUUUGAUGUCAUGAUAGUACAAAAAACCAAAAAGCCAGAAAUUAAAUUUAAAAAAUCUUCGAACUAAUCAGAAUUCACCAACGAGAUCAAGCAUCCUAACUCUCAAACACA
rnacentral:lncRNA from 1 species